rnacentral:lncRNA from 1 species
UCGUGCUGCGGUGGUAAAUGUGGUUGCGGGUCCGGCUGCGGCUGCGGCAGUGGCUGCAACGGGUAAUCUUUCUAACCUUCUAUUUGUUUCCCGAGAAUCUGGAAAAAGAAAAUCCCAGAAAAUUUAUCUGCUCUGUUUUUGGUUUUUGAUUACGUGGGUUCUUGUUUCAGGUGCGGGAUGGCUCCUGAUCUGAGCUACAUGGAGGGGUCCACCACUGAGACCCUUGUCAUGGGAGUUGCUCCCCAGAAGUCGUACGUAUCUCAUCUCUCAGAAAUGAAAUCCUAAAUUAUAUUUGGAAUUUGUAAAUUGCAUAUGUUGUGGUUAUAAUCUGGGAAACACGGAGAAACAGAACUGGAUGGACGCUAAACAGACAAUAAAAGUUAUAAAACGACAAUAAAAGGGUACAAAAUCGUGACUCAUGCACGGCUUAUUGUCUGUUUUGCGUGAUCCAGUUCUUUUUUUAUUUUUAUGAAACUAACCGGUUUAAUUUGUGCAUAUUUCUCGUUAUAAUUUUGGGGAACAUGGAGAAACAAAAUUGUAGAAACAUUGAACAGACAAUAAGAGGAUAUUAAAGCGUGGUUCAUAUACAUCUUAUUGUCUAUUUAUGCGUAUUUACACUGAUUUUUCGAAAUAUAGAUAUUAAACAGACAAUAAAGCGAUAUUAAACCGUGAUUUGUAUACAACUUAUUGUCUGUUUCGUGCCCUCCAGCUUAAUUUUGGAUUAAAAGAUUGUAACCGGUUCUAUUUACGCUAAUCGGGCUAUAACUUGGGUUUUGAUGUGCAGGCACUUUGAGGCAUCUGAGAUGGGAGUUGUAGCUGAGAACGGAUGCAAGUGCGGGGAUAGCUGCACCUGCAACCCCUGCAAGUGCACCAAGUGAGUGACAGAUGUCACCUUCUGACGAAGCAAGAGAAUCGUGGGGCUUCUAUGUUUAGCAGUAGUAAUCUAUGUGUGUGUCUGGUAAUUAUGAUCCUAAUGUACCAAGGUCGUGUUGUUAGAAUAAAGUAGCCAUGGCUUGCCCUCUGACCUGCAGAUCCACUAGGCAAGGAUCUGCUGAGGAUGAUCCUAGGUUAUGGCUGCUUGUGUCUCUGUUUCUAUCAUGUGUUGUGUAGAGUUGGAUCAUACUGUGUGUGAUGAAAUGAAUGAAAAACUUGCAUGUUUUACUUUAAUUUUUGGAUUCAGUUUACUUUUUAGAUUCGGAACUCUUAGUCAAUCUGAUGGCGAGAUCUUUCUUUGUUUUCGGGGUUCAAGAGAAGAGAGGAGCCACCACCCAAUGGUGCAGUUCCACCGGAUGUGGAAUAGCCCAGUACCUAGUCAAAAAACCAGGCUAGGACCCUGUCAACCCACGGGAUUGCCUGUCACCCAGCCCAAGCCGGUCUCCAGGCCAGCCCAAAAUUGACAGACCUUGGGACUGGACUAUAUGACGUCAUGCUGGCGUCAUGAUCUGAAAUCGAUGACGACGAACUCCAUCUCCGACAAGGAAGACUGCUGGAUGACUCUACCUUCGAGGAUGAGGCCGUCGACCCGGAACUUGCUGUUGAGGACGAGCUGGUCUUGGAAGCUGUUGAGGAUGAUGACAUCAAAUCCGGCGAUGCAGCUGAAGGUCAGGGCGUAGGUUCAGAGGCGGUGGGUUUGGAGCUAGCGAGCCCAGGUGUCGAUGUCGACCUGUUUGGGGCGAGUCGGACCGCGGAGAGUGAAGGGGAGGUGGGGAUUUGAUGGAGGGUGGAGAUGGGGGGUGUGGGGUUGGCGUGUUCUAGUCUGAGGAGCAUUUUUGGAGAGAGAGAGGGAAAAAGAGGGAGAGAGAGAGAGCUCACGGUGAUGAUGAAGGUGGUGGUGGGUUGGUGUGCUUUGAUAAACAAUCUGUUAAAUUAUUAUUUUAAUAAAAUUGACUAGGCUAUUUAUUAUUAGGGAUGGAGAUGUUUUGGCCUAUUAUUGUUUAUUGAGAUCUAUUACUGUUCACUUGAGUGGAUAAAUGCACUAGGUGCUGGCGCAAAGUCUUUAGAGGUAGAAUUGCUCUUACGAAAGCAUGGUCACCAGUGGCCCUCCACCUUCUCGACACUAUCGAACCAGAAAUCGCUCUCAAUCGUUCUGGAGGAAUUUUUUGCAUAUCUUGGACUUAAGGGCAAAAAGUGCCCUAUUCGUAGGGGUAGCGCCAGUUGUUUGUUUUCAAGGGACCAAGGCCACGUUAUCAGUUAUCUGAUUUUUUCAAAUUUCAUCUAACAGUCAAAUUACUUAAUCCGAUGACCUUAAUGGAAGAGAUCCGGAGAAAUCUCUUUCCUUUUUCAAGUUAAGCCCAGUAUCCCUAUCCCUUAUCAGGUUGGCAUAACAAAAAAAAGAAAGAAAAAGUCCAAAUAAUAAAAAUUCUACGGUGCUUUGGUGUAUACGGUAAUUUCGAUAUUUUAACUGUCAUAUUUUAAUUUCUCUUUUUGAUAAAAGAAAAUCUAACGAGUAAAAUACCUGAAUAACCCCGAUAGUCCAGAAUAUUAUAGAAAAUGUAUAUAUGAAGGAGAAAACACAAAAGAAGAAUUAGAUUAGAGUUGUAAAUAUGACAUUACAUUUAAUUGAUUGUACGCUACAACCAAAGGUUUGUUAAACACUACACAAAUCACACACAGGGUCUAUUUAGUCUUUUACAAUCACAUUUGCAAUCCAAAUCAGUAAGGAAUCUGAUGGGCUAAUGUUACAGUCUGCUUCACCACAAGGCUUAUUUGGGAGACAAAUUUCCCUAGGGCUGCCGCCUCUCAUCGGGUCAGACCAACGUGCGGUUGGUGGAUUAGAAUACAAGAGGUUUCCCAUGAUUUUUGUGAGAGGUGCUCUAGAGUUGAACGUUGUCGGACACCCCUACCCCGAGUUCACGCUUACUUGACCUGUAAAAUAUCUGAGCAGCUGGGUGUUGCCUUUAUUUGCUUAUCUAGUACCCCAACUGCAGCUUUAUUAAACAGGUUGACAAUCUGUAGAAAAAAAAGAAAAUUAAUUAGAGCAGAUUAGUAAUCAAUCAUUCAUCUUUUAAUGGGAAUUGUAGUGAGCCUCUCUUAGGAUCACCUGCUUAGUUGAGAGACCUAUUUUCUCCAAAUCGUUCAGCUGAAACAUGCAACAUGCAACAUGCAACAUCAGAAUUACUCAUUUAAUGCAAUUCAAAGUUUCUCUGUAUCGUUCCAAUUUUAUCGGAUAUCACCCGAAGGGACAAGUGUAUUUCGAAAUUCAUCUAUGCCUAAACCUUACGAAACUUGCUUACCGAUUUUAAAGGGCUCGUUUCUCUGAGCUCAAGUAUGUAUUCAGCCAUUUUGACUCCUAUUCCCUGGAUGAAGAUGAACACAAGAAAAAGAAAAUUUUAGAAGGCAACAAGUUAUUUUAAGAACAUGGAGAUGCGGUGUUACGAUACCAACCCUCAACUCCAGCAGCUCUUCCCUGCAGUUGCGAAAACCAGUCGAAAUAUUAGGUUCAUUUUGUAUGAUUGAGAGUGCAAAACGCAAGAAACGAUGAAGUUUCAAAAUGAUGAUAAGGAUUUUACCUGUUGUGUUCAAGAAGUCAAUAUACUCUUGAAGUAGGAACUUCUGCGCAAUUAUUUAAAAAAAAAAAAAAAACACAGAUGAAAACUCACAUUAUUGAAGCGCUAAGACUUAUCGAGUUGUAUGUAAUGAAUGUACCUUUAAGUUUGAUCCGCAAGCAGUGAAUUUAUCAAGUGGGGUGCCUGUUAUUUGGAACAUGUUUUUCGUGCAGGUCGCUAAAGAGGGAGUUUUCGGAGUGCAAUCUCCAUUUGUGAAUAGAGUUUCAUUGAGGGGCUUUUGAUUUAUAUUGGUGUUGAUUGGGGAGAGAGCUUUUCUCAAGGAACUUCCCGGUGAGUUUUCCUCCUGGUUUGAUGGCUCACCUAUGCAUAUAUACAAUGAAAUAUUGCAAAUAUUCAAUUUGUUUAGAUUGUUUGAAUCUUUGAAGUAGCAUAGUAAGUAAUAAAUCCAUACAGAGUGGAAAUGUAUCAUGUAAACUUGUAUUUGAUUCGAAUAUGGAUCCACCACCUCCAGCAUUGCCCUCUUGUUUAUUAUCCUUAGCGGCAAAUUGCGCGUUCUGGAAAGCAAUUCCAACUCAUAAAUACACAUCAAACACAAGAUAAACGAACUCGGAAAGAACUUAGCAGCUUCUCAUCCCCAAGUGGAGCUGCAAAACUCAAACUUUCAAAUAAUAUGCCAUUUCAUGAAUUGUCAUAAAAAACAAAGUUUCACAAUACAUGAUAGAGUAAGAAUAAGAAUGUAUCGAAAACGCUAUAACGUAGUUCUCACUUUAUCAUUUCCAUCCAUGUACUCGCUAAAAUUUAGUAAUUACCUCCAAAUUGGAAUCAACUACACUUUCAUUGUCAAAUAUAUUCCUCAUAGGUAUAGUGAUUUUCCUGCAAAAAAUUUUAACAAUCGGACAAAAGUGCCUAGUGCAUAGCAUGAAGAUAUACAAUUCAACUAGUUACUAGUUGUCGUACCUUUCUUUUGCAGUACAGGCACUUCUGUUUGUAUUAACCUUGGAUUUCAUAGAACUGAGGUUGAUGUUGCGUUUCUUGACAUUGGCAAUAGAAGAACUAGGAGUUUUCCCCAACAAGGGAGAACUGAAUGCUUCAAUUCUCCGUGCACUCUUCGUCUUUCCUCUUGAUUCAAGCCAAGCACGAAGUUUGGCUUCCAUGUCAACUUUAACCUUUGGUGUCUCUUGCUUGUGAGCUGAAGGAACAAAGUUGGUAAUGUGGCGUGACCGAGCUGCCAAGCUGACAGUAUGAACAGACUCUUGGUACUCUCCUGGAUUCUAUUAUCAAAGAAAAUUGUUUCCAAUAUAAGUUCCAAAAUAAUAAUAAUAAGAACAGGCCAGAUGAAAGCACUUCUAUUCAAACGCGAAUUCAAACUACUUACCAAGCAAGUAAUCAUCAAAGCCUGACUCAUCCCACCUAAUGAGUCUUGCAAAAUACGAGUCAAUUUACUCUCUCUAUAGGGCACUCGGGAUAAGUUGUUGUUCAGUGCAUAAAUGACAUUCGAUAAUGCAAACAAAGACUGGUUAAUCUUCGCACUCUCUGGAGACGAAUCCCUUCGUUGAAAGUUCUUCUAUUGUCUUCAUUGCCUGGGUGAAAUACACAUGUAGAUUAAAUAAAAGAAAGACAGAGACCAUAAACAAAUCUAAUUUCCAAUUGAUUUUUACUUGCGUAAGAAGCUACAGGAAAAAGGUUAGAAGUAAGAAAAGACCUGCUAGAUCUAUGAGAUUCAACUUCCCAGUAACGAAAUCCCCAGAACCAUCAUCAUGAGGAGUGGAAACGGCGAUCACAAGGACCCCAUGGCUCCUACUAGAGACAUCAUUGAGACCCGUAUGGGCAGUUUUCCGCCUCUGAAUCCCACAAGAAAAGGCCUCGUAAAACUCAGACAUGGACUUUACAGGCACCCGAGAAAGUCCCCUGAGAUGAAUCUGCCCAUCUUUGUCAUCCAAAACCGUAAUUUCCUUGGCUUUGAUCUCUAACAGGUCAUAACACCUGUCCAUAUAGACCUCAUAGUAUGAAAGCUCAACUGAGCUUCCUGUGCUCUGGCACAUAGACAGGAUUUUGGACAUGGCCAGCGGCAUUAGACCCGGCAUCUCAUCCGUUCCCUGGAACAUAAAUCACAUGCUGAAAUUAAGCAUUACAGAAGGAAAUGCUUCAGAACAACAAGCUGCAUUUAGUUACUCAAACCUAUCAUAAUUCAGAAUUUUCAUUUCUUUUCGGGGAUAAUUACAGAUAAAGUUCAGUAUUCAUUGAUCCUAAUGCAUUGAAGUUUCAUACGCAGAAUUAUCCAGAUUAAUGCAAUUACUAAAGUUUCAUAUGUGGGCAGACGUUGGUGUAGCCAUAUUGGGUAGAGCGGAUGUGGUCCCCCUCCCCGCAAUUUAAUUAGUUUAAAAAUUAAAAUAGAACAUCGAUUAUAUAAAAAGAAAAGAUUUUUUUUUCAUAUUUCUCGAUAAUUCAAAUUCAAAAUUGAAUUUUUACCAAAAGAAGCAAAAAAAUUUCAAACCUGCAUAGUGUAAGUCUUUCCACUUCCAGUAGCUCCGUAGGCAAACACCGUCGCAUUGCAGCCAUGAAAGAGUCCCGGAAUCAAAGGGCACACUUCUCUACUGAAGAUCCGGCCAACAUUGUUGUCCUCUUGGGCAAAGCAGGAGUCCAACCGAUAGCACUCGUUUCGGCUACACCCGAAAGGCAAAAUCAGCACCCACCAUCAAAACCCAGCUUCCCGAAUAAAAAAAACCCAAAAAUAUGCUUCCAAUUAUCUCACUGAAAAUCAAUAAAAUUCCUCACCUUGUAUCUUUAUCUUUGAGAUAAACAACCACUUCUUCGGCAGAGGAAUCGGAUUCUUGUUCGACAACAGAGGCGCACGGCGUCUGAUCUCCGUUACCGGCAGCGAUCUCUUGCGGAAGAAAAGGGCGCACCCGCACGAUGACUCUGACCUUCGAAAUUGAAUUGGGGUUCGCGGAUUUUGCUGGAGUUGCAGAAGUACUGCCAAGAAAUCGACCAACCUCCAUUGGAAUAAAGGAAAGAGCUCAGCUUGGAUUUCAAGAGAGAGAGAGAGUUGGGAAAUUGCAGAACGGUCUGUAACUGAAAGAUGUAGAUUUAUGAGGGAAGAGGAGGUUUGAAACUACUAGUCGAACGUUGGGCCUUUUUCAGUUUGAAUUUUUGGAUUAGGGUGCGGACUUGGCCGGUGGGCCUCGUCUGUGGUGGGGCCUAUUUCUUACUCUUUCGAAAUGUUUGCCUUGGGAACUGCUUUAACAGGAUAAAAAUUAUAACAGUUAAAUUACAUUGACGUGGCAAUUUAAGAUCUUAUGUAAAAUUUUGUAGCUAACUGAAUUGUUAAAUGUUACUUUCUUAUUAAUAUAAAGCUAUAAAUGGUUGUAUUUAUUAAAAAAAUUGUUGAAACAAAAGUUUCAUUGAUUGAAAUGUUGGUGGAAUAAGGAACCCACUACUAAAAUUAAUUUAAAAAAGUUUGACAUUGAUGUCAAAUUUGACUCAUAAUCACAAAACUUUCGAAUACAGUCAGCAAAUAACAUUUAAAUUGAAAUGAUUUUAUUUUUAUUUUUUAAAUAAGGGUGGAAAUGCUUUUGAAUAUUAAAAAUGCAUUCAAAACAAUCACAAAUAAAAUGAGUUCUUGUGUUUUGACUGUCGAACGUGGUUUGUAUCCGCUUAGAGUUAAGCGACAUCUAAAUAUAGGAAUCCCAUUUCUUUGUGAGCAAGCCGGAUAGUCCACUUAAUUCAACCAUCGAACACAAAAAAUACUUGCUAAAUGGUUGUAUGGCUCUAUUGGUUUAGCCGACCGCAAGUUAUAAUUUCCUCCCAAAUAGGAGAAAUUAUAUUGUACACCUUCAUUAGUCUCGAAGGGCAUGAUGUCUGCAGAAUUGGCUAUCUUGGUCUUGAAGACAACCAUUUUCGAGCCAUUUUCGAGCCAUUUUUCGGCCAAACCACAACGAGUUAGCCGUCGAAAAAUGUAUCAUUCUCUUCGUCUCGUCGAGACAUAUGAUUUUCAUUUUUGAAUUACUUGAUUUCAUUGAGUAUUAAAGAAGUUAUGAACAUUUAAAGUUUACCCAGUUUCCGGCGAGUUUUCCAGUUUUCCCUCAAAUCAGUCAACUUUGAGGCUAGUUUCCAACCAUUCCCGGAAACCAUUGGGCUUCCAAAUAUGUAUAAUCUUAUUCUACACAGUUACUAUCUUCAUUUUGAUAUAUUAUGGGUCGAAUUUGAUUAAGAAACGAUUGAGUUACGAAACUUUGAAAAUUGGCCAAACUUCUGGCCAAGAGCUCUAGGACACUUAACAGAGGUUUUAACGGAAUGACCACAAUGAUGGAUGGUGGACAAUCUCAAUGAUCACUUUUAUUGAUUUUAAAUGUUAGAGAUUAAAGUGAUGAGUUAUGCAAAUCUCAUGAAUCAUUUUGGCUAUUUAGCCUUUUUAAAAAUUAAAAAAAAAAGGUUAGAAAUGCUUUUGAUUAUUAAAAAUGCAUUCAAAGCAAUCACAAAUAAAAUGAGUUCUUGUGUUUUGACUAUCGAAUGUGAUUUGUACCCGCAUAGAGUUAAGUGACAUCUAAAUAUAGGAAUCUCAUUUCUUUGUGAGCAAGUCGGACAAUCCACUUAAUUCAACUAUCGAACACAAAAAAUACUCUCUAAAUGGUUGUAUGGCUCUAUUGGUUUAGCCGACCACAAGUUAUAAUUUCCUCCCAAAUAGGAGAAAUUAUAUUGUACACUAGAACGUAAACCUCACUAGUCCAACCUAUGUCGUAUAAAGAAGGUGUACAACACUGGAACGUAAAUUAUAUUGUACACACACAGGCAUAGCUAGUCCCAACUUAUGUUGUAUAAGGAAGGCGUACAACUUAAGCAAUAUGGUCAUCAUUUUUGCAUGAAAACUAUUUCUAUCGAUUUUAAAUUUCAAAAACCAAGUAAAAAGUUACACUGUAUCAUUAACACCACAUGUUGAUAAUAUAACCGUGCCAUCAAGUUGCUCUCAUUAGUUUGGUUUGUCUAUGGGCCACUCUUGAGACAUAGCCGCAUGCGACUGGCGGAGGGAAAAAUCUCUCAACAGGCCCAAAUGGCCCCAUGGUCAGAAUUUUGAUUACCCAAAAGUUUGAGGACCUGUCAGCAAGGCGGCGUAAAUAUGUGAGGGGUUUAAGACAGGGGCCGUAAUGGGAAAUGCGUUAAACCCUAAACCCCAAAAUUGUGGAAAAUCGAACGAAGACGAAGAUGGAGAAGGGCAUGCUGUCUGCAGACUUGGAGGGUCUUCCCGAAGAAGACAAGCACAGAAUGACCACCUUGAUCGACCAACUCCAGAUUCGAGACAGGUUUUCUGAUUUUUCUUUUUUUGUUUUUUUGAAUGCAGAGUUUUUGUUUAUUUUUCUAUUUUCCUGAAAAAAUUGAAUUUAUUCUCAGUAAUUUGUAAUUAGUGAGGCAUGUUCUUGCUAUUGUGCUUGAAAGAUUGAAGUUUCAGAAAAAUACCCACAAAAUUAAAUUGUUAAUUGUAAGCAGGAAAGUUGGAAUUAGGAUGUGAUUCAAAUGUAAUCUUGGUUUUAGAAACCGAAUCCGAACCAGAUGUAUAUCUUCAGUUCGGCUCACGGUUUUGAUGGUGAGUUGGGCCAAACCGAACCAUGCCUGCCCCUACUGAUUUCUGUGACUUUUGUCGAAAAUGUAGUCUGAGGAUGUACAAUUCAUUGGUGGAGAGAUGCUUUACCGACUGCGUGGACACCUUUCAGCGCAAAUCGUUGACGAAGCAAGAGGAUACGUGUGUUCGUAGGUGUGCUGAGAAGUUCCUAAAGCACUCGAUGCGCGUUGGCAUGAGGUUUGCAGAGCUUAAUCAAGGAGCAGCUACUCAAGAGUAAGCUAAGCUCUAUGUAUGAAUCAUUUUGGUAUGGAAGUCUUGAAAACCGUUCGAAUUGGUUUAUGGAAGUUGCAACUUGUUUAGCAUUGGCUCCUGAAUUAUGUUUCUUACACUGCAUAUAUUUGUACCUUUUCAAAGACGAAAGAUUAUUUUGAGGUUUUACAGUUAAGCUGGAAUUGGACAUGAAUUAGUAUGAUUUACGGUUUUUCCUUUUUUACUGCGUGUCAUAUCGGAUUAUCUCGUGUGGUAAAAUGUGUUAGGAAUGUCGGUACUACAAGAUAGAGAAUGCACAAGGUAAAGUAAAAAAUGGACGCCAAGAAUUUAUGUGGUUCGGCAAUUUAUGCCUACGUCCACCAAACAAGGAAUCUUCACUAUAUGAAAAAGAUGAAUACAACAAGAGUAGUCUUACCAAGCCAAAGACAAGGGCUUGAUGGAUACAAGAAAGUAUAACACACACUUUCUAUCACUCUAAACUUCACUCACACAAUGUGUAGUGGAACACUCUCACUCUCACUCUUGGAGUGGAACUCUAGCUUUGGACUUGAUCCUUUGCUACUCACUCUUGGUUCUCAAUUGGUUACAUCACACCCAUAUUUAUAGGUGAGGGCUUGGCAUUCUACUAGUUUCUAGUUCCUUCUUCAAACCUCUAGUAUAGAAAAAUCUAGACUAGCCACAUACUUGUAGCUUCUAGAUCUUUCCAUUUGCAAACCAAGGAAGCUAGUACUCUCUAGCUUCUUCCAUCAACUUAAUAACAUGCUAGAAUUGUCUAGCAAGCUCCAGCCUCAUCUCUUGCUUACUAGAAUAAUCUAGAACAUUGAUCAUGGGCUGGACCAUAUACCAACAAUCUCCCCCUCCAGUCCAUGAGGGAGGAAUUCCGAUCAUGACUCCAAGUUACCUGGAGUUCAUCCCAGCAGCCUUAAUGCAAAAUUCCAACUUUGAUUUUGUGACUACCUUUGUCAACAUGUCUGAAGAAUUAUUAUCGGUAUGAAUCUUCUUCAGCUGUAGCAACUUGUUCUCGAUAGCGUCUCUAAUCCAGUGAUAACGAAUAUCAAUGUGCUUAGUGCGUGAAUGAUAUGUAGUGUUCUUGCUCAAAUCCAGAGCACUCUGACUAUCACAAUAAACGCCAUAAUCACUUUGCUUCAACCCAACUCUUGGAGAAACCGCUUCAGCCACAACAACUCCUUGCAUGCUUCUGUAGCGGCUAUGUAUUCAGCCUCGGUUGUGGACAAAGCAAUGCACUUUUGUAACUUGGAUUGCCAAGACACGGCUCCCCCUGCAAAAGUAAACAAGUACCCAGACGUAGAUUUUCUACCAUCCAGGUCACCUCCCAUGUCAGCAUCUGUAAAUCCUUCCAAGAUUGGUUUGGAAACCGCCAAAGCACAAGCACAUCUUAGAAGUCCCUUCAAAUAUCUGAGAAUUCCACUUAACGGCUUCCCAGUGGUCCUUCCCUGGAUUAGAGAGAAACCUGCUCACCACACCUACUGCAUGAGCAAUAUCUGGUCGUGUGCACACCAUUGCAUACAUGAUACUUCCUACUGCUGAAGAGUAGGGAACAACUGCCAUUUUCUCCUUUUCUUCAUAUGUUUUUGGACACGACUCUUUGCUCAACUUGAUAUGAUUGGCUAAAGGUGAGCUUACCGGUUUGGCUGCUUUCAUGUUGAACCUUUCAAGCACCCGUUCAACAUACUUUUCUUGUGACAGCCACAACUUCUUGGAUUUUCUGUCACGAAUUAUCUCCAUGCUCAAAAUCUGCUUGGCUGGCCCUAAGUCCUUCAUGUCAAAGGACUUAGAUAACUCUUCUUUGAGCUUUUUAAUCAUAGAAGCAUCUUGUCCGACAAUCAACAUGUCAUCAACAUAAAGCAAUAAGAUGAUGAAUGUACCUCCAGAAAAUUGUUUGAUAUAGACACAAGAGUCAGCAUGAGUUCUCUUGUACCCAUUACUCACCAUGAAUGAGUUGAACUUCUUAUUCCACUGUCUCGGAGCCUGCUUAAGACCAUAUAAACUUUUCUUGAGCUUGCACACCAAAUUUUCUUUACCUUUGACUUCAAAGCCUUUGGGUUGCUCCAUGUAUUCUCCUCUUCUAAAUUGCCGUGGAGAAAUGCAGUUUUAACAUCUAACUGCUCGAGCUCAAGAUCCAUGCUUGCUGCCAUAAACCAAGGAUAACUCGAAUGGAAGUCAUCUUCACCACCGGUGAGAAAAAUCUCAUCAAAGUCAACUCCUUUCUUUUGACCAAAACCUUUGACAACCAAACGAGCCUUGUACCUUGUCAUGUUGUCGUCUCUUUUCAAUUUGAACACCCACUUGUUUUUCAAUGCUUUCCUGCCCUUUGGAAGCUCCACCAGCUCAUAGGUAUCAUUCUUUGAUAAGGAAUCCAUCUCCGACUCCAUUGCCUUCAUCCAUUUGUCACUGUCGUUAUGAGCUCUGGCCUCCUCAUAUGUUUCGGGCUCUCCAUAAUUAGUCAACAUGAUAUACUCUGAUGAAGAAAUACUUGGUAGACGGUCUUCGACUUCUGAUGGAUCUUCUGACCUGAUCUUCAUUCUCUUGUAGGGCUGGAGGCUCCCCCUGAUUGGGUUCUCUUUGAAUCUGCUCUUCUUGACUAGGCUCCCCCUGAUCAGCAAUCUCAUGGUCUGGCACAUCUUGAUCAGGCUCCUCUUGAUUAGCAUUAUCUGAUUCUGCAGGCACUUCAUUGGCAGUUGCUUCAGGGAUGUCAUCGUGACUUUCUUCAUCUGAAGCUAAUGGAUCAACUCCUCUGACUGCGCCAUCUGGUUGUGCCUCUUUAUCCGAAUCCCCAAUUGUUUUGUUCUUCAUAAAAGACCACGUCUCUACUUCGGAUAAACUUCUUCUGGUAUGGGUCCCAUAAUCUGUAACCAAAAAUCUUCACCGCCAUAACCAAGAAAGAUGCACGGUGUAGCUUUGUAGUCUAACUUCGAUCUCUGCUCUUUGGGCACAUGCACAAAAGCUUUGCAACCAAACACCUUCAGAUGAGAGUAAGACACAUCAUUACCAGUCCAUACUCUCUCUGGAACAUCAAGACCUAAUGGUACUGAUGGAGAUCGGUUGAUCAAAUAGCAGGCUGUCCUUACAGCUUCACCCCAAAACUGCUUAGAUAACUUUGCAGUCCUCAACAUACACCUGACUUUCUCCAUGAUGGUUCGGUUCAUUCUUUCAGCAACACCGUUAUGUUGUGGAGUUCCAGGAACUGUCUUCUCAUGACGUAUGCCAUGUUUUACACAAUACUCUCUAAACUGGUGAGAUGUGUACUCGCCGCCGUUGUCGCUACGAAGGCACUUGAGAGGUUUCCCAGUUUCCCUCUCCACCAUGGCAUGGAACUCCUGGAAUGUCUGAAACACCUGGUCUUUGGAUUUCAACAAAUACACCCACACCCUUCGUGAAGCAUCAUCAAUAUAAGUAACAAAAUAUUUAUUUCUUCCAAGUGACUCGACUUCCAUGGGACCACACACAUCUGAAUAAACAAGAUCUAACAAGUUUCCUUUCUUUGUAGAUGGAACAGAAAAACUAACUCUUCUUUGUUUUCUGAAUAAACAAUGCUCACAAGAGUUUAACGACGUACCUUCGGUAAAGGGAAUGUGAGACUUCUUUGCCAAAACUUGUAGGCCUUUCUCGCUUAUGUGGCCCAGCCUCUUAUGCCAUAAGUCUAGAGAUGAGUCCUCCACAGCAUUCAACUCACCUUUCAAAACCUGUGCAUUUGACCGGUACAACGUACAACAAAGUCGUGCUUUUGCUACCACCAUUAAGCCUUUAGUAAGCUUCAAUUUUCCUUCGCCAAUAUGGUGAUAAUAUCCUUGUCGAUCAAGGGUACCGAUGGAUAUCAGAUUGAGACGUAUAUCAGGAAUAUGUCUCACAUCUUUCAACAUCAAUUGGCAGCCGAGAUUAGUUCUUAAGCAGAUAUCACCAAUUCCAAGAAUUUUGGAAUAGCUUUCAUUCCCCAUCUUCACUAUGCCAAAGUCACCUUCUUUGUAUGUACUGAAGAACUCCCGUUUGGACGUAGCAUGGAAGGAAGCUCCAUUAUCAAAGAUCCAUUCAAUGUCUCUGUCAGAGUUGCCCAUAUGCAGACAUUCACCAACAGACAAUAUUUCUGGUACAUCACCACAGAUGACAGCGGUGGUAUUGCCAGUAUCAUCUUUCUUCUGAUUGUUUCCUUCCCUUUGCUCUCUCUUCCAAACUCGACAAUUUUUCUUCAUAUGGCCUUCUUUGCCACAGUGGUGGCAUGCACCCCUGAACUUUGACUUGGAUCGGCUAGGACUCCUGCCAUGACCUCUAGGCCCUCUACUCUUGCUUCUUCCGCGGUUCUCUGUGACAAAUACUUGGCUGCUAUCUGUGCCAGAAGUCUUUCUCCUUGUUUCUUCAUUGAAGCAUGCUAUUUUUAACAUUAUCAAGAGUAAGAACACCAUUAGAAGCAGAGUUACUUAUACUCACCACAAAGGUCUCCCAACUGUCUGGCAAGGAUCCAAGUAACAAGAGCGCUUGUAGCUCGUCCUCGAUCAUCAUUUUCAUAGUAGCCAACUGGUUGAUGAUAUUCUGGAAAUUGUUCAAGUGUUCUGCUACACUUAAACCAUCCUUGUACUUCACAUUGAUGAGCUCUUUGAUCAAGAAGGCUUUCUUGGCUGGGGUCUUCUUCUCGAACAAGGACUCAAGCUUCGUCCAAAACUCGCGAGCAUUGGUUUCAUUAGACACAUGGUGAAAAACACUAUCGUCCACCCAUUGUCUAAUUGUGCCAAUAGCCUUGCGAUUCAUCUUCUUCCACUCGGCAUCGGACAUGCUCUCGGGCUUAACGGCAUCUCCUUCAAUUGGCUCAUGCAAAUCCUUGCAAUAGAGAAUGUCCUCCAUCCUUGGCUUCCAUGUUACCCAAUUGGAGUUGGUGAGUUUGAUCAUAGUGCCACUUCCUUCCAUCUCGUAGUACGAGCCAACCGGGCUUCUGAUACCACUUGUUAGGAAUGUCGGUACUACAAGAUAGAGAAUGCACAAGGUAAAGUAGAAAAUGGACGCCAAGAAUUUAUGUGGUUCGGCCAAUUUAUGCCUACGUCCACCAAAACAAGGAAUCUUCACUAUAUGAAAAAGAUGAAUACAACAAGAGUAGUCUUACCAAGCCAAAGACAAGGCUUGAUGGAUACAAGAAGUAUAACACACACUUUCUAUCACUCUAAACUUCACUCACACAAUGUGUAGUGGAACACUCUCACUCUCACUCUUGGAGUGGAACUCUAGCUUUGGACUUGAUCCUUUGCUACUCACUCUUGGUUCUCAAUUGGUUACAUCACACCCAUAUUUAUAGGUGAGGGCUUGGCAUUCUACUAGUUUCUAGUUCCUUCUUCAAACCUCUAGUAUAGAAAAAUCUAGACUAGCCACAUACUUGUAGCUUCUAGAUCUUUCCAUUUGCAACCAAGGAAGCUAGUACUCUCUAGCUUCUUCCAUCAACUUAAUAACAUGCUAGAAUUGUCUAGCAAGCUCCAGCCUCAUCUCUUGCUUACUAGAAUAAUCUAGAACAUUGAUCAUGGGCUGGACCAUAUACCAACAAAAUGUCAGGUGAAUGUACAAUAAGAAAAACUGAGUAACUGGGUUUGUGUUGUUACCUUGCUUUUCAGGAAAGGAAAAUACUUGUUUCCGUACUUUUAAGGACUCUUUCCGAUUUACAAACAAAUCUUUGUUUGAUGUAUGUGGAAACUAUUUCUUGUGUGCUUUUUAUGAGUCAAAUUUGUAUACGUGUUAAACUGUGAUUGACGGUUAAGAAGGAAUGACUCAUUUACCUAUGUAGCAUUGGAAGCAGAGAAACUUAGAUUGUGUGGUUUUGUUAAUUGAUAGAGUCCCCAACACCGAAAAAAAAGAGUAUACGAUUUGGAACUGAUAGACCCUGAUGCAACCUCUCGUUCUUGAUUACCCAGAUCCUUUUAUUCCCUUAAGUUAGAACUUGACUUUGGUUAGCAGUGAUAUCGAUAGCGAGCCAACCAAUUGAUUGAGGUUAGUUGAGAAGAAAAUUGGUUGGUAAAUCAUUGACUUCUGAGCUUCUCCCCCUUGGUGUUAAAAGAUGAUAAAGAUUACGAUAUGAUUGUGAAAGUAUCUCGAGGACUAGAAAAGGGAAGCUCGAAGGGAGAGUACCUAACAGUAGACCUGCAAACGGGGCAGGUUUACAGUGAAUGAAGGAGUUACCAGUUGGUCUCCCGGGCGCGGAUAUCCCUGCUUGAACUUGAUGAGCGAUCAGGCAGAAAUGUGUUAUGAAUAAGUCUGAUAUGUGCCCACUGUUUGAUGAAUUAUGUAAGGAAGAAGGUUGUUGUUUGUAAAGAUUCCAAAUGAUGCUUUGUGGGGAUGCACUAGGAUAGAAAGCUGCCAAACGCUUCUGGUUUGGAGUUCAAAAAAGACAAAAAAAUCACUUGGAUAAUGUGUUUCUAUAGAAAAAUCACUUUUACCCUGGUUUGGUACUGAGGUGAUUCUGAAAAAAAAGUGGCUAUAAAAAAAAGCUGGGAACUUUUUUAUGUUUGGUAAACAUUCAGCUUUAGUUUUUUUUACAGUUUUUGGUGAAAAAAGCCAAAAACACAAAGCUGCAAAAUCCAGCUUUGAAAAACUAGCUUUUUUUUCACAUCUGUUUUACAUAAAAAUUUAUCAAACACCAUAAUACUGUUUUUUUAUUUUUUCAAAAGCACUUUUACAAAAAAAAAGUUUACCAAACAAUCUAUUGCUUUAUUUCACAGCUGCUUAUUCUCACAGUACAGCAGAAGCAAUGUUUUUUUCAAAGCACAACAAUACCAAACCAUCCUUAAAUUUGGGAAUUGUUACUAGCAAUCUAAAAUUUUUAUUCUACACUCCUUAGAAGUGUAUUUUUCUUUCUAAUUAUAAAAAGUUUGAAGUGCGAAAUGAUUUUUUGGAGUGCCAAUAACAAUUAAGUUUUGCUUCUUUUUUUUUUUUUGCACGGGAUUCGAUGAAAUGCCAAAUCUUUUUGAGACAAAAAAAAAAAGGAUAAUUUAGUAUUACGGUCUAGUGAUAUUUAUCUUCACUUGUAAGUGAGAGAUCUUAGGUUUUAUUCUUGUCUAAGACGAAUUUAAACUACAAUAGUGCUAGCCCAUUGUAAAGCUAAGCACACCUCCUCUCCCUUAGAGUAGAUAAAUAUUGUUGUUAAAAAAAAAAUCUGGAGAGGCUUCUUUGUUGUCUAUGAUUGGCUUGGAUAUGACAAAUCAUUAAAUUCAACGAAUACUGAAUGAAGAAUUGAAUGCCCACUGGCAUUUUUGUUUCUUUCGAAGGAUGGAGAUUAUAGGAAAACUAAUGAAAAUGGUUUGAAAACUUUGAGUUUUAAUGAUAAGGACAAAAUAAAGGGUAAAAUGAAUAGUACUAGGAUUGACUUUUUAGUGUAAAAAUGUGAUUUUUCGUUAAAAUGAACAAUACCCGGUGCUUUUCGUUAAAGUUCCCUUAACUAUAUGGUGAAAACCUAUAUUGACCAAUUCUAUUAAUUAUUUUAUUCAAUUCAAAAGUUGUAAAUAAACAAAGGUGUGUUCGGUUUGUACUGUAAAUAUAGCAAUCAAACAUGGUUGAAAUGUAUAUAUAACAAUGGAAAUCAAAGUGAAAUUACACAAAUAACUAUACAAUUUACAUAAAUAAUAUAAGAUUUUAUUGCGAAUGAUGUAUGAAAAAAAAAAUAAUAAUUUCCCGCCAACCAACGGUCCAGAUCCACAAGAUCAAUACAAUCGCCCAGAUAAAAACAUCAUCAUCCACCGUCCAACUUCAACCAUGAUCUGACGUUCCAUCUAACAUUAUUAAUUUAAUACCAUAAACCGCAAUUUAAUAAUUAAAAUGUUCCUUUGCAAACAAAACCCACUUAAACCACGAACCCAUUUAUUCCCCAAUCCAACGGUCCACAACUCCCCGCGCAACCAACCCCCCGCCAUCCAACCGCUCCAAACCCAGUUCAACAUCAACGAAGGGCGUCAGAGUGCCGUUUGAGGUUCAAACUUUGGGUUAACGUUCUCGACGCCGUCAUCCGCCGUUAACCGAUAGGGUUUUCUAAACCUCGCAAAAGCUCAAAUCUCUCUCGCUAACGGUAAUUAACGGAGACGUCGGUGCAUAUAUAUUCGUUAUAAAAAUUUCUAAAUUUUUUUUUGUAAGUAUUUAUAUUAUUUCCUCUAACCUCUGUCUCUUUCUCUCUCUUCGUUUCAACGGGCGAGGAUUUUUCGAAACCAAAAGCUCUCCUCUUUCUUUCAUGUUUCAGAGAAGAAGGGUUCUGAAAAUUCUAUUGGGUUUAAUCGAUGAGCUCUAAUUCGAUUCCCGCCACUUCUUCGCAAGCAGAGGUAUAACUCUCUUACUUUUUCAGAAAAAUUGUUUUUUGUUUUCGAAAACUCUCCUUGUUUUUGUGUUUUUGUGUUUUUGUGUUUUUGCUUUUCAAUGGUUUUUGGCUGGGUUCGAUCGAGUUUUCACGAUUUCUUAGACUUCAAGUUGAUUGGAUUUGUGUUGGGUUUUCGAUAAAAUCCCUAGAAUUGUGUUUAAUUUGCAGUUUUUUGAUCUGGAGACCAGUUUUUAAGAUCCGGGUCUUGCUUGUCUGGGUCUAUGGCGGUAGGGUUUUGGAGAUUUUGGAGUGAAGUUGGGGUCAUUUUUAGGGUUUUAGGUGUUUUCGAUUUGGUAUAGGGGUUUCUCGUGGAGGGUUUUGUUUUGUAUUUUUGUAUUUUUUAUUUUUGGUUUCUAUUUAUUGAUAGGGAUAUUGGAUUUUGGAGAUUAUUUAUAGGAGGAGAUGGCUGGGGUAAAAUUAGAGGAGUAUUGCCUUGAGAAUAAGCAAUCCACGGCUGCAUCGAGCUCGUCUGUAUCCCAAGGCAGUGGCAGUGGCAGUGCUAUUAUCAAGUCCCCAGGGGCUUGCAGCCCAGCAUCUGCUUCUCCAACUCAACGGUACUUUCCCUCAAUGCUUAACAGCUGCGAUUUCGUUACAACUCUAGUGAUGUUCUCUAUUUGAAAACCCUUCUUUUCAUUAGCAGGUUCAGAUUACGAUUUCGGUGUUAAUUUUUAGUUCCAUGCAUCUGCUUUUAGACAUUAUAUAGUUUCCAAUGGAUAUUUGUAUCCUUACCGGGAUCAGAAUUGACAGUGUUGUGGUAGUGAAUUGACAUAUUGGUUUUGAUCUUUCAGGAGGACUAGUGGUCCUAUUAGGCGAGCCAAAGGUGGUUGGACUCCACAAGAGGUCAGCAUUCAUUUUGUACUUAUGUUCACUUGUUUGUAUUAUCAGCCAGAAGCAUGAAUGGUUUUCGUGUUUGUUACUGAACUUACUGGAGGGAGAGGUUCAUAAUUUUCAGUCAUUAAAUAAUUAAAACUCUUAAUGCCUGAAAAAGUCGCUGCUUUUACUAACUGGUUGUAUUACUUAUUUUAUCAGUACCAUCUCCCAUUUUCAUAUGUUGUUGCUAUGAUACAUGUCGCUUCUGUUUCCUUAGUCACAUCCCUUUUCGGGGCAUGUUUCUAAUUUUCGAUAAAUGUUGGAUUGCCACAGGAUGAGACAUUACGGGUUGCCGUUGCAGCUUUUAAAGGGAAGAGUUGGAAGAAAAUAGGUAUAUCUCUCUUGAGUAUUUUUUCUGAUUUAUGUUGCUGGUUUUCAAGGCACGAAUGCAGCUUUUGGUUAGAUUUUGUGUAGUUACAUCUUUCAAUAGCUAUGGUGCUUUUAGGUGGCAAUGAUUCUGCUCAGCAAAUGUGCUUGACUAAUCUUUUGAAUGGUAGAGAGUUUGAUAAAUUAAAAGAAAUCCCGUUUUGGUUGAACGAUAAGAAUAUAUAUUCAGAGCUCUGAAAAUUCUAAGCAAGCACGUCAUAGAUGUCCCAAGAGGUUGAAACAAGUUACUUUUCAUUCAAUUGCCUGAUUAUAUAUUAUACCUAUGUUGUUAAUUUUCUGCUGUACCAACAUACAGGCAACCAAUCUAAUAUAUGAAUUUUAAACAAUGUGUAUGCAGCUGAAUUUUUUCCUGAUAGAUCGGAAGUGCAAUGUCUGCAUCGAUGGCAGAAGGUUCUUAAUCCAGAACUUGUUAAAGGACCCUGGACUCAAGAGGUUGGAACCUGAUAUCAUAUUUUCUUAAUAUGUUCUUACAGUGUAGGUUUGAGCAUUCAACUUUGUCUAACUCAACUUUCUCCUUACUUGUUUUAUUUGUAGGAGGAUGAUAAAAUAAUUGAACUGGUAGCAAGGUAUGGACCUACAAAAUGGUCGUUGAUAGCAAAGUCUUUGCCUGGUCGUAUAGGGAAACAAUGCCGAGAGAGGUAACCUCCAUAAGCUUUUAAUUAUGUUUGACACCAUUGCCCUAUGGUUAUUAUUAAGUUCUGAUGUUAUUGUCAUAUAUGAUCUCGAAAUCUUGACCACUGUAAUGCUGACCUGAUCGAUCAUGUUUUCCUCAAAAUGUUUUGCUCUGGAAUUAACAAUUAUGCCAUUUAUUACUUAUAAUUUUGUAUAAUGCUGAUGCUUUAUAAAUUUUAAUGUUAUUCAUUCCAUGGCAUGUAUCGUACAACUAAUUUGUUCAUGAAAUGAAAACAAAUCGUUUGGGUAGUGUAUAUGCUUGUAACCCAGUUUUUCUCCCUUCAGGUGGCACAAUCACUUGAAUCCUGAUAUAAAGAAGGAGGCUUGGACGUUGGAGGAGGAAUUAGCUCUUAUGAAUGCCCACCAGAUGCAUGGGAACAAGUGGGCUGAAAUAGCGAAGGUUUUACCUGGAAGGUAUCUUUCUUUGUUUGAUUUGUUAUUUAUAAAUGACAUUAAGGUGCAAAUUAGAGCAGCACUACAGAGAUGUAGCCAAUUUCAAAGACUACCGCUAAUGUGUGACAUCAAGAACUUUUGAACUGUGGUCUUACAAGUUACAUCUAAUUUUCGGUUAAAACAUUGCGAGAAAUGCCAAUUUCAGUGAUGGGUGCAAAUACUCCUUGAUUUUGUAAUGCUGCCGUCUGGAAACGACUGUUACCUAAGAAAUUAAUUUUAAAUAAAAAUAUCAUCUAGAAACGACUGUUACCUAAGAAAUUAAUUUUAAAUAAAAAUAUCAUCUUAUAAAUUGGAAACCACUGUUACAAGUUCAUUUUAUUUUGUUGUGUGUAUGCAGUGCUUACUAAGCCAAAUGUUGUAUUUAACUUUGUGUUUGCAGGACAGAUAACGCAAUAAAGAAUCAUUGGAAUAGUUCUUUGAAGAAAAAACUUGAGUUCUAUUUGGCUACUGGGAAACUUCCACCACCUCCGAAGUAUGGCACCAAAGAGACAAGAACCAGUGCAACUAAAAAAUUACUUGUUUGUUCAACUAAAGGAUCGGAUUCAACUGCUCAAACAUCAUCUGGAAAUGCAGACAUGUCUAAGCUAGAUGAAGAUGGAAAGGAUCAGUUUGAGUCUGCCGCCCCACCUCAGGAUAUGGGUGCUUCACCAAGUGUUCAUCCAAAUGAAUCUGCAGAUUCUGAAGGUGUAAAAUGUAACCUGAGAUUAUCCUUUAUGGAUCUUAGCUGCUCUAACUCAGACUCGGGGCCAAAGUUUGAGAAUUUCAGAGUAAACAGAAUGCCUCAGAUUGAGAAUUCUGUCAUUAACAGCCAGGCAGAGUCGGAGAAUUGUGUAUUUAACAAUCAAUUGGACGAAGACAGAGUUAAGACAACAUCUUUGCCAGUUGAAACUCCAGGAUAUGGUUCUUUGUACUAUGAGCCGCCACCACCAGAAAGUUGUGCCCAAUUCGAUUCAGGUUUUUCAAACAUGCAUCGCUUGCAGUAUGAUUACACCUCUAGUCCAAAUUUAUCACCUAUAAGUUUCUUCACUCCUCCUUCUGCGAAUGGCAGUGGUUUAUGUAAUCAAAGCCCUGAAUCAAUUUUGAAAAUCGCUGCUAAGACCUUCCCCAAUACUCCUUCCAUUUUGCGAAAGAGAAAGACCAUUGGCCAAGAACAAUUGCCUCGUAAUAAAGUUGCGAUAGUGGAUCUUGAAUCAGGGAUAGUGGAUUGUGAAUCAGUCAGGGAACAGGAGAGACACAAAAACAGUGCGGAAGUUUCUGGGUCUCAAGAUGGAAGUUCAUGCGAGAGUCCUACUAAUAAUGGUAUCAGUACAAUUGGGUCUAAUGGCAAGGCUUUUAAUGCAUCUCCGCCAUACCGGUUAAGAGCCAGGAGGACUGCUGUUUUCAAGUCCGUGGAGAAACAGCUGGAGUUUACAUGUGACAAAGAGUAUGAUGCUAAUUCUAAGUCCAUGGAAUUAUCUGCAAAUGGCGGUUCUGCUGUUAUCAAAGACUCAACGCAUCCAACAAAAAUGGGAGUGACCUAGGGCAUGCACUGUAAGUUUUAGCUUUUGUUAUAAUUGUUCUCGGAACUUAUUUAUCUCUGAUAUAUCUUCAUAAACUAUUAUCAUCAAAAUAAAUCUUACAACCUUUGGUGUCGUCCUUUGUAUAAGUAGUUAUAGGAUUCACACUUUGUAAACUGUUUUUCUAUUUUAUUUUCGAAACUUGAUCCGACAAAGAAAACUGUCACGCUCUAAAUGCAAGAUCUCUAUAUGACAUAGAAUUGCUUAGUCAAGUAGUGAAUUAUGAUCGUAGAUUAUCUGGCCUUUUGAUUUUAUCCUAUCGUUAUAUUUCUAAUUACACACCUUAUGAGGUAUAGAUUAUACGUACAUGCAUAGGUGACAACCUUGCAGAAGUAAUUGAUAGAUUUUUGGUUUACUGAUAGAGGAAUCAAAGUUGUCAUUCGCUUCAUUUUGUAUUGAAUCAGUUAAUCAUUUCAGAAAUAUAUGCGGAAAUCUGUAAUAUUCUUUUGUUUCCAUAAGCAAUAAGUAAGCACGUUAAAGAACUACUGUAUUGAAACAGUUAAUCAUUUCGGAAAUAUAUGUGGAAAUCUGUAAUAUUCUUUUGUUUCCAUAAGCGAUAAGCAAGCUGGUUAAAGAACUAUUGUUUUUGCAAUCCUUUUUGUUUUCUCAUUGUAUCCACUCUAAAUAUACCCUUACUUUUAGCCUUUCUGAAAUGUGUUUCUGAUUUGAUCUCCCUCUGUUUCAAUUCAGGGACAAAGAAGGGCGAUUCUUUUGACGUUGGCUGACACUGUUGAACUGGUGAUAUUUCCAAGUCUACAGAGCUUCUGAACAGAGUGAUACAUCGAUUUAUCCGACCAUUCUCUGGUCUGACAUCUUCAAUGCCUUACAAGCCAUUAACUUGCAAAUACACCCCUUGUUAUUAGUUACACGAGAGCGGUUUUUCGGCACUCCAACUUGACAAAACACAGUGGGCAGGCUUCUUUUAUGUGUAGAAAUAAAAAUGAUAGGCCCCAAAUACUUGUGAAAAUAUAUUGAUUAUAUCAGGAUUGUACAGAAAACCCCUCAUCAAAGGAGCCAUGAUGCUUCAUGCUUGAAGAAUUUCUUAAUGAAAGCUUAGCUCCUGUCAUUCUUUACCAAUAUUUACAGUUAAAAAUCUUCUAUAUUUAGUGGUCAAAGUACGCUCUUGGAAAUCUUAGGGUUGCUCUUUAUUGCGCCAAUUAUUUUUUAUUAAGGAUUCCGUUUGAUAUGCACUGUAUUUUUUGGUCAAUUAAAAUUUAGUUUUCAGUUUUCAUAUAUAAAUAAUUGAAAACAAUAGUAGAAAAAUACCGUGUAAACGUGUGGUUGACUGACGUUGACCUCAUGUACGGCGGAAGCAACGGCCCUCUUUCCUCCCAAUGUGCUCACGUCAAGCACUACAUUACUCGCAUGGCGAAUGCUCUUGCUUGUGCUACCUUAUCUUAUUCUAAUGAAGUGGAAGAAAUCUCGCUAACCUUCUCACUUUAUAAAUUGCUUCUUCGUUUUGUCUUGAUGGUAUAUCGUAAGAGGUAGUAUUUUGCUUUCGAUUUAGGGCUACAUUUUCUCCCGACCUAAGUUUAUGUCCCUUUGAACCCACUAUAAAUUCCUCAAUAAAAUUUUUUUUUACGGAGCUCCAUAUUUAAUCCGUGAUGCUUUGUUCGAGGAUUGUACUAUUUAAUCGUUAACAAAAUGCUACGUUUCAUCUUGAAAAAUAAAAUAAAAUGUUACAUGAGCCGGUCAUACCACGAAUACGUUUCUUUUUCAGCGGGUAGUGUUGGAACUUCUUUUUGGUUCAAAGGCAAAUACAAUCGACAACUAAAAGCUCUGAUUAACAUUGGCACAUUCGACAUAUAACUACCUAAAAAUGUUAGGAAGUGCUUUUAUUAAGCAAACGCCUGGAAAAGUGCUUUUAUAACUUCUUUUCCGUGUCUUUCGGUGAAAGCGCAAGGGGCCAUGAGCACUUCUUUGUAUUUUCAAACUUUUAGCUAUGGAAACUUUUAACGGAUCAAAGGAUUUAUCGACACGCCGGACCGGAACUAUUAGAAAUCUCUAUUAACAGCUCCACAAGCAACUCUCCCUCCCCCCCUCAGCUUUUUGGAGAUAAAAAGAAUGCUAAUAAAACAAAUAAAUAAAUAACACCACAAACUGAGAGAGAGUGAUCGACCCGGCAGCAGCGGGGGCUUCUCUCCUCAACUGCUAAAGCAAAGCAUGCAAAUGCCACUACCCAUAAAUCAGUGGCUCAUGAAUUAUGGUUAAACUUUUAUGUACAACCGUUUGAUGGACAACCCCCGGUGAAGAUAGUUUGCAGUAGUCUUCAGACUUAAGCGUCAUAUCGAACUGUACAUGCAUAAAAAACGGAAGGAACAACCUGAGGCCAACAAACUGGUCUUCCCUUGGGACCAAAUUUUCAACCCGUGGAGAGGGAUACCCAAGCAUCUGCCACUGUAGGUAACAAGAUAUUUAGUAACAGUACGAUUUAGCUAGCAAACUAAGAGCAACGGCGUGCAUAGCGGUGAUGAUAAAGAGAACAAAGAGUGUUCCAUACUUUUCAGAAUUGUAAUAGUUAACUUAUAGCAUCGCCAGUAGCCACCAACCUCAAUGUGCAGUAAACUGAACCGUUGAUCCUAGGUCCAAAUUUAUUGUCGGAAGUCGAUAUUAUCUGCUGCUAUCAAGAAUCCUUUGCCAUCAAUCUGUGUCAACAUAUAUGCCACCUGAGAUGCCAAAAUUCGAACAUUCAGCAUCGUGAAUAAAAUCUGAUUAACAUCAAACUUGGUAACAUGAUGAACUAACAUCCAUGAAGUGCAUGAUUGUUUUUUACCUUGAAAUCCAAACUAAACCAUGAAGAAAGAACCAAUAGUAGUUUGUCCAAGAACCUUGGAGCUUCGAUCAAGGCCAUGAGAAGCAACCUACCAUGCAAAUCACAAACCACUUAUCAUAAAACUUAGAACCGAAACAAGAAAUAUUUUCAAUUGGAAGUUUGGAACAUAUAAAUUAAGGAUGCUUCUAUAUGAACUCGCAGACAAGGCUCAACACAUCCCCUUCACUAGAGAAAUUUCAACACAAGGUACAGCCACGAAUCAUGGAUGGUGGAGUGAGGCAAAGGGCUCCAAGUGGAGGGUAGGACAGAGCGUGAGAUCGGGCCAAAUUUUUUCAGAUUUAUUUCUCACUUUAGUAAUAAGGGUACAAUGGGGAUAACAAGAUUACCACAAACUUUUAGUGACAAUGGGUUUCUUCAACAUAUACUACAACGCAGCAAAAUGUUCUCACCAAGUAAGUUAAAGCUGCAUAACGUUCCUCGUUCAAGUACAGCGGCUUUCCUCUCUGCAUUUCAAUAUCCUGCAAUAACAAAACUUACAUUAUCAUACACAGAAGCAUAAAUCCCUAUAAAUCAACGAAUGCACUAAAAGAACAAAUAAGAACAGGAGUGUCCACAAGUGCUACUUCCAACAUCUUCAUCUUUUUGUAACCAUUUUACAUUUUCCUUUUUAGGGUUUUGGGCUGAGGGUAGAGUAAAACUGCAAAGCGACUUUCUGCAUUUUAUUCAGCAAAACUGUAUGCGAUGAAGAAAGGGGGAAAUCUCUCUUCUUUAUUGACACAAUAAUAUUGCAGGGUUGGAGAUUUGGGCUAAGCCACACUUUGGGGUAGCCAUAAUUAGGUAUUUCCCAUAGGAGUUGAACCUAAGACUCACUUACAAGUGGAGAGGAAUACCGCUAAACUCCAGUUCAAGUGGCAGAAGGGGAAAAUUCCAAACUGCUUGAAAGGAGCUCUAUGAAAUGCAGUAUCAAAUAAUCUUUUGCUUCAUUCUAUACAUGUGAAACUCCAAACUGAAAGAGGAGAUAUGCAACUGUAGUGGGUGGAUGGCAUAGUGAGAACAUCCUCUAAAUACCCAUAGCUCAUUCCUCCUCUUGCCAAAGCAAUAAAAAUAAAGGGCAUUUCACAAGUAUGCCCUUGAUAGCAUAAAAAGGAUCAAUGACUAGCUAAAAGCUCCUAUAACGCAAAAUAUCCGAAGUACCCUAGGAUCAAACCUGUAUGACCUCUGGGAUCAGAGCAACUAAUUUGUCUACCCUUCUGGAGAUGUUCACUAGCAUUGCUUUCCUUGCAGGGUUUUCCAGAAAUUAUCAUAAAAAUGCACUAUCCUUUUGAGAAAUACAAAUAAGUAUCGAAAAAUUAUUACCCACCAUUAUCUUCUCAUUUGCUUCAAACUGAGAAAAUCAAGUGGAGUAAGAUGGAUGUACAAGGGCUCACCAGAAUAUGGUAUGAUUUGUCAUUUCAAAUUGUUUACAAGGGAAGACGAUGAAAGAAAUAGAGGAAUAAAAUUGCUGCAGAUUUACAAUAGCAGAAACCAAUUACCUCUUCUCCAAAAGCAUCCAAGUAGGGUGAUGGCCAGGGAGCUUGCCGUGCAGAUCUUUGCAGCAGAAUUGUUGUCCUCUACAUUCACACCAAAGAAAAUUAAUCAUCUCCGCAAACAAGAAUAGAGGUAAAAACAAAAUUUAAAGAUCUAACAGAUGGGCUUCCAAACAUAAUUAUUAAAAAAAGUAACCACAAUGCAUACCCUGAUCAACAGAAAUACCCCAGUACCAGAACCACAGGACACUGCAUGAGUUUGGCAUCCACUUUCCCUAAGAUAAAUUGUCAAAUUUAGCAAUGAUGGAGCAAUGGGGCAUAAACAUGUAUUAAAUGGAUAAUCAAUCCAAUAAUAAUGACAUAUAUUGGUGAUAUAUACUUGCAACAUGACUUCCAGCUUGGAGAGCAUAAUCUCCCACAAAGCAAGCACAAUGCAGGGUCAUCAAGAAUAAUCUCGCAAUCAGGACAACGCUGUUUUAUAUAUCUGCAAAAACACAAUCUUUCUGAGUAAACUUUAAUUCUGGAGAGAUCCUUUUAGAAGACAAGAACUCCAGUAACAAACCAAGAAGCAAUUCAACUAACCUCUGCAAUAAGUCUUGGUAAACUCGGGGCAGACGCAUCAAUUGGAAGGGAACUGCAGGGCUACAGUGCAUGCUUCCUUGAAAUCUUAGGACCUCCAACUCCUUCCGAAAAUGAUGGAACCAUUUCUGAGCUAUUGAACGUACCACUUUAUCCUUAAAGAUAACAUCCAGUGUAGGAACCUUGAACAUGCUUUCAAUUUCUUGAACAUCAUUUAGAUUCACUAGUGCCCCAUAAGUGGUGUCCAUCAUGUCACCAAUGGCAUGAGAUCUAUCCAAGACAUUAAACCUUUCAUGGAAUGGUACUCGGGAACAAGAGUUCAGCAGCUUCAACAGCAAUGCGCACCUCCGCAAAUACGGGAAACUCAGGCUGCAAACUAUGUUCUUAAUAUUACAAGAAGAGCCAAUAUAGUUUGAAACGAAAUAUUGCUGGGUGGCUCCAGAUUCUUCCAUAAGUUUAGAGAUGUCAGUAACCAGGCAAUCAUCAAUACCUAAUCCACUAAUGUCACAUUGAUUUUCCCCACAAUAUGUCAUUAUGCCCUGCAUUCACAUUUCACCAUAAUGAAUUAGGCCACUAGAUGUUUUUAAUGCCAUCUAAGAAUUAUGAGAAAAAAGGGAGAAGUACCGCUAACAUACCUGAACUACAGAGACAACAUAAAAUAAGUGCACUAGGGAUAACAAUGAAUCUUCACAUGAUAAAAAUUGGUUUGGAAGACAAAAAAGAACCCACAUCAAUGAUGAAAAAGGAUCACGAGCAAGGACAGGAUCAGAAGCUCGAUUCCAGAACUGAAUAUCAGGAUAUGAUACCGCUAGAUCAACAUGUUCCAAGAUACGCAGCAUGGCACCUGCGAAACAUUGCAUUGAUGAGGAUUUAACUGAAUAAAGCAAAAUGCUUCAAUGUUUGGUAAAGCAUAACACCUAAAAUUUUGCACAUGUGAAACUUGAAUGCUUAAUAGUUCUUUCAUGGCUUUCAAUAGGGUCCAAGAAUUCAACCAGCCGCAGCAUUCUCCAUUAUACAAAUGAAUAAUGCUACUUAUCCCAGAUUUCUCUCAACUUUUUUUUUUUCCCAAUCAGACAUGAUAUAUACACCAGAUCAUUGCAUUAAGAAAUGCAGAAAUGUUUUAGAAUCCAAUGUGCGAAUGCCAUGUAAAAAGUUGGGCUCAAUAGCAGUAUUAAUCAUCUAAAAAUCACUUUAGUAAAAUUCAUCUUUUGAAAGAAAAAACAAGAAAGGACAAUAACUCUGAAAUCUAACUGUCUUCUUACAGUAGGCACGCUAUUUGUAAUUUUGAAUGGCCUGUGACUAGCGAAUCAGAUAGCAAGAAACAAAUAGUCACAGAAAGUCACUUGAAACAUAUGAAAUAAAUGGCUUUUACUGGUAGCAACAAUACCUUGUCCACAUGUUUCAUCGCCAACGUCUAUGGAAACUCCAAAUAGAAUAGAUUCUGUAAAGCUUUGAAUUCCUAUAAAUCUCUGAAGGACAUGAAGAGAAUUCUUUCUUCUGCUUUGGACUAUUUUCAGCAACAAGGACAAAAUAAAUCUACUUGAUUCAAGUUCCUUAUACAGUGUACUAAGGCCACAGCUUAGAGUUGCAUAUUUCCCACCAGAACGAGCAGCAAUUUCUGUUGAUAGUAGAGAGUACUUAAUUGUGUCCCACAUAAGCAUUGGGUGGUUGACCCUGGCAGAUCCUGAUAACUUAUCCUGUUUAGUCAGAAAUACAUCUUACAGAGCGAUUGAAAAAUUGGUUCAAGGUCUGAGGUCAUUCUUCCACAUCUCCGAAGGGGGAAACCUUUAAGACUUCCAACCUUCCCAGAUGCCUCUGCUGCAGAUUGCAAGAGAGCCAACCCUUGUUGAAGCUGAAGAGAAUUAAUUUCGUCACCUGAUUUGACCAAUUGACCAGUAGCAUGCGAUGAACUAACACCUGAAUACGGAGGCUCCUUAGUGACUUGGAGAAACUCUGGCAAUGCGGGCAAGACAGAAUUUGCAAGUCGACGGCAUACAGGACAGAGAAACUCCCCCUAUGGGUAAAAGAAUAAACAUGCAAAAGGUUAGUAAUAGAACCCUCAUCUAUUCAUUGCCGACGAAAAGAAAAAUAUGCAGGGAAUCCAUGUACCUUGUCGGGAUCUGCAAUAUGUCCCCCUUCAAAAACAAUUCUUCUGAGAUACCUGCACGAACAGAUAAGAUGGGAAAAGUUAGGCCAUUUUCACUAAAAUAGUAAAAUAUCAACAAUCUUCCAGAGCAACAUAUAUGAUAUAUCUGACUAUUUUUCCUUUAGUUGUUGCAAUGCAUCAUAACCACAAAAGCAGGAGAUUUCAUUUUUUUAGCAACCAUCGAUUUGGAAAACUACACCAUUCCCCCUUGUAGAACACACCAUAUAAAGAAAACUAAAAAAUAAAAUAAAAUAAAAUAAAACUGAAUGAAAAAUCAUCAAGGCAAGAUUAAAGGUUCAUGCAGGCUUCUUAAAGAACAAGGCAAUUCCAAUUGCAAGGUUAAAAGCAAGGCCAAAGAGAUUAAGAAAAAUGUAUUCUGAAACCGUCUUUUCCAAAGUUUCUGCUACUGCCCUUCCAAGUUCAUUGAACAAGGUGUAACUACUUUCACUAGUAGUCAAUAAAACAACAGAGAAGGCAUUCCCUCUUAACAAAAUAUCUUAAUAGAAUUUCUCAUUUUAAAAAGUACAACUUCCACUGUUCAUGCGAAUAAUAAAAAAUAUAUAUAUACAAAUCCAUAAUUAAGAUUAAAAAGUGAUCAAGAAUUCCCAACCAAAAUUACUAAGGAUUGAAGAUUUCUCUUAUUGAAAGGGAGGACAUUUGGCUGCGUGAUAGAUAUUUACAAUUCUCAUUUCCUAGACUGUUCAACAUAUCCAGGUUUCAUAAUAUUUCUAGUGUGGCGAGUUUUGCUGAACAUUCUUUGAAUUGGGACUUUGGCUUUCAAAGGAAUUUGCAUGAUGUGGAAUUAGACGAGUUGUCAUCUUUCUUCACAAGUUUGGAUCAGGCUUGCUUUCUCCCUUCAAGGGCUGAUGCAAGAAAUUGGAUACUUUAUUCUUCAGGAAGCUUCUCUGUUAAAUUUAUUGCAAUUUCCUUCUCAAAAACAAUGCAGAUAGGGUUUUUUCAGGCUUAUGGCCUGGUUUGGAAAUCUAAAGUUCUUAAUAAAGUGAAGGUUUUUACUUGGUUAGUGGCUCAUGGGAAGGUUAACACUUGUGACAUACUCCCGUAACGGAGACCUAGUUCAUGUCUACAACCUGCUUGGUACAUUUUAUGCAUGAUCAUUUGUUUCUUCACUGUCCGGUGGCCUUAAAUCUAUGGUAGAGAAACAUAAAUUAUCAGGUAAGGGGAAGAAAAUCAAGGUCUUAUGGGGUUGUAUAGUUUCAGCUAUCCUUAGGGUCAUUUGGAUGAAAAGAAACAAGCUGAUUUUUUAGGACAACGAACUCAGUUGAAGGGAGGAUCUUUGGGAUGAAGUUUGGUUAUCUCUUUGGGCAUCGGUUACUACAAAAUUUAGGGAUUUGUCUUUUUGAGAAAUUUGGUGUAACUGGUUGCUGCUAUUAGUUAGUUUUGUGUUGUUUCACAGUUUCUAAGUGUCAGGGUGAUGUUGCUAUGUAUCCUGUUUUGUUUGUGCUUUUGCGGACUUCUUGUCCGCUCUUGUAUUUUUAUUGUUUCUUUGCAAUAAAAAUUUGUUUCUCCUUCUUAACAAAAAGGGGUUUACCUUUCCUUCAACGAAGAUAAAUAACGAUCAAGGCAUCCCUGAUGUACAGCAUGUCCACAGGAAGAAAGAUAAAUUCCAUCACAAUCUGUUGGGCCAAAUCCGUCAUGUGCUGAAAGACGAGAAGAAUCUACUGUCACCCUUUCAUUAGGAGCACUUUCGGAAGAUGAAGGAUUCUCUGUUGUCUCUCUAGAAAGAGAAGCUAUAUAUUUUCCAAGUAACAUAAAUUCAGCAUGCUUAGUUUCUUCUUGAUCCCCUUCAGGAGUUGAAAAUCCUUUAUCCUCUAAAGGAUUAGAAUGAAGCAUCUUAUCAUGCAUUUCCUUUUGGAUGCAGAUGUACAUAUCAUCUUCCAUUGUCUCAAAUGUAUGUAAAGUCUUUUCCCUUUCAUCAUUUGAUUCACGUUGCACUUGGAUAUUCCUUAACUCAUGGAACCGGCCCUUGAGAAAAUCUAUAAGAGCGUCAACAUCCCUAGGUUGUCCAUGACAGGCAAAUUCGGUGACUGCAUUCUGAACCAAAUGUCUACAAGGAUCAGAUGGCACCAGUUGUGGUCCUGAACCACUUGAUAAAGUGCUUAAUCCGGAUUGAUCAUUCACCUCGUUUGUGGUAAUAGAGAUGUGCUCCUUGUCUAUCCAACGUGGUUGCUCCCAUGACAGGGGACCUCUUUCUAUGAAACUCAAAAGUCUAGAUUUCUGAAGUAAAACCAAGUAGGAUAUUGGAUUUCUGGAACUGGGAUCAUGACAAAGAGAGCAAACAACUUGUUCAGACUCUUCCAAAUCAUCUUCAACAUUAAGUUCACAAACCUCUUGCUCCGAUUUUGAACCCUUGUCCACAGUGGAUUUAACACUGGCCAUAAACUUGGAUUGUUCGGCUCUCAUUUUUUCCAAUAUGGCAGCCUGUCUCUCUCUGGCUUUUGCCUUGCGCUUCUCAGAGUCAGAAAUUGAACCUGAGGUCUUAGCGUCAACAUUUGGAGAAGAUUGCGACACAAGACCAACCACUUCAGGUGCAAGUUGUUGUAAUAUGGUCAAACAUCCGGAAUCAAUCUCUACAAACUUCUUUAAUAAACUUCCAAUUAAAGAAGACAGGUCGCAACUUCCAGCUUCCAAACAAUUGUUGACAUUCUGUUUCUUAUACAUCCUCAUCAAGAUAACAAGAAGUGACAGCAAGCUUUGUUGACCAGCACCAAAGUAUCGUCCUUCAUUAAUUUCUUCCCCAGCAAAAGCUAGCAUGGGAAUUGCAUCUCCAUCAUAACAAGACUUAUCACCAGCUUCCUUAUGUUGAGAACAAAUGUCUAAUGCUAACGAAAGUAAGUGCAACGCAUUUAACAGAACACUAUCAGGAGCUCGUGAAUCACUUGAUUUAUCAGAAGAAACAGCAUAAAACAGCACAGCACGGAUAAUUUUAAGGACUGCUUUACAUGUAGCUAUUCUAGCUACCCCUUUGAAAGGAGAAUAAAUCUUAGUCCAUCUGGGUAGCUGAGUGGUCAAUGCAGAAACACUACGAAAACGCAAGUAUCUUUCUUCAGCAGCUUGCAGAUCCCUCGAGUUCCAACGAGGGUAGUACAAAUCCAGUUCUUUCCAAAAUGUCCAUUGUAGUGAAUAAGUCCCCUGAUUAAAGCCAGAGGGAUUGGAGUACACGGCAAUGGAUUCCAAAAUUCCAUGUAGCUGAUCAGACUUGGACAGAUCACGAGGAAGAGAUUUAACCAAUUGACUAUGAGUGCCAUCUGCAAUGGCUAAUUUAUGAACCAACUCUCUUUUCAAACUUUCAGCUUUAGUUAGACCACAAAAUCGCCUUUCUUUGACUAUUUGUAUAAUAAGAGUGAGCAUUUCUUGCACUAGAACAGUCUCAUAUUCACUAGAGUGCUCAAGGUUCAAAGAAAGGUAACUGGACAGGCCAAAGCGUUCAAUAAUUCUGUUAACAUAAGGAUCAGCUGGAGCCAAGGCAGCACAGCAUUGAAGCAGAAACAGAUCAAGCUCCAAACCCUGUUCAGACCUACAAUAUUAACCAUAUGAUAAAGAGUCAAUCCUGAAAAUAAAAGGAGGAAAAAAAGAGUGAAAAGAAAAAUCAAUCAUUACAAGAGAUGUUUUCCCCCUAAAAUGCAUGCCACAGAUGAAGCAUAAAUCACUUACCAGCGAACUGAACGAUACCACUCACAAGAUAAUAGGGCGGCAUCCCCAUUUUUCCGCCACAUUCCCGCAUGAACCUCCGCACAAAAUACUCUGAUCCGAAGGGGAUGCUCCAUAACAAAGGCAGAAAAUCCAUAUGGGUGGCAGCCUCCCAGAAUAUUUCCAAAGAAGUCAGUUAAAAUAGCUGAUGAUGAAUUUGCAGAAGUAACGCUAGCCAGAUCUGGCACUUCACCAAAACAUCUUCUUAAUGCUUUCUGCAAAAGCAAGGAAAGUAAGCGAUGUAAAGGAAUGUGAACAGAUAUAUCCUGUGAACUAACAUCAUAUGUUAUGUCAGGCCAAUCAGACAAACUCAAUACACGUAGAGCAUCUAAGUCCAUGGCACCAUCUACUUCCAUAGCACUAUCAUCAAAUCCUGCAGGAUUGCAGGCAUUAACUGAAUCAAUGUUGUCAGUAACCAUCAAAUUACUCUCCUGCCCUGCAAUUUUGCCUUUUUGGGUGUCAACACUCAUAUUGCAAUCACUAUGUAAAUGUGAUGAACACUGCUUGCCAUGAUCUUCACUAGAACUGGCAAGUCUACCAAAAAUAUAUUUUCCUUUCCUGAUCUUGGAUAAUGUUCUCUUCAAUGCUGAAAAAUUGCUAGGAGAUAAAUUGCUAGUACUUGGAGAAGAUGCAUCAAGAAGAGUCCUGGAGGUAUUAUCACCUCCCAGCCAAUUCUCAAUUGCCCUCAAGCACUCAUAUGUUAGCCACAUCACAGAUGGUGGAAUCAACAAAUCAGAAAGAGCAUCUGAUUUAUCUUCAGGAACCUUCGACUCACACGCAAAUGAACUACUCCCCACUGCACUACAUGCAGAACUUUCCUGAGACAGCCGUCCUACUUUUGAAUGUCUUAGGCUAUCCCUGUCAUCCGUAUCCUGCUUAUAUGUUCUGAAAAGAGAGUCUUCAUCCAUCUUGUCAAUAGCUACAGAAAAUGCCCCAUCCACCAAUAAAGAAUGAAUGUUGGUAAUUGAAUGACCUAGAACAAACAGCAGAUGCAUAUUCUCAUUUUCUUCUUCAAUGUGCAGGCCUGUUUCCCUUUUUUGAGGGUUCAUGCCUUGCACGAACGCCAAGAGUCUCAUCCAAGUUCUUGAAAUAUUUUGCUGGUCAUGAGUUACAUAUUUGGGCACUGUAGCAUGGCUCAUAACAAAUCUAAUAUCUUCAAUCACACGAAUCGUGAUCUCAUACAAAUUUGACAAAUUGGUAACCUACAAGGAAUAACCAACCAUUUUACUACAUGAGACCAAAACAAAUGGGAAAAUAGGAACUUUUAUCAAACAAAAGAAAGCGCAUCAGAUACUCAACCACAAUGAUCUGGAAAAACAAAGAAAGGAAAAAAAUAACCAGAAUAAAAAAAACAAACUGAAAGAAUUCCAAAACGGGAGCAUAAAAAGUAACCUAGUUAGAACACCAUAUAAGCACAGCAUGACUUUAGAUUAUAACAUAACUAUACAACCUAAAUUGCCAAGUUAUCAAUUCCAUAAAGAAGGUGGCAGGGACAAGGAGGCAAUGUGCAGAGGAAUAAUGAUAAUUUCGCAACCUAUAGAGAUACAUAAAUAUUAUAUAAUAUUAAGUGGGAUCGGUGAAGCAUUCAAAAUACCAACAAUUGUCCUUCCCUAACUAGAUUUUUAAAAGAAAACAAUUUAAUUAGUGGUAAAUUAGUAAAAGAUCACAUUUGGAACUGAAAAAAAAAAUUAAGUAAAAACUCUACAAAUUGAAGAACCCAACGUAUUAAUCUUUGAAUUUUUUUAGAAAAUAACAAAUUGUAAAUUCAACUUUUCAAAAAAAAAAAAAAUUAAAUACGAAGAUCCAAUUGGCACACACGUGGGCGUGUGCCAAGGGGUUAGUAUAGGAAAAAAAUCAACGCAUUACCUGUAAACGACCGUCAUCCCCAGCACAGGAACUGAAAAUAUCUUCCAAGCAUCCCAUCAGCAUAGACAGCAGGUUCAUUUCUUUCACAAGACGAGGUGUUAAAGUUGGCACCGUGAAGAUUUGAACAGAGAAUGCAAAGAGCAGUGGAUACUUUUUCACAGAAAGGUCGCUUAAUUCCUUUCUGGCUUCCGCUUCACUUACAACAGCUGGGUAAUAACUCAAAAAUACUUUGGCAAACUCAUAUUUGAAAACAGGUUCUCCCAGCAGUUUCAGUAGCAACUCAUGCAGCCUUUUUGUAACAGUGUCAUUCAAAAACCUUUCUGCCCUCACAAGAAUCCCCAAUAGAUCCCCUGAUGCUAAAACCGUCUUGGAUACAAAACUUAGCAAACUCUCACUGUACUUACAGAAUUCUAGAAGCAUCUCAACCACGAAAAAAGUUAACUCAUUUUCAACCUUUCUACGUUCUCCAACUUGGUCACUUGCUCUAGCAUUUUCCCGCCAGAUAGUUUCACCAAGAACCAGCUUGGUUUUCCAUAUAUCAAAGAGGCAAUCAAGAACAGGCCCUACAAUGUUUGCAAUCUCCUUUGGAAGAGGUUGUAUCUGUUCCGCACCUUUAUGAUUUGAGCAAAAGCCUUCACGCUUCCAUGCUGUAACAUCACCACAAUCACAACAACCGCCACCAGUAUAAAUAAUUGAAUAGUCAUGAUCCUUGUGGUUCCCAUUCUGAAAGCAAGGAAAACAAAUUGCACAUGUUGGAUCAUUUGCACAUGUUCGGCAUCUGUAAGCUAUAUCGUUAUGUCCCCAAACAGCUCCACAAAUACCACGCUGCCCAACACUCAUUUUGGAGAGACUCUUCAGGGCUGACAUAGGUUCACCCUCAAACAUUAACCACUGCAACCACAACAUGCUUUCGUGGAAUCGACUUUUCAUGCUUACACCUUGUUUCUUAGUCCCUGGUUUUGCUUCACUUAGAGCCACUUCGUCAUCAGCAGGUAGUAUAGCGGAAACCAGUUCUGGUAUCCGUUGCUUGUUAUUCUUAAUAAAAGCAACUAACCCACUUUGGUAUUCACCAAGAAACUCGUUUGGCACUCCCAGUUGAGCUAGCCUCUGCAUAAAUUAACAACAAAAACAUAAAUGUGAACCUUUUUUCUGACCCAUAUCAGUAAAAUUACGAUAUGAAACGAAAGUCAAAAAGUACAUAUACAUUAAAACAUAAUAUUUUUCCCAGAAAUUUCACUCAAUUACUCAAACAAGUAUUACGAUAUCAGCUCUAGGAAAUGAUCAAUAAUUCCAAAAAAUUUAAAUAAAAAUAAAAAGAAGAAAAUUUUCAACUACACCUAAACAAUUAAUUGCAUCCCAACCUCUAUAAUUCAACAAAUUAACUGCUGAAAAAAAAAUACAGAAAAUAAUCAAAAAUUGGAUAAUCAAAAGAAGAAAAUUCAUACCCGCACGAUUCGAUCACGAUGCUUGAUGUGGGCGUAUUCAGGAGGCAAAUCGGCUUCCAUAGUAUCAGAACUCCAGCACCGAGCAAGCCAAUCCACGCAGCACAAACAACGCUUAAUCCCAGAGCUUUCACUCCCCAGGAUUACUCAACAACCACAAUAAUUAGUGCAUUAAACUCUAAUAAUUCUUCCUUAUUCGACUGCCAAAUUGAAUUUCGCAAGCCCUAAUUCACCAUCUGACAGUUGAAUACAUACAAAUAAUUGUAUUCAAUUCUCUCUCUCUUGGCGGUUUAUGCAGAGGAAGUCGAAGAAUCUAUACGGGGAGAGAGAAAGAGGAUUUGGGAAUAUAACAUUGGAUAUUUGUCCAGAUUGCGUGUAAAAUUUUGUUCUUCGCGGUUAAGUUUUGGUGUUUGUUCGGCUGGAUAUUUAAUUGUUUUUUAUACUAUGCAGCGGUUGCUGUGGAUGUUCACAAAUUCAUAUAAUUUGUGUUUGGAUGAUCUUCAACUUGUUGAUGGGCUGUGGAGUUGCAGGCCAGCCCAAUUUGAGGGAAUGGGGAGGCAACGGAGUGUAGUGGAUAACACUAACAGGUCAGCCCAACUUCGUUCUAGGGCGUCGGUGGCGUGAAGAGCAUUCGCCCAUGCACACAAUAUUAUCUUUUCGUUCCUCACUCCACUAAUAUUGGUUAAAAGAGCAUUUUAUUUUUAACAGAAAAUUGUAAAUUUGAGAUGCAAAAGUUAUAUUUAUAUCGCUUUUUAUAUUUCCGGCAAAUGUAAAUGGAAGUUUUAUUUCAAUGGGAGGGAUGGAAUUUGAGAUCCCAUUUAAUUUUAUCUCCAUCGGCACCCGGAUGCAGUGUUAAAUGAGCAAGGGGGCUAUAGAAACUUCUUUUCGAACGACUCCACUCAAAGUUGUUUGGGAGCAUAUGCUCCUAUCAACUUUACACGGGACACACAAAAGAAGUACUUUGAUCCUAUUAGACGGGGAAGGGUGAAGAAGUUAGGACAGAAGGGUAGAGUUCAAGAGAGCAAAAUGCGUUUAGGAACGUGGAAUAUAGGAACCUUGACAGGAAAAUCUAUGGAAGUAGUAGAAGUUAUGGUGAGGAGAAGGAUAAAUAUUAUGUGCCUACAAGAAACUAAGUGGGUUGGGCGUAAGGCAAAUGAUCUAGAAAACUCAGGGUUUAAACUAUGGUAUUCGGGCACAAAUAGAACAAGAAACGGUGUUGGUAUCAUCGUGGACAAGACCUUGACACAAGAUGUUGUAGAUGUCAAGAGGGUAGGAGAUAGAAUCAUGGCAAUCAAGAUUGUAAUAGGACAAGAACUUAUCAAUGUGAUUAGUGCGUACGCACCUCAAGUAGGGUUGGAUACGAGUUCGAAGGAGGAGAAAUUUUGGGAAGACCUUGGAGACUUGGUGCAAGGAAUUGCUCAGACGGAGAAGUUAUUUAUAGGAGGAGAUUUUUUAAAUGGACACGUGGGCAGGGAGACAGGCAACUAUGGAGGUUUUCAUGGUGGCCAUGGUUUUGGGGAGAGAAACGAGGAUGGGAAGCUAUCUUGGCAUUUUGCAAUGGCAUAUGAUCUCUUCUUAGCCAACAAAAGAAGAGAGAAGAACAUGUGAUCACCUACAAGAGUGGGUCGUCAAAAACACAAAUAGAUUUUCUUCUAAUGAGGAAAGGGGAUCGUAUAACUUGUAAGGAUUGCAAAGUUAUACCAGGAGAGAGCGUGGCUAAUCAACAUCGCUUGUUGGUGAUGGAUGUACAUAUCAAACGAGUGAGAAAAAAGAACAAGACUUGGAACUGCCCAAGGACUAGAUGGUGGAAUCUAAAAGAAGAAAAACAAGCUAUUUUCAAAGAGAAAGUAAUCACCCAGUGUGUGUGGGAUAGAGAGGGGGAAGCUAACCAAAUGUGGGAUUCCAUGGCUAGUUGUAUCCGAAAAGUAGCAAAAGAGGUAUUAGGAGAGUCCAAGGGCUUUGCCCCACACCAAAAGGAAUCUUGGUGGUGGAAUGAGGAGGUACAAACAAAGGUGAAGGCUAAGAAGGAAUGUUGUAAAGCCUUAUACAAGGAUAGGACCAAUGAAAAUGGUGAAAGGUAUAGAAAAGCGAAGCAAGAGGCAAAGAAAGCUGUGAGAGAAGCUAAGUUAGCGGCUUAUGACGAUAUGUAUAAGCGACUAGAUACCAAAGAAGGAGAGUUGGAUAUCUAUAAACUAGCUAGAGCAAGGGAAAAGAAGACAAGGGACCUAAACCAAGUGAGGUGCAUCAAGGAUGAGGAUGGAAAGGUUCUUGCUACAGAGAACGCGGUUAAAGACAGAUGGAAAGGUUAUUUUCAUAAUCUUUUCAAUGAAGGACAUGAAAGGAGUGCUUCUUUAGGGGAGUUGAGUAACUCAGAAGAGUGUCGAAACUACUCUUUUUAUCGUAGAAUCCGGAAGGAAGAAGUGGUUGUAGCUUUGAAGAAGAUGAAGCAUAGAAAAGCAGUAGGCCCAGACGAUAUACCAAUCGAAGUGUGGAAAGUUUUGGGAGAGACAGGUAUAACAUGGCUCACUGACCUUUUCAAUAGGAUUUUGAAAACGAAGAAGAUGCCAAAUGAGUGGCGAACGAGCACUUUGGUGCCUAUCUACAAGAAUAAGGGCGAUGUACAAAAUUGCAUGAACUAUAGGGGUAUUAAGCUAAUGAGUCAUACAAUGAAACUCUGGGAGAGAGUCAUUGAGCAUAGAUUGAGGCAAGAGACACGGGGGUUUCGGACAACCAAUUCGGGUUCAUGCCAGGGCGCUCAACCAUGGAGGCAAUCUAUCUCUUACGAAGAUUGAUGGAAAGAUAUAGAGAUGGGAAAAAGGAUUUACACAUGGUCUUUAUAGAUUUGGAAAAAGCGUAUGAUAGGGUCCCAAGAGACAUCCUUUGGAGGAUUUUAGAGAAGAAAUGAGUACGAGUAGCAUAUAUCCAAGCUAUACAGGAUAUGUAUGAAGGAGCAAAGACUGCCGUAAGAACUCAUGAAGGACAAACCGAAAGCUUCCCCAUAACUGUAGGAUUACAUCAAGGCUCAUCCUUAAGUCCUUACCUUUUUGCGUUGGUAAUGGAUGAGUUAACAGGACAUAUUCAAGAUGAUAUUCCUUGGUGUAUGCUUUUCGCAAACGAUAUAGUGUUGAUAGAUGAAACUCAGGAAGGGGUAAAUGCAAAGCUUAACCUUUGGAGAGAAGUGUUGGAAUAUAAAGGUCUUCGCUUAAGCCGAUCAAAGACAGAAUAUAUGGAGUGCAAGUUCAGUGCAAAUGGAGGCCAAAACGAGUUAGGGGUGAGGAUCGGAGAUCAAGAAAUACCAAAGAGCGACCGUUUUCGUUACCUAGGAUCUAUCUUGCAAAAGAACGGAGAAUUAGAUGGAGAUCUCUCAACCAUAGAAUACAAGCUGGAUGAUGAAGUGGAAGAGUGCAUCCGGCGUGUUGUGUGACCGUCGUAUGCCACUGAAGCUCAAGGGAAAAUUUUUAUAGGACGGCAAUAAGGCCGGCGAUGCUGUAUGGCACAGAAUGUUGGGCGGUGAAGCAUCAACACGUACACACAAAAUGGGUGUAGCGGAGAUGAGGAUGCUCCGUUGGAUGUGUGGGCACACGAGAAAGGAUAAGAUUAGGAAUGAGGAUAUCCGGGGUAAAGUAGGAGUAGCCGAAAUUGAAGAAAUGAUGAGAGAAAAUCGGUUACGGUGGUUUGGACAUGUGCAAAGAAGGCCUACUGACGCUCCGAUUAGAAGAUGCGACUAUGGGACAGAGGUUCAGGGCCGAAAGGGUAGAGGAAGACCUAGGAAAACUUUGGAAGAGACCCUAAGAAAAAGACUUAGAGUACUUGGAUCUAACGGAGGACAUGACACAGGACAGAAACACAAUGGCGUUCUAAAGAUUCAUAUAGCCGAUCUCACUCAGUGACUUGGAUUUUCCAAGUCUCCAACCGAGAAGUUUUCCUCACUCGGGAAAUUAAGGGAACACUACCUCAACCUACAUGCUCCACUCACAAAGCUUCAACAUACAAGCUUCAACAAAAGAAAAUUCAAAGAACUUAGCGAAGAAGGCUUUGGUGUAUUUAACACAAUACGUUGAAAUGAAGGAAAGCUUAUUUAUUGAUAUCCCCGAUAAGCUACAAAUAUGUACAUAUACUUGAGUCAAAAUAAACAAACAAGAGGGAGCCUUCACAAAGGUUGCUUAGGAGAAGUCUCAGCAGUCGGUAGAGCCCCAGAAAGAGAAGGCACCGGAGGGGGAUCAUUCGGAGCCUCAAUACUGGACAGAACCCUAGAAGGAGGAGGCAUCAGAGGUUGAUCAUUUGGAGCUUCAUUACGCGGUACAGCCCCAGAAGACGAAGGCAAUAAAUGCCUUCGGAACAAACCCACAAAUCUCUGAUGAUCAAGUAAAACCUGACCAUUAGAUUCCUUCAUCUGGUCAAGCUUCCUCUUCAUGUUUGUAGCAUAGUCAUGUGCGAGCCGGUGCAACUGUUUAUUCUCAUGCUUGAGCCCUCUAAUCUCCUGUUUAAGACUCAUCACUUCAGUCGCCAAUGAUUCAACUUGGCGGGUUCGAGCAAAUAGGCGUUGGGCCAUAUUAGACACAGAACCUGCACACUGAACACUAAGAGCCAGAGAAUCCUUAACAGCCAACUCAUCAGACCGUUUGGAAAGUAGUCUGUUAUCUUUGGGAGUGAGAAGGUUCCUGGCCACUACCGCAGCGGUCAUAUCAUUCUUCAUCACGGAAUCCCCAACGGUAAGAGGACCAGUAGGGGAGACGAAGGAUGGGCGCCAUAUGUUGUCUGGAGAAGGCGGGGCUGCCUCUUCAACAAGGUUCAAGUCAAAACGACGGUCGGAGGGGCCAGACAUUUUCAAAGGUGUUGAAGAGAGAAGAGGUCGGACAAAUCAAGAUCUUAGAAGUGCAAGAAUGGAGCUUCUACUGGUGGAUAUUCAAGUGUGCUUUGGAACUUAAUGUCAGCCCCUAUAAAAAUCUGCACUCGAUGAAGCUUCAGAAAUCGAAGAGGCGCCUGCUCAGAAAUCGAAGAGGCGUUUACUUUCUCAAAAGCUGGGCUGCUCAGAGACCACGAGGGUCGAUCUCAGAAAUCGAAGAGUCGUGUGCUUUCUCAAAAGCUGGGCUGCUCAAAGACCAUGAAGGCCGAUCUCAGAAAUCGAAGAGGCUUGCUUUCUCAAAAGCUGGGCUGCUUAGAGACCACGAGGGCCGAUCUUAGAAAUCGAAGAGGCACCUACUUUUCCAGCCCUGUCAGCACCUGUCACACGCACACUCAGCUUUGCGGAAAUUAUGGGCAUUCUGUCGAAGAUUCCUGGCGAAGUAGAAGGCACAUGAAUCGUACUGUUCAAUCACCCACUUCCCACACACAACAGUAGCUCAUGGGUACCACAUAUAACUCUGCCAAAGUUCUCUGACAAAGUUGAGACACGUGAAGCUUGCAGCUCCCACUACAUCACUCUGACCAAUAAGGGUAAAAGAUUAGCAAAGAAACAACACUAACAAAGUUUAGACACAUAAAUUUUGAAGGUCUAGCUACCAUAUUAUUACCCACAAGGGUAAAGGAACAGUACCACUGCUGGAUAAUUGGAAAGUCCCGGUGUGUCAACCUCUGUGCUUCGUGGCAAGGUAGACUAGCAAACAUGCCCAACCUUUACUCACAUUCGAGAAAACACUCCCAACAAGAUUGCUUGCUCCAAAAUCAAAGAGGCACCGCCCUCCGAAUCUCGAGAGCCAGAAUCCAACUUUCUCAAAAAUCGAAGAGAGGGUAAAGGAACAGUACCACUGCUGGAUAAUUGGAAAGUCCCUGUGUGUCAACCUCUAUGCUUCGUGGCAAGGUAGACUAGCAAACAUGCCCAACCUUUACUCACAUUCGAGAAAACACUCCCAACAAGAUUGCUUGCUCCAAAAUCGAAGAGGCACCGCCUUCUGAAUCUCGAGAAGAGAGCCAGACUCCCAACAUGAUUACUUUCUCAAAAAUCGAAGACACCGCUCUCCGAAUCUCGAGAGCCAGACCCCCAGUAGGAUUGCUUUCUCAAAAAUCAAAGAGGCAUCGUUCUCCGAAUCUCGAGAGCCAGAUCCCCGACAGGAUUGCUUGUUCGAAAACCGAAGAGGCACCACUUUCCCAACUUCAAGAGCUGGAUCUCCUUGGAUAAAGUUUGUCUGUAAUCUUCACACGCAACAUCAGCUUUCCAGAUACCACAGACCACUUUUUCAAAGUGCUCUGACAGAGUUAAAACUUGUGAAGCUGGCAGCUCCCACUACCGUGCUAUGACCAAGCAGGGUAAAGGAAUAGCAUUAUUACUUGAUGUUAGGGAGACUCCUAUAUAUGUCGACCUCCAUCCCCAACGGACAUGCAGACCUGCAAAAAUGCUCUACCCUUCCUCUUAUCCGAGAGGGCACUCCCAACGAAGCCUUUCGAAAUAUUCAGCUUUCUUUCCCCCCGAUAAUACCUCUGUAAACAAGCUAUACUAGAGCAAGAAUAUCUCAUAUCAUCAGGGUUAAAAGCAAGAGUAUCCCAUAUCAUGCUUUUUCCCUGUCUUUUCCUUUGGCCUUAUUCUUACCUGCAAGACAAGGAGAAAGAGAGCAAUCAGUCAGCACUUGGAAUCAAGCUUCCAGCCAGGAACUGACUGCCUGGAACCCCUUACUUGAUUACUUACCUGGCAUUGCUCUCGAGUACUCAUCUUCAACAUCUUAUGCUUUCAGGGAAGAUCCCGCAUCUGCCUGAGGAACAGAUAGGGCAAGUGAGAAGGAUACAAGGAAGCAUGUGGAGACAAGCGUAACAGCACACGUGUCGAUACAUCCAUUACUCUGUCAAAAGCAAAAGUAUCCCAUAUCAGCAGGGUCGAACGUACUCUAGAUUUGAUGGACUUGUUUUGACCCUCAAAUUCUUCAGUCGGCCUUAUCUCUGGAGGAAACCAGAAAAUCCUCCAGCCCAGUUCAAGAAUAAGCCUGUGGAAAGUUACUUCUUCAAAAGCAAAAGUAUCCCAUAUCAUCUCUUCUCAUUUUUCUUCUCUUUAUCUUUCAUGCUGUCUGCAAGAUAUGGAGAAUGUGAACAAUCAGUCGGAGCUCUAAUUGCUUACCUUGUCUGUCACCUCUUUCAGCAGAUCCCCUAGCUCGGCGACUUGGGGGACUCCUACUACAUGGUUUGUAUCGCGCUUGACCAAGCCUGAAACUACAAGUAAGCUUCAAGUGACAUUGAUACAUUACCUUGUGCAUCUCCACCAGUUACAGAUACCACCCCUGGAUGGAGGAAGAGUACUUCCAAAGAAGAUGCCAUAUCUACCUAUGAGGCAGAUAAGGAAAGUCAAGACGAUACCACACUCCAGUACUUAGAAGUUUCGUGGUUACGAGAUCAUUCUCCCACAAUAUUUCCUAAUGUCAUUUGUACUAAAUCAUUCACUUGUACUCACUAAAGGAGAGCUUGAACCUAAUUACUUGAGUGUAACCCCACGUGAAGCCAAUCUGGGUGAACACGUCAUCUUGUGAUUGCUUUCCUAUCUCUAUCCAUUUAUAUACUUAUCCACACUAAUGACCGGAGCAAUCUAGCGAAGAUCACAAAAAGUGACCGUUUUCGCUACCUAGGAUCUAUCUUGCAAGAGAACGGAGAAUUAGAUGGAGAUCUCAACCAUAGAAUACAAGCUGGAUGGAUGAAGUGUAAGAGUGCAUCCGGCGUGUUGUGUGACCGUCGUAGGCCACUGAAGCUCAAGGGAAAAUUUUAUAGGACGGCAAUAAGGCCAGCGAUGUUUUAUGGCACAGAAUGUUGGGCGGUGAAGCAUCAACACGUACACAAAAUGGGUGUAGCGGAGAUGAGGAUGCUUCAUGGGAUGUAUGGGCACACGAGAAAGGAUAAGAUUGGGAAUGAGGAUAUCCGAGGUAAAGUAGGAGUAGCCAAAAUUGAAGGAAAUAUGAGAGAAAAUCGGUUCCGGUGGUUUGGACAUGUGCAAAGAAAGCCUACUGACGCUCCGGUUCGAAAAUGUGACUACGGGACAGAGGUUCAGGGUCGAAGGGGUAGAGGAAGACGUAGGAAAACUUUGGAAGAGACCCUAAGAAAAGACUUGAGUACUUGGAUCUAACGGAAGACAUGACACAAAACCGAGCGCAAUGGCGUUCUAGGAUUCAUAUAGCCGACCCCACUUAGUGGGAAAAGACUUUGUUGUUGUUGUUGUUGAUUAGUGAGACACUUCAUCAAAAUAUGUAAAAGAAUGUAAAGUUAGGUUUUUAUUUAUAUCUUCCGGAAGAUUGAGAGUUUAAAAUCUGCCAACGGAGAUUUUUUCGGCAAAGAAAAGAGAGGUGCAGGGCGCUCGCCUUCCUUGCUGGUGGACUAGGUCGAGAGGCCAUUAGGCCAGUUGUGUGUGCUAGGUGUGAGAGAGAGAAAGAGCCGGGUCCGGGCUGUGGGGCUUGGCUUGUGCUGGGUUCCUGCUAUUUAGGCCAGCGCUAAAAAAGGAAGAGCUGGCCCAUAGGGCUUGGCGCUGGGGCACUGGGCUUUACGGUCAUUCUUUUUUAUUUUAUUUUAUUUUUUUUUGUGAGGUGUCGUCUAAAUAUUUUUUUCUUCGCACUUCUUGCAGGUAUUUUGAGAUGUCUUAUUAUGAUAGCAAAGGUGACGAGUAUUCUUGACCUUUGUACUGGUAGGCUACUUCAAGGCUGCACAUGUCAAGAUCAAUUCUGACGAGUUGUUUGGGGAUUUUCCUAAGAUGUACAAGUAUACGAUUUCAUAAGGGGUUUGCGUCAAGAGGGUGAAGGAUGAUAGCUGCCAUGAACUGUGCGACGAAGGUGCCACUGCUAAGAAAAAGGGCUAUCAAAUUCCAUCCGUAGUACUUCGUGUUGGGAUUUACUUUUCGCAUACCGUGCCUUUUCCAGGAGGUGAUCUGCUACAUGAAAUGCGCGUCUACUCAAUGCUUCCCGAAUGUAGUCCGUGCGAUGGCGGGGUUCUCGAACUUGAGCAGGUUCUUUGAUCUUGACUUGACCAUAAAUGAGUUCUAGUACUUCUUCGAAAUUAGCCAAAAAGAAAACGUGGGGCAACUGAGGUUCGGAAUUUGGCUCAACUCUAAGAACUUCAACAAAUAUGAAGAAAGUACACAUCGCUUUGGGUAUUCCUGCUGAGUACCAUGAGUGGUGUUGGCUACUUAGUCUUUUUCGUCGGGAGAAAGAUGGGCUGCCUCCGAAGGAAGAGAUAAAACGGAUAAAAGAUGAGACGCUUACUCAUCCUAUUGCUGUUGUAAAGCCUGCUGCUAAUGAAGAUGGAAAGAAGAGAUCUUCCUUACCUAUAUAUGAGCCUUUGAUAGAGAAGAAACCAAUGACUUCUUCUGCUGCCCGCGGGGCUCGUCAGCUACUGAGAAGCUUGUCAUUAAUUUGACUUCUCCAAAUGGGACAAAAAAGUUCGUUGAGCUUGAGCCUAUGAAACUUGCUACUCUAAAGGUAGCCACAUCCAUUGCUAAAAGAAUUGCCCAGCAGAAAGGUUUAGUGGUGCCCUCAGUAUUUAGGUUUGUGUCGAAGUGUGUGUCUGAGUUAAGUCCGGUUCGACUUUUAAGAGGCUCACCGCUAUGAAGAGCGAAAAUGUGGAUUCUGCUGCUAAGGUGGCGCAUGGGCUUGUUCCUCAUUCUGUUGCGACUGAUUCAUCUGUUGAGAAAAGGAAAUCUACUCGCACGGGCAGUUGUGAAAGAUCCACCGAGUCUGAGGCCGGGGAGUUUCCUGAGGUUCUUGUGCUGCUGAAGGUUGACUUACUUGAGGAUGAUGAUGUAUGCGCCAAGUUUGUUAACAGUGUUGGGAAAGUUGUCAUCUGCUUAGACUCUUCUACGAAGGACCCUGCCUACUCGAGGAAGUCCUCCCUAAUUGUUACAAUGCAUAAGACCUUGAUCCUAGCAGCUAAGUCUAUGUGCAUUGAUCAUGAUGCUGUCAAGUAUGCUAAGGAGGCUGAAGUGGCAUUGACGGCUCAGCUUUGCUCGGCUGCUGAAAAUAUCGAGAAGCUCGAAUCUAAACUCGCCAUUUUAAAGGGGUCUGAUGUCUCUGCCCCCACUUUUGUGUAGCUGGAGACCACUCAUCAGGAAGUUGUCCAUUUGAAGGCUAAGCUUAAUGCGAUUUAAGCGAUGUUGGAAGCUGCAAAGAAGGAAUUCAGUUGUGUUUCAUCGGUGCUUAAGGACCUUGAGCGUGUCAAUUCAGAUUUACGAUCUACUUGUUUUGCCAAAGACCAUCAGCUUAUCUUCAUGCAUGCUGAAAUGUCUCGUCUCAAUGAUGUUGCCAGUAAGCUUGAGUCCAAGGAAGUAGAUCUGCAAGGUGCGCUGUCUACUAGCAAGAACUUGAAGAAAAAAAAGAACUGGAUAAACUAUAGGGUGCUCACAUUGGGCUUAUUGAGGAGAAUGUGCAGCUGAAGAAUGACAAAGUCGGUCACGAAGUGGCGCUUGCUUAUUGUCAGGCCGAUUUCUACAAGCUUGGCUAUGUAGACCAUUUUCAGGGUAGGUCGUCGGAUUAUGAGUUUUCCAAGAAUGACUUCGAGACUUUUUCUAUUUCUCCAAUUGAUCUGCUUGAUUUCUUGUUUAAGGCUGCAUUUGGUGGAACAACUGAGGGUCAAGCAGUCUAGGUAAGGGUGGUUGAGGAUGAGUUGAUGGAAGCUUUGGCUACUAAGAGCGAUGGGCCUGCUGAAACGUGGCAGUCGAGGGACCAAUGGUUGCGUAGGCCACCAAUAAGUAGUCUUUUUACUUAGACUUACGAAUUUUCUUAUUUUCCUUUUCGCUCUGCUUUAUUCGAACUUUGUUGGCCUUCGAGCCGGUUUAUCAAUUUGCUAGAAAUUUAAUAAACAACUUUCCUUGCUUUGUUUUUCACCAUUCUAUUUCGCCAUGUCUUUUGCAAAACUUCACCAUAGGAUGAGUGCCUGGGCGAGCUGCUUCAAUGAAGCAGUUGAUCCUACGUCGUCACUUAGGUGUUAGUUUCGGCUCUAAUGCUCAAGGAGUUUUACUUGCAAAAGGAAAAAAUACGAGAUUUCUAACUUAUAGAGCCAGCAGCUAAACUCAUAGCCUCCAAAGGAAGCUAGCAAGUUCGCAUAGCUAUUAUAGUCGUGAAUCUCAACUCUAGAGGCUUCACGAGCCUUGGCCCUCCAGGAGCAUGCUGCGAAGUGCUUAACUUAUUGAGCCGGCAGUCAAACACUUACUUCUUAUAAAAAUCAGAGGAAAUUCACGUAAUUGAUAUAUUCGUACUUCGGCUUUAGUAGCUUCACGAGCCUUGGACCUCUCAGGGUGUGUCGUGAAGUUUUUAACUUAUAGAGUCGACGGUCGGACACUUGCUUCUCGUAGAAAGCAGAGAAAAUCCAUGUAGCUGCUAUAGUCGUACUUCAGCUUUAACAGCUGCUCAAGCCUUAGCUCUCCUGAGGCUUGUUGCGAAAUUUUUAACUUAUGGAGCCGGCUACUAGACACUUACUUCUAGUAGAAAGCAGAGGAAAUUUGUGUGUCUCUUAUAGUUGUAUAUUUCGGCUUUAGUUUUUGCAAAACUUAAAUCGUAGACCGUCGGCCAGAAGUGCUACUUUUAAAUAAGCAAACAAGUCCACGUAGUCAUAUUAGGUAUAAGUAUCAGCUUACAGAUUGCCUAGGGCUGCCUGCCUGUUGGGUCUUCGGUCGGGCGUCUUACUUAUAAAAGAAGACGACUUGCGUGACCACUUUAGGCGUGAUCCCUGGCUCUCAGAGGUGUUUUAAGCUUAGAGCAGUUCCAGCAUGGGAACCCCCCAGGCAAUACACUAUGCUAUUCACCUAGUGAACAGUAAUUGCCCUUAAUGAACAGUAACCGCAUUUUGCAUCUCCACCGUUGCACUUCAUUAGCCAUGGCAAUAGGCAAUAAAAUAUUAGUAUUUUAUUUAUUUAUAAAAUAGUACAAAAUAAUUUUAUUUGUAAUUUCGGAUAAGAUUUUUAAUCGUUCUCGUUGUGCCACAUGUCAUUAUCCGAAAAGUUAUAAAAUAAUACAAAAUAAUUUUAUUUGUAAUUUCGGAUAAGAUUUUAAUUCGUUUUAAUUCGUUUUCAUUGCGUCACGUGUCAUAAUCCGAAAAAGAUAAUUAUUGGUGAUGGAUUUCCGAUAAGAUUUUUAAUCGUUCUCGUUGCACCACAUGUCAUUAUCCGAAAAUACAAUUAUUAGUGAUGGAUUUCCGAUAAGAUUAUUAACCAAUCACGUCACACCACGUGUCAUAAUCUAUUUACAAUCUUUGAGGAUAGAUUCCCAUCAUAUUUUUAACGAAUGACGGCAUGCCACGUGGCAUUAUUUACAAUCUAAUCCUUUCUGAAUCCUCCAUAUAAUCCACCAUCUAUCCUCACAAAUCUCACACCAAUUUUCUCAAGAUCUCUAUCAUUAUUCAUAGUUUCUGCUUCCUUCUUUACCAAAUUCUCUAUCAUUAUUCAUAGUUUUUGCUUCAUUUUUACAAUGUCUUCUUCUUCAUGGAUAAUGUGGGAAAUCGAUCAGCAAGAGGAAUAAUUGUUUAACCAAUAGAAAAGAAUGUUCAAUCUCCAGGUGGUCUAAACUGAGAGGGAAGAUGAUGAAGAGCGGGGUAGAGCCUCACAUUCUCGUCGAGUCAUCCAAGUUGUGGGUUAGAUCUACAGGCCUAGCUGUUCCGGAAACCUUGAUAGAAGCAGGCAACGAUGAGGUAUAGAAGUCUUGGACGAUUAUUUUGUCUGUAAUAGUGCAUUCCCUGAUACGUACUUUAGACGUCUUUUUAGAGUGGAAUGACAUUUGUUCAACAAAAUCAUGAUUGCUGUUUGCAACCAUGAUUCUUACUUUGUUCAAAAGAAUGAUACUUUUGGUGCUAUGGGCCUCUUUCCUCAACAAAAAAAAUUAGUGUUGCCUUGCAGAUGCUUGCAUAUAGAGCAUCUGCAGACCAAGUGGAUGGGGAAAUCAACCAUUCUUGAUUCCUUAAUGAGGUUUUACAGAGCAAUCGAAUCUAUCUACAUCGCGGAGUAUCUCCGAAAACCUACUGAAAUGGACUUGCAAAGACUUCUGAAGAAUGGCGAGAUGCGAGGUUUUCCUGGGAUGAUUGGAAGCAUCGAUUGUAUGCACUGGAUCUAGAAAAACUGUCCAAGUGCAUGGCAAGGCGCUUAUGGGGACAGAAAAUGAUCAAAAGGUAUCAUUUUGGAGGUGGUGGCAUCUUUUGAUACAUGGAUUUGGCAAGCCUUUUUCGGGGUUCCGGGAGCUCAAAAUGACCUCAACAUCCUUGCCCAAUUCCCAAUGUUCAACUAUGUUCUGCAAGGAAAGGCACCAAAAGUCACGUACUGGGUCAACAGACUUAAGUACGACGGGCCAUACUACCUAGCAGAUGGCAAUUACCCAAAGUGGUCAACAUUUGUCAAAACAGUGCCAUGUCCGCGAAGUGCAAAGGAAAAACACUUUGCAAGUCGUUAAAAGGGGUGCAGGAAGGAUGUUGACCGUUGUUUUGGUAUCCUCCAAGCUCACUGGGCGAUCGUCAAGGGUGCUGCUAGAUUGUUUGAUGUAGAGUCGCUUCGAUCCAUCAUGAUGAUGUGCAUCAUUCUUCACAACAUGAUUGUGAAAGAUGAAUACGAUUAUGAUUUCGUUAAUGAAUAUGAGCCAGACACGAUGAACAAUUCAAGAACACAUAUAUAUUGUGUUCAUGACGCCACCAAAGAACUCAUGCAACAUGAGCCAUUAGAAAGGGAUGAACGUUACAAUGAACUGGUCAUUCAACGAUAUGCUGCAUUUCAAAGGCCAUAUAUGGACAAUUCCUAGCAAAAUGACUUGAUAGAGCACCAAUGGGCAUUGAAAUAAGCUGAAGAUAAUUAAGUUCAUCUAGUGUGUUUGUUUUUAUUUGGUGUGUUUUUUUUAGUUCAUUUUUAAUGAGUUUUUAAUUAUUUGGUGUGUUUUUUUAGUUCAGUUUUAGUGAGUUUUUAAUUAUUUGGUAUGUUUAUGUAAUUUUAUUUGGUGUGUUUUUGUCAUUUGAAUAAACAUUCUCUUAUAGUAUAAAUAACUUACCAAAUUACAUAAAUUUACUCUCACUAUAAAUAAAGUAUUAAAUUCAAUAAAUUGGAAACAACAUAAAGUACACUGUUCAAUAAAUAAUAUAUUACAACCCAAAGUGAUUGGAAAAUUAUGGGGUCCGAUUAGAAAAAUUACUCUAUUCAUCAUCACUUAACCAAUUUGUGGUGCUAGGAUGAUCUGCUCUUGUCGUGCUAGGACCAUCUCCUCUUGCUCUCGCUUUUCUUGCACGCCUCAUUCGCACCACAUCCUCUUUCUCUGACUUCCAAAAAUAUUUAGAAUUUGGAGACUUCCCUUCUAAAGGCGUGUUCGUAAUGAUUGAGCCAUUCUUUCUUCUCUAACAUGUUCCGUUUCUUGCCUAAGUAGCUCUCUUUCCCCCUCAUUAGCUUAAAAUUCUCUCUCAACAGCUGCAGUUUUUGCCUCAUCUUUAGCCUUAUCAGCCUUAAACUUCGCCAUUUCCCGCGCCAAAGUCAAUUCACCUUGGCGAGCAAGUUCUUCCAUGUACUUUGCAUAAUCAUUCUUUGAAGCACUCAUUUUUCUCUUUGAAGCCUUCUUAUCUUGAAUCCUAAUUGGAUAACGGGUCGACCUUGACGCUUGUUCAGGGAGGGGCGUUUCGGGCACUUCUUUUGCAUCAUCUUCAUGAACAUGCGAGCCAUGAUCGGGUGUAGAGUGUAGAGGGGUGUUGUUCAUAAAACCUUUUGGACCGACAGGCACAACUCUGAAUUUAGGACAAUCUUUUACAAUAUUCCAACAUUCCCACCGGUUGAAUGAUUUAUUUUUGGUUUUGGUUUUGGCACCAUACCAAGCUUGUGCUUGAAGUUGCUACACAAUGUGGGAGAAGAAAUAAUUAUAAUGAAAGUAGGUAAAAAAUAAAUAAUACAAACAAAUAAUUAUAAUGACAGUAGGUAACAAAUAAAUAAUACAAACAAAUAAUUAUAAUGAAAGUAGGUAACAAAUAAAUAAUACAAACAAAUAAUUAUAAAUGAAAGUAGGUAGUAAAUAAAUAAUACAAACAAAUAAUUAUAUUCUAAAUUUGGGUAUAGUACAAACAAAUAAAUAAUAUAUUGUUACCUGAUCCGUGUAAUUUUCCCCACUUCGAAUAUUAGUAUUAGCUUGUGCCAAGGCGUCUCUCCACGUACUAAACGAUUGGCUAAGUAAUUUCCAACGACUGGACAUCGAUUCUUUGGUUCUUUUCCCACCCAUUUUCUCAACAUAAUUGGUAUGAAUAAGACUCCACAUUUCUCGCAACUGCAUCUCAUUACCUGUAAGCGAACUAUGGGUAACUUCAACCCAGCUAGUACACAACGCAACAUCUUCAAGAAGCGACCAAUUCAUACCUGCAUCAGUAGUCAUUUUGUUGAAAAAAAAAUUGGAUUGAAACUUUGAGAGAAAUAUAGGAAUUUGAUUGAAAGUAGUUGAGAAAAUAUGAAAUUGUGGUGUAAGGUAGAUGAUAAUGAGAAUGUAUUUAUAGAAAAGUAAAAACAAUAUUUUUAAAAAAAUUUCAUAUUUCUUUUUCAGAUUUUUUACAAUUUUUUUAAAUUUUUAUUGAACUAAUUAAUCUCUGUGGUUGGAUUAAAAAAAAAAAAUUCCAACACUCCAGAUUGUGCCACGUGUCACAACGGUAACUUUCUUAAUUUUAAAACUAUUUUUUCUUUUUAUUUAUUUAUUUAUUUAUAAAACAGAAUAAUAUCGACCGUUGAUCUCAGAUCCAACAGUUGAUAUUAAAUAAGAUUUUUUUUAAUUUCGUUGCAAAUCGGACGGUCCAAUUUAAAGAGCCGUUGAGAUCGAACGGACCGUGGGAAGCCACGUGACUUCCCAACGGUAACAUUGACAGAUUGCGAUGCGGCUCAAAGUCUGAAAAGCCGUCUGCUGACGCACCCCCACACGCGAGUGAGUCGCACGCGCCUGAAAGAAAAAAAAUAAAAAAUUGGGCCGACGCCAGGAUGACAUCAGCCCUAGCGUCACAUCCACUCGAGCUGGCAAUUCCUCAUAGGCCCAAAGCUCGGGCCUCCACUCUCCCUCGGGCUGUCCACGCUGGAGCUUCAAGGCCAUCUGGCCCUAUUUCGUUCCCCAUCCCUCAAGCACCAGCCCACGCUGGAGUUGCUCUUAAGGUAUACGUAGAAUCGCACCUCAAAGGCCAUAUCCUUCUGAGUUGUAACUUGAUUUCACAUGUUGCUUAACUAGUAUUGUAACACUUUUGAGCCAAGCUACGUUUAUGAAGAUUUGCACGUUAAGGACAAGUCAUCUGGUCUCGUGAAUUUUUUCAUGGGCAGGAAUCCUACACUUAGUGCCUCUUCCGGUUAGAGACCUGGGUUCCCGCGGAAUUGAAUCUUUUAGUUGAUGCAUUCAGGGGGAAGUCGUACAACUCAUCCACGUUUGGGUAUACCUAGAUGGGUGUCAAGGAAUUAGUUUACCCUUUCGCGCUCGAGAGCUUACCCCGAUGGGUGUCGGGGGAUUAGUUUACCCUAUCGCACUAAAAAGCAUACCCAUAUGGGUGUCGGGGGAUUAGUUUACCUCUCGCACUGGAGAGCAUGCCCAGAUGAGGCUUUGAGCAGUUGUUGUAGGCAGAAGUUGAGGCAGGUUUGUGAAUAACUUCUUGGAUCUUCAUUGAGAAUAAAGAAAUGUAUCAACUAUGCUGGAAGGUAGAAACUGCAUAACAACUGAGAUAAUCCUCGGCCUACGAGGUCUUGUUCGUCGAACUGCCUAAAGCUUCUAACUUAUUUAGAUAAGCCAAAAUGGAGUUCAGGAAAUGAUGGGAGAUUUUCCAAAGCAUUCCUUCACAAUCCUAAAUAUGGACCGAGAGUGCUCUGGCCUGGCAAAGAUGCCAUUAAUCUGCAUUGUCUUCAAUAGGGGUUCAGCGUCAGCUCCUCGAGGUAUUGCUUUCAUUUCAGGCAACCGUUAGUAGUGUGACCUUGCCCUUGGUGGAAUGCGUAAUACUUUGUCUGAUCCAUCUUGGUAAGAUCACCCUUCAUGGGUGGCGGCAGUUCAAACCAUGGUUCAUUCUUGAGCUUACAGAGAAUCUGGCCAAUCGAAACUGUGAACUUGGUGAAUGCUUUAGGCGUUGAGUCAUAUCUGUUUGGGGAAUGGUCCUUUCACUUAUUUCUUUACUUGUUCUUGCAAGACUGCUUAUACUCGUCCCAUAACGCGUGCUUCUCUGCCAAAGCAUACAAAGCUGCCAAGGUCAGCUCCCCGCCUAUAAUCAAUUUUCCAAAUAAAGGGUGUUUGGUGGGAAGCCCAUUCUUGAAUGCUGCCAUUGCUAUGCUCUCGUUGCAACCGACAAUUUUAGCCUUCUCCACCUUGAACCUCUUGACAUAGUUACGAAUUGACUAAUUUAGGCCCUACAUAAUGUUGAAGAUGUGGUUGGACGUCUUUUUGAUUGAACGGUACGACGAAUAUUCCUUGGUGAAAACCAAAGAAAGUUAGUUGAAGUUCCUGACUGAGCGCAGUGGUAAGGCAUGAAACCAGUUUUAGGCUUUGCCCCACAAUGUUGUGGCGAAAACCUUGCACAUGAGAGUGUUAUUUUUGCUGUAAAGAAUCAUCGCACUGCAGUAGCGCUUUAAGUGCAUGCCCGGAUCUUCAUGUCCCUAGAAAAUGGUGAAAUGCGGCAGGCUGAACUUUUAUGGCAGCUUUCUCUGCUCGAUCUCGUCUGUAAAUGGUGACCUACUUAUGUUGGCCACGUCUCUACGAAGGGUAUCAUCGGUAGUAUAAAUGUGCUAGAAUUCGCACAGCUGCUCUGUUACGAGCAUUUGUACCUCAUCCUAGAUUUGGGCCUGGUGGGGCAGCAGAGCCUCCAGCUACCCUCGAUGCUGACUUGUUAGUCCAUUUUGCUCUUCGGCAUGUUUUGCUCGUUUGUGAUGCGGUUAUGGUGCACGUGGUUCAUUUUAUGUUGCUCAUUUUUACGUUUGGUGUGGGCUGUCAGCGGAACUUGAGCUAAACUGCUCUCGUGCUCUCCUCGGUCCGCCAUGUGGCUGCCUACUCCAAUGCCUCUUUUGAGGAUCCUCUUGUGGGCCUAGCCUCAUGUGGAUGCUUCGACUGUAAUGUCCUGAGUGUUCGUCGGAGUGUGGACCCAACCUCGAAUGCGCACUUACUCGUGAGCCGAGUCAAGAAUGAAUGUUUCUUUGCGCAUCUAAGUGGGAGAAAACGUUUCCUCGAGGGCCCAAACGAGAGUACACACUAUCCGAACGCACAGUUCGUGGUGGACUAAGCGGCCAUUUGCUGGUACGUUGCUGGAAUGAGUCACAUUCAUCUACCCUCGUCUUAUUUCGAGACACCUCGUCGAGGGCACGUUGCAUCUCAAUGCACUCAAGAAGCUAGUUCACCAAGGUGGUAUGCUAACCUGUUGGGGCAGGUGAUGUUCGUCAUUUGGAUUGGAAGAGUCUGGAUAAUGGGCGUCUCCAUGUGUAGGGGAUUGCAGGUACAAAACUUGAGCCCAGAGCAGGCAUUCAUGCAGAAAUGUGAGGUGAAAAUAACCAUGAAUCGAUUGUAGGACUAGUGGUUGAAAUCUAGAUCACCGGAGGUAGCCUCAGAUUGGACUGCGCUGCUGACGGGGUCGUGAGGCGGGCUUACCCAGCUCGGUGGCUAGGCUAUGCGUGUGGGGGCUCGUGUGUAUGACAGUUGGUCUUGGGCUUGCGCUGUGCGCCCGGCCGGCACAUGCUCCUCGUGUUGGGCCUGGGCCACAUCUGCAUCAAGUAGAGCUCGGCAUUGGGCUUGGGCUGUGACAGCUUGGGCUGCUGGCUGGGCUCCGGUUGCUACAGCUUAGGCUGCCUGGCUAGGCUUCGGCUGCUGCAGCUUAUGCUGCCUGGCUGGCAUUUUGAGUUGCUGCGGCUUGGGCCUCUUGGGCUCUGCUUGAGGCUUAGAGGUCAUGUGGCUCAUGCUCGUGAGCCAUGGAAUGGACCUGGGCCUCCUGCCCAGGGUUUUGGGGGUAGGGCACUACAAGGGCAGCAAUGCCGAUACUUGGGUUGUGGCUUGGCGGCCUUGUCGUGGCUGCUGGGUCCCAGCAACGGUGGUGGUACAGCUCCAUGGUGGUGAGGCCCCUCCUGCCGUUGCAUUGAGCCUCGAGGAUCACCGUCACGGGGCUAUGUCAUCGUUUUCACUCUUCGGCUCAAAUUCUUGUACAUACGACGUUCCGUUUGUCGUGGUUUCGAAUUUCCUACCAUUGUAUCCUUUCUUUAGGGAUUGAUCAAGAAACUUUUCUAGGAAAAAUUAAUUGAUAUGACGUGUGAGAAAUUCAACGUAACAGAAAAUUCAAGAAACAAAUGCAAGAGGGUUCUUCGAGUAUUUGAAUUAGCUCUCAAUGAAAGCACCAAUUUAUCUAUGCAAAUUUUCUGCUGUCUUCAGUCGUAACGAAACAGCACCUGCAAAAAAAUCAACACCUCUGAUCAAAGACCUAAGCCUUAUGCACCCAUGAGGUGGGGGGUUAGGCCAAUGGAUCUCCGAUGCCUAAGUCAAUUUCUCUGAGGAGAGUAAAGUGUUUAGGACUUUUUUAGGGUAGAAUAUGGGGUAUAUAGGGAAGAGGGUUGCCAUAGUGUUAAGGUUUUAACCUGCACAUGGCGGCAUCCUAUUGGCCAAUGUUUAUGGAUAAAUAUUCUUAAGAUAUUAAAUAGGAAAUAAUAUUUUGAGAUAAUGGAGUAAUUAUCCCUAAUUGAUUUAAAUUGGGAUUACUUACUUGAUUGUAGUCAAUCUUCGAUUGGGAAUGUAUUAAAGAUAGUAUUUGGGUAAUUAAUCAUUAUCUUUAAUGCUUUGACUUUUCCUUCCUAAGGGCAAGUAAGUUGUGGGCAGUCGUAUUUCAGCUGCUGAGACAUUCAGGGUGUGAGUUGCACGUCAGAGUAUCUGAGGAGCCUACCCAUUUAAUGAGGGCAAUCUUGUCUUUCUUGUGCAAAAGUCCAGGUUUCGCCUCUAGGAUUUUGGGGAUUAUUUUAGGCUCCAUAGAUAAGUUCAUUCAAAAUUCAAAAAUGAGGAUCACAUAAUUCAAACGUGGGAGAAGAAUUUUGGAAACAUUACCAGCAAACUAUAUGGCUUCCUACGGAAAAGGCCACGUACAGAAAUAUAUUAGCCUAAAAGGAUAUAUAUAGAAUUUAAUAAUGAACAUUUUAAAUUAAAAAAAAAACACUAUAAUGACAUGUAAUCUAAAUAAAUAUAAAAAUGCUGACAUGACUAUCGUUUAGGCGUUUUAAUCAAAUCUCAAAAUAGAACCAAUGUUUGAUCUAAAGAGUAUUAGAAAACUGCAGGGGAUUCUAAUUUCUCCAAGAUUAUAACAAGUUUUGUUCUUAUGAUAUAAUCAGUUUAAUAUGGAGUUUUUCAUAUAAAAUUUAAAGCCCCACCGCCCUUGUUUGAUUUAAAAUUUUCAUAAAAAAAAGGUAAUUUCUCCCAUUAAUUAUAUUGCUAUUUUUGUCUAGUUUCUUUCAUAUGAUUUAAAGACUCUCAUAACAUAAAUUUCUAGUUCCGCCACUGAAACAAAUGAUACAUUCCAUAUAAAUAUAGAGCAUAUAAUACAUGGAAUGUAUGAAGUGCGUAUGAACAGAGGAAUAAGGAUAAUUUGUUUACUAAAUUUGGAAUUUACAACCGAUGGAAAGAAAUUGAUAAAUUUUACUUACCCUUAAGCCAACAAAAAUGUGAACCUUUCGGAAUUAGAUGGUAACACAAGUAUUGUCAAUGCAAAAUACUUUAGCAUUGAUGAUGUUCUAACAAUUGGACAUUAAGAAGAAGAGUAUUAUUAUCGUUACUUUGAUAAAUAAUGAAGAUUUGUGUUGAACUGUCGAGGAUUAAAUAACUAAUUGGAAAGACGAAUAUAGAAUGCCUAUUCACGACUAAUGAGUACUUAAUACAGUGAAAUUUGUUUGUUUCUUUCAACAAGUUUUUUUUUUCUAACGAGCCAAAUGUUUAAAAAGAACAAUUAAAAGGUCCAAGUCUAAAAAUUUUGGAGUGUCUGAUCCACAUAAUAUAGCCUGUAUGUUGAACCUGGUUAACUAAAGUUAUUGUUCAAUAGUGACUUUCAUAAAAAUCAUCUAUAAAACUGAUGAACUUUUUCCUUCAAAAGCUUUCUAUUCUUUAAGCCACAUUUUAUAGUUAUUAGUCAGGAUUUGAAACCAAUCAGUUUGUUGUGUGGAUUCCUGCCUUGUGAAGGUAGAUAGAACUCCGUAAACCUGCAUCUCAAAGAUGAUUAAAAUCCAUUGGAUUGAUAAACCCUAUUUGCUCUAUUGGGAAAUUCCUUUUCGGAUUGCUCUAAAUUUUAUGCUGAUGGCUGCCAGAAGAGAAAUAAUAAUUUUAUUGGAGCAGAUGAUGCUUUAAGAGAUUCCGAUAGUAAAUGGAUUUUCUUGGUUUUAUGCCAAUUUGGGCACAUGUGAGAUUCUCAAUGCUGAGCUAUGGAGUUUUUACUUGGGCUUACAAGUGGCAUGGAAAUUAUGGAUUGACAAAUUUGUGGAAUUAGACUCUGCAAUCACAAUUCAUUUGGUGUUGCAAGCUACUAGCAAUAUCAUCAUUUGAAUCCCCUUAUUUUGCUUUGCCUAGAAUUGCUUUCAAAAUCUUGGCAAUGUGAGUUUCGGUAUGUCAUAGAGAAAAAUAUUUUGUGGCAGACAAUUUAGCAACAUUUAGUCUUGGUUUGGAUUUAGGCAAUUUUUAUUUUGUUAAUCCUAAUUUUUUUCGCAAGAAUCGAGUUGAGAUGUCUUGGUCUAGACUUAUUAUUGAGUAGGUUUGUUUGGACUUUGCUUUUAGCCCUUUUUAAAAAAACAUAAAAAAAGAUUAUUAAAGCCAAAUCAUUUAAUCAUCAAACCAUGCGCAUGGACCGGAAAAAAAAAUAUAUAUGUUUGCUUGUGUUUUUUUUUUAAUUUAAAAAAAUGAUUCUAUGAGUGUUUUAAUUUUUUAUACUUCAGUAAAUUUUUCAAAUUUGCUAUAAAAAUAAAUUAUUCAUGCAUUUCAAUGCCAAAUAUGUAACAUCCCACAUCGUCCAGGGGAGUAGAUUCUGUAAGCCUUAUAUGUAUAUUUUCAUCUCUACCUAGCUCGAGGCAUUUUGAAAGCUCACUAGCUUUGGGUUCCAUCAGAACUCUGAAGUCAAGCGAGUUCGCGCGAGAGCAAUCCCAUGAUGGGUGACCCACUGGGAAGUUCUCGUCUAAGUUCCCAGAAACAAAACUAUGAGGGCGUGGUUGGGGCCCAAAAGAGAUAAUAUUGUGCUACAACGGAGUCGAGCCAGAGAUGUGAUGGAGCCUGGGCCAGGAUGUGACAAAAUACCUAUGACAAAAUCCAACCGAAAAACAAAAAGGGGGUAAAUUGGGUUUAUUAGUUUGUGUUGGGCGUUUUCACCAGUCCAUGAUCUUCCAUAGAGCUAACAAGAAAUUUGAGAUAUAUAUUUAUAUUGAGCAAAAUGGCAUCUGAAGUUUUCUACUUUUGUGAAUUUACUACCUAAACUAAAAUGAAUUACAAUUAGUCACUCGUACUUGAAACAUUUUGCCAAUAGCCACAUCAAAAUUUUCAGCCAAUUUUUAUGCUCAUUUCGUCAACUUAAGUCUCGUAACAUAUCAGAUACCCUCCUCCCCGAAAGGAUGUCAUUAAUUUCUUGCCAAUUGCAUAAAUUAGAGGCCAUGUCCUAUUGCAUACUUUAUUAUUCCAAUCAUUUCCCCUGAAGAUUUUGGUUCUGUUCAAGAAUGAUGCUUUACCAAUCUCAUUUGAUCGAUUAGAUUGUGAUAAACAUGAUGUAAAUGUAUACUUGUGAAUUGUUGAAAUGAGUCGUUUAGUUUUCCACUCUCCUUCUGCUUGUGAAUUGAUGAAAUUGACAUCAAAAAGUCCGUUCGAGCAGUUGAUGUGUAAGCAAAUUUAACAAAAUUGUGGAUGAAAAUUGAAUGUAACAUAUAUAUGUAUAUAUAAGGAUGUUACAUUUUACGUCUUGGAGGUUAGUUAGUAAAUGCGUGAAAGUGAUCAAGAUGUUACAUUUUACGUCUUGAAUGUAACAUAAUAAACUUAUUUUGCUUGCUUUGUACAUUUGAGAUAGCCCCAGACUGUAUCCAUCGAUUCAGGGAAAUGUUUUCCAAGCACCCCUCAGAGUCGAUAUUCUUUUAAUAUGGAUGUUGAUACAAAAAGAUGGAUUAAUUGAGAAUUUAGACUACUACGAAAGAGCCUAUGAAUUAAAUCUUGUUAGUUCGUAUGCGAAGCAUAUUGUUUAUGAAAAAAAUCCUUUGUAAUUAACAGUUUACCGCUUGAUCUUAACAUGACUAAAUUACCGUUAAUCAAUGUUUUGUUUGAAUUUUGAUAUAUAAGGAAAUACUCCUAUUAAGGUGCAGAAGGUGAUGCUUGAGUUCUAGCAUUCAUGGCAAUGUGUGUUGGAUUUUGUGGCUCAAUACUUCUUGGGCCUUUAGUUUUUUGUCUCAAGCCCAAAUAGGUUUGGCCUUUUGUUACCCAUUUGAAAGCCACAUGGCAGCUAGGGUUUAAUUAAAAAGGCACCAGCCUUAUAUAAGGAAAUUCAUGCCUUUUGGUCAGAAGACAAGCUGCAGAAAAGCAGCAGAAAGGUAGCAGAAAAGAAAGUGCAGCCGAAAGCAAGCAAAAAAGAGAAAAGGCAGCAAUGAUGAAAUUUGUUAGGAUGUUGGCUCAGGGAAGAAAAGUCAAGAGCUUUUCUUUUGGUAUUUUCAAGGCAGCAGCUGCUAUAUGUUUGAGGAGAAGCCGAGAGAAGAAAAACGGCAGAUUAGAGAGAAGUAAGAGAAAGGUUGAUGUUUUCUAUUCUUCCUUUGUUUGUAAUCUCCUUUGAUAUUAGUGGAAUUUCCUCGCCGUCUCGGAACUGGACGUAGGCUUACGCCGAACCAGUAUAAAUCCUUGUGUUCUUUGGAUUAUUUGUCUUGUCAUAUUUUACCGUAUUAGCUUAUUGGUUUCAUAUUUGACGCUUCCGCACAACAAGUGGUAUCAGAGCUCCGGGUUUCGACUUGGGGCUUUGUACUAAUAUGUCUAUGAAACCUUCGAAUAUGUCGGUGAAAUAUGAUAUUGAAAAAUUCAAUGGGAGGAAUGAUUUUAGCCUGUGGCGGGUUAAGAUGCGAGCUGUGCUAGUUCAACAAGGGUUGCUUAAGGCGCUACAGGGUGUGGAAGCCUUGCCACAAGAUUGGUCUGCUGAAGAAAAAGAAGACGCUUUGAAUCGAGCACAUAGUGCAAUUAUGUUAUCACUAUCUGAUGAAGUUCUUCGUGAGAUGGAAAAUGAAACUACUGCAGCUGGUUUGUGGCUUAAGUUGGAGAGUAUAUACAUGACCAAAUCCCUCACCAAUCGUCUGUAUUUGAAGCAACGUUUGUACACUCUCCGUAUGACUGAAGGUACACCUAUUCAAAACCAUCUUGAUGAGUUUAAUAAGGUUAUUAUGGAUUUGAAAAGUAUGGAUAAUAAAAUUAAUGAUGAGGAUCAAUCUUUGAUUUUGUUGUGUUCUUUACCUCCGUCGUAUGCGAAUUUUGUUGAAACUUUGUUAUAUGGGAGAGAUUCUAUUUGUAUGGAGAAUGUAAAAGCCGCUUUGAAUUCAAGAGAGUUAAAGAACAAAGUAUUUGGAAAUUUGAAUGAUUCUCAUUCUGAGGCUUUGAUAGCAAGAGGCAGAGAUAGGGAAUAUGGUUCAGGGAGUAAUAAAGGAAAUUUGAGAUCGAAGUCUAAGACCAGAAACAACACAUGCAACUAUUGUCGCAAGGAAGGGCAUUGGAAAGUUGAUUGCCCAAAACUGAAAGAUAAUGUUGGUGUGAGUGCGAAUGUCGUCGAUGACGACUUCGACUUUGUUCUAUGAUGACAGUUGGCUACACCAGAUUUGAAAUAAAAAUAAAAAUAAAAAAAUAAAAAAAAUAAAAAAAGGAAUCUGGUGUUGUGGGUACUCUUAAAUCUCUCUACUACAUAUGGAGAUUUAAGAGUUUGUAAGGAUUCUUUGUUAUGAUUUGAGAAAGUUGCUUAGUAGCCUCUAUGUAUGUUUUGUGUUAUGUCAGUUGCUCUUCAUCGGUGUUUUUAUUGUUUUGGAUAUUGGUAUGGUUUUUCUUUUUUUGGUAAAGUUGAAUUCAGUGAGGGCCAAUUUGUUAAGUUCUGCAAGUUUGGAUAGUGAGACACCACACUAUUUUGGAGACACCACAUGCACUGCAGAACAUUUGUGUGGAACCCUCUUGUAGAAGGCAAGUUAUAUGUUUUCUAACUUUGUUUGGUCUAUGGACAUUUGGUUGGAUUUGUUUGCCACUGCUAUUUGGUCUGUUGGUCUCCAUCAUCUGCAAUUAGUUUUCUUGAAGACUUCAGUUGAGGUAUGGUUUUGGAUCUCCUGCUGAUUAUUUGAAUUUGAAAUUUUGGUUGUCCUGUUGGUGCUCAUGUGAUGAUGGUAAACUUGAGAGAAGAGGCAUAUUUUUGUAUGUGGUAUGUGAGACUUUGUUGCCAAAUUUGUAAUCAGUUUUGACUUGGAGAAUAUGCCAUACUAUGUGAAUGAGUCUAUUGGUGCAGUUUCAGACCAUGGUGUUUGUGAGCAGGUGGAGUUCGUUGUGUGUCCAACUUUGGUAUGAUGUGCUUGAUCUUUUGUUGGUGAUAUUGAAGAAUUUCAGUUCUUCGUUUGAAUCACUUUUGUUUUGAUCAAGGCACUUAUGGUUUGCAAAUUUGGAGAAGACGGUAGAGAAAUGUUCACUUUCGUUGGCUUUGGUACAGUUUGAGUCGAGGUGGAAAUUGUUAUGAGUACCGGAAAGUUUGGUGAAUUUGAUUUAGCUUCCGUUGUCUGUAGUUCGUAUUUUGGGUGCUUAUGAUGAUUGUUGAGUCAACUCUGAGUUGCUUUCGGGAAUUUCGCCAAGGUGGAGAUUGUUGGAUUUUGUGGCUCAAUACUUUUUGGGCCUUUAGUUUUUUGUCUCAAGCCCAAAUAGGUUUGGCCUUUUGUUACCCAUUUGAAAGCCACAUGGCAGCUAGGGUUUAAUUAAAAAGGCACCAGCCUUAUAUAAGGAAAUUCAUGCCUUUUGGUCAGAAGACAAGCUGCAGAAAAGCAGCAGAAAGGUAGCAGAAAAGAAAGUGCAGCCGAAAGCAAGCAAAAAAGAGAAAAGGCAGCAAUGAUGAAAUUUGUUAGGAUGUUGGCUCAGGGAAGAAAAGUCAAGAGCUUUUCUUUUGGUAUUUUCAAGGCAGCAGCUGCUAUAUGUUUGAGGAGAAGCCGAGAGAAGAAAAACGGCAUAUUAGAGAGAAGUAAGAGAAAGGUUGCUGUUUUCUAUUCUUCCUUUGUUUGUAAUCCCCUUUGUUAGUGAUCACUCAAUCAAAGAUAUUUGUGCUACAUGUUGUGGCUUUUGGGAGAGAAGGAAUUUGAUAUGUGUUUCUUCUUCUCCAUUUGUUUCUUUGUUUGAGUGAGAGCUAUUGGGUGUAUGUGGGAUUUGGGUUUGAGAGUUAAAACUCUAUUUGUAAUCUUCUUUGAUAUUAGUGGAAUUUCCUCGCCGUCUCGGAACUGGACGUAGGCUUACGCCGAACCAGUAUAAAUCCUUGUGUUCUUUGGAUUAUUUGUCUUGUCAUAUUUUACCGUAUUAGCUUAUUGGUUUCAUAUUUGACGCUUCCGCACAACAAUGUGAGGGUUGAGGGAUGAACUGCCAGUAUGAGGAAGGUAAUGAGAAGACAUUGCAGGCACUGAAUUGUAUGAAACAUUAGCGAUACCUGUAUUUGGAACUUGAGAACGCAUGGAAUGUUGGUUUUGCUGUGGAUGAGAUGGAAAAAAACUGUGAGGAAUUGAAUGGUGGACUGACAGCUUGAUUCCUAUCAAAACAAGUAGCUGUAGUGUGUCCCACUCGAUGACAAAUUUAACAUCCACGCUAAAAACAAGUGAGUGCAGAGUGACCUUUUCUAUCAUAUAUUUGGCACACUUGUUGAGGAUUCUGAGAAGACUGGGAUCCUUGAGACUAAAAUGAGGGCUGUGAGAAUUGACUGGCAUUAUAAGAUGACUGAUGAUUAUAGUGAGACUAAUUCCCAGAGAAGAAUUUUUUUCCUUUUCCUUUGGAUUUAAAGUUGUUCCCCCUGAAAUUAUUAUAAGUACCCGAGCCAUAUUAAGAGACAAAUGCCUGAGGUCCAGGAAAUGGAAGCUGUGAAAGUUGAGGCAUGAAUGGCAUUGGAGCAAAUUGUUAUAGAAUUGGAGUUGUAGAAAAAGGCAACACAUGUCCAGAUGAUUGACCAAGAUUAGAUCCUGAAGCAUAAGGUUUUGUACCUGAAGAACCACCAACAUCAAAUGGAGAGCCAGUACUUUGAGCAUGCAUGGCAAACAUAAGAGGAAUCUAUCUAGUGGUCUCAUCUAGUAUAGAUUCUUCAACCCUCAGUUGUGAUCGAAGUUCUUUAAGCGAGACUAGAUUCUCACGACCACGUAUCACAGCUUUAAUGGUGUUAAACUCAAGGGGUAAACCUCGCAAUGCUAAAAUAACAAUGUCCUCAUCAGAUAUGAAUACCCCAACUGCAGCCAAUUGAUCCCUAGCAUCUUUGAUUCUUUGCAAGUAUGCAUCAAUAGUCUCAGAUCCCUUCUUAAUGUUUUGAAGAUCAAUUUUCAUCUGAACAAUGCUGGUUGUGGUCAUAUUGGCAAACCUUUCAUGAAGACAAGUCCACAUUUCUUUCGAGCUUUUGCAAUCAAUCACACAAGACAGAGCAGUAGUGGACAAAGUGGCAGUGAUGAGUGUCAUCAAAGCCUUAUCAUGAAUCUUCCAAAAUUAUAUCCAUUAGUUAACAUUUGUUCAUUUUCUAUUGUGUCAUUAUCCAAAUCAAAAUCAGCAAAACGUGCAGGACAAGGAAUGGAUCCAUCAAGAAAGCCACAAAUUCCAUUGCCUUCCAACAACAAUUCCAAUUGAAAAUUCCAAGUAACAUAAUUGGAGUCAUAAAGUUUGACUGUGACAAUGUUACUCACGCUCGGAAUCAAUGAAGAAAUUAAAAAUUGUGUAAGAGCCAAUUGUGCAGUGGUAACCAUGUUUACACAAUUAACACACUACAAAUCUUGAAUCACAAGCAAAACUCCAUAGAAGUGACAAAUUAUACCACAGAUAAUUCCAAAAAACAGAUCAAGAUCCAGAACGAUCUUAAUGUCAUAGUAGAAAGAUUACGAACAUAAUCAAGAAUCCUCAGCAACAAACCCAUAGAUUAGGGUUUCAGAAGAGAAGACAAAUAUCGCAAAAUUAUCAACUACACAACGUUAAUGCAUAAGUAACAUCACCUCGACAACCAAUUAUGAUGAGCAACAACACAAGAUGGCCAAAAAUCCCCAAAAUUCUAGGGUUUCACAAGCCACCGACUUCGAACAACAACGACUGAAAUCAGAACCACAACCAAAACACCUACGAGACAACGAGGAGCAAGAAAUCACAGCAAUACUCCGAGAUAGAGAGAGAGAGAGCAGAAGCAAGAAGGAUCGUCAACCGAUGGUGUUAACCACACUGGCGAAGAUACCAUGUCAACAUUGCAGAAAACGAAGAAAUCUUAGCUACGAAGGAAGAGAGAAUAAGUCAGAGAGAAGAAUAUUUUCCAACUGUAUUUUCUAUUUUAACUUAAUUAUUACAAGACACUCCUACUAUUUAUACUCACACUCUCAUAACACCCUCCACUAAUAUCAAUACAAGUGGCACCUUCUACAUAACUGAAAUGAUAAGAUACAAAUAUCCUUACAAAGGGUACCCCAAGUGGUUAAUCAUGUUGAUGGAACAAACUAUGGAUUGCCCGAUGGAUGGACUGAGGAACAAAAGUCGCGGACCUCUCUAAAAUAUUUGGGAAUAAAAGACAUGGUUAGUUCGAUUAUUAAUUCUAAUUUUUCUUUAUGAACUACAAUUUUUUGGUUUCAGAUCUUACUUUUGCUCUGUUUAUUUGUAUGACCCUUUUAUUCUUUUGCUUCAGAAUAUAUUAAUAAAUGCCAUCCCGAGAUUGAAGUGUGUAAAAAAUAGUUGGUGUUUGCAAUAGUUAGUCUUGAAUUUUAUGUACCACAAUCAUAUUCAAAUCCUAUUUAGUCAAUGGUAGCCAAUUAACAUAGGUUAAGUGCAGACUUUCCUUCAUCCUCAAACCGGAAAACAAUUCUGAUCGCUAGUAGGUGCUGUUGGAUAUAAGUCAACAAUCUGUGAUUUAAAUAUAUAUGCUAAUAAACAAUAAAUGCAAUAGGAAUUAACAGAAUAUAAACUAGAAUACGAAUUAUAAAAACAGACAACUUGAAGAUCGAGGCUUGCGUACCGCAAUGUCCUUGAAACAGAAAUUUCGUCCAUACUCAGUGCUUGUAGUUCUACGGACGUCUACUUCACCAGGAUUCAACGAUCUAAGUCAGAAAUUCCAGCACCGGAAAAUUGACUUCUGGCGAAUAUUAAUGUGGUUCUCUCAGAAAGGAUGUUUAUGAUUGCAUGAGAAGAUUUAUGAUUUUUCUAUAUUCUAAAUGCCAUGCAGAUAGAUGUAUAUAUAAUGUGAUUAUACCUGUUCGCAACAGGUAUGAGGAAGGGAUGCAUCUGUUGGGAGACAUCUGCUGAAAAGGGUGUUUUUGUUUCUGCGUUUUCACACUUCAGACUUCAUCUGAAAAGAUGAGUCUGUUGGUAAAAAUAAAUAAUUAAUUAAUUUAAAUUCGAAAUUAAAAAUAAUUAAUUAAUUCCAAAAAUAAUUAAUUAAUUUAAUUAUUAGAGCCCAAGGCCCAUCUUUUGACAAUUAAAUAUAUAUUAAUUAUAUAUUAAUUAUAAUUAAUUAUAUAUAUUAAUUACCAAUUAAUUAGUACACCCGAAAGCCCAACCCUAAAGGUGAGCCCAAUUUUAGUCUCCAGGCCUAUUACUCCAAUCAUUUUCUAUAAAGGACAAAGCCUUGUAAAGUGAUAAAAUCUUUUGGGAAUGGCCAAUAUGGGACAAAGAAAUUUCAACUCAAACUAUUCAAAUUUCCAACAGGUGCUAAGAAAUGGAUCAAGGAAAAUCAAGGUGAGCUGCCACAUGAGGCAUUCCAAGUUGGUGUUUCCAAGGUGAGCUCAUAAGUUUAUUUACAUAUGAAGAAAUAAUUUUAUUCAACGAAACCUUAAAUUUUUAAAGAUCGAAGGCUGUUAUUGUUGACAUGAUGACAUUCACCAAGUCAUGAACGGUUGAUGUUUUUGUAUAUUGUUCUCUUGCAGGCUUCACAGAGUUCAGAACCUCCUCAUGUAGCAGUAGAAGGAAGAAAGCAACUAAACAUAUGCACUUUGACUUUGCACACCCACCAGAAAACAUAACAUGGGUCUUAACUGACACUGAGACUGAUGGAUGGAGGCUGUAUGUGGGAGAUACCAUGGUUCCUGAUCUGGUAAAGAAUGUUUGGGCCGAUAGAUUUUCAUCUGCAAGUUUUGGAAAUGUAUGAAGCAUCUUGCUAUUAUUCGAAAAAAAAUAAUGCAAAAUAAAAUAUAAACAGAUCUGGUAAUUUUUUUUUGUUUUUUAUGUCGUAAAUUUGCUUUUGUUUUUGGAAAAGAUGUUUUAUUGUAAACAAAAUGAUUUUGACGAACAAAAACAUAGAUAUGGCAAUUUUUUAUAUGGCCCGUUAACACGACACGUAAACAAUACGAAAAUAACGGGGUUCGAAUCAACACAAUAACUAAUCGGAUCAUUAUCGGGUCACAUGAUAAUAACCCGUUAAUAACGGGUCCUUACCAGGUUUAUACGAAAGUGACACGCGCGUAACCUGUUUUGACACGAUAAGAAAAAAGUUAUUUUUAUAAUUUUAAUUUUUUAAACUACUAAAAAAACUUACUAUAAAAUACAAUAGAUAUAAUGAAUAUGUAUAUAUUGUUUAUUAAUUAUUAUUCUAUAUAAAUUUUAAAAUUUACGUUUUUAUUUAUUUAUUUAUUUUUAUAGUAUUGAGAUUAAAAAUCAUAAAACACUUUAAAAAUAAAAAUAUCAAGUAAUUUAAAAAUACCAUACACAUUAAAAAAAAUUAUAAUAAUUAAUUUACAUGUACGAAAAAUAUGAAAAAAAUAUGCAAAUGCUCGUAGUCGCAUCCUCUACGCUUUGAGGAUGGGUAUAUGAUUGUUUGAAUUUUUAAACCAUACAAACUCUCAUGAACAGUAUUUUUAAAGGAGUUUAAAAUAAACAAAAUUCAUAAUCAUUAAUGUAUAAGUUUGAAAGAUGUGAAAGCAUAAUAAACAUUCAUAAUUUCAUCCUCAACGCUUAGACGAUAGUUACAUGGUCGUUUAGAUUUUUAAAACCCUCCAAAUCUCAUGAACAUUGUUUUUUAUUUGAGUGCAAAAUUAAUAAAAUUAAUAAUAAUUAUUGUAGAAGUGUGAAAAAUGUAAUCACUCGUAAUGAAAAAACUUUACAACUUUCAUGAAGGAGUCAACUCUGAAAUUUAGUAUGUAUAUACUAAUUUAGUAUUAUGUUUUACAUUUUUUUGGGUCAAAUUAUGUUUUUCAUUUUCAUUUUUAUUGAUUUAAAAUAUUUUUUUCUUAAUGGGUAAAGGGUCGGGUCAUAAUACCUGAUAAUAUUAACGGAUUGAUUUUGGGUCAGGUCAUAUUACCCGUUUACUUUAACGGGUAUUACACGACACGCUCCAUUAAGCUAUUGGGUAUGACACAAAAACAACACAAACACGAGAAACACGACAUGAAUGCCAGAUCUACAAAAACAUCUUAAAAAUGAUGCACUUCAGUGGAAAAAUAAGCAGAAAAUACUGCAAAAUAAAAUAUAAACAGAAAAAACGCCCAAGUACCCAACAAAAAUAUAAACGAUGCGCUUCGUACUGUUAAACUACCAUUAAACCACUUGGGAAAAAUACUAUAAACCUAACAAAAAUAUAACUAGAGGAUAUUAAUCCAAGAAAAGUAAAAUUAGAGGAUAUAUAUAUAUUACUGAAUCUUUACUCAGUCCUCAGGAAAAAAAAACUAUAUAGUAAACUCUAUGUCAAUAACAGACCCUUGGAUACACUUGUAAUUUUAUAUUGGUCUAAUGAGUUGAAUUCUUAUGACAUUAUUGCUACAGUGAUAUGAAUUCAAUAAAAGUGAGUUCUUUAUUUUAAUUUCUGGACCCGUUAAUUUUUUCUUUUUCUCUAAUUUAUGAUCGAUUGUUCUCUUUUCUCACUCUCAGAUAAUUGGCUAUUUAUCAUAUAGGAACAUAUGACUUCAAUAUAUUGAAUUAUAAAAAAAAAAACCGCUCUUAUUGGACUAAGAUUUUCAGGCCAUUAUAGAAGUGUAAUUCCUCCAUUAUUAACAUCACAGAACUUUUCGACCCACUGUGGAAGGGCUUAUUUGGUUAUAAGAUUAAUGAUCAUAUAUGACUAAUAUUCUGUGGGAUUGAAAUUUAGUUUAAAUUUUUAAGUUUAGAGUUUUUUCUCUGUUUAUUUUACUUGGGAGACUAUAAGGCACAACCGUACACAACUGGACUUUAUGUGAGGCCUAUGAUAAACCCCGGAAGGAUACCGUUUGAGACCACGAAAAUCUCAUGAAUUAUAAUGUCAGUUGUUGGAUUCAUUUGCCCUUAAUGUAUGAUAUGUAAUGGCCCUAAUCAGGUAGUGAAUUUAUGAGUUUUGACUUUCAAUUGACCCUAGCUCUAAAAAAAAUGCUACCAACUUUCAGACAUAAUUUUGGUAAUUUAAAUUUAAAGGUUUGCAGGUUUAGUGCCGUCUAGGUUGUUGGUAGUGGCCGCACCCAAACGAUAAAUGGUUUAAUUAGAUUAGGGUUAAAAUCUUUAGGAAAAUCCCGUCAAGAGUAAUAUGGUGUAUGCAUGGCAAAAUUAUCAUAUUUGGAUUUGGGACAAUGAAUGUAAAUGUGUGAUGAGAGAAUCUGGUUCAGAUUUUAUCAGGCACUUUCCCUCCAUUUGCAAAUACCACCUUUCGUAAUUGGUAACGAAUUGAAAGCUCUCACCUAACCUUUUUUGCAGGCACUGCUUGGCGAAGGUACAUGAAAGUCGACCUUCUCUCAUCCCUAUAAAACUGCAACACUUUCUCUUCCACAUCCCAUCCCUUGUGCUUUGCUGCCUCCUAUAUCUCUCUGUCUCUCAGUCUCUUUGAAGCUCUCUCUCUCUCUCUCUCUCUCUCUCUCUCGCUCUCGCUCUUUGUUCAUUAUGAUGUCUAUGUCCUCUAAACCCUCAUCCCUUGAUGUAUUGGCUGUAGUGGCCUUAGCCUCUUCCGAGGAGGCAGAAUCUAAAUAUGACUUCCCUGAAUUCCCAGAAGCAGAUUUCAUGGAAAGCCAUGAGAUACAAACCACUGUUGGCUCGAGUAGUACAAUACAAGAGGAAAAGUUGCGACAAAUCAAAAUCUUGCUUCGGAGAAUGAUUAGGGUGAGUCUCUGCCUCUUAACUAAUAUUUCGGCCCCUCAAUCUCCAAUUAAAAUGUACUUUGUAUACUUGGAAUUUGAUUAUAUGGUUAAUUGUCAGAACAUUUUCAUUUAACACAGGAAAAAACCGCAGAGUUGAAGGCCAGGUGGGGAAACCCUGAAAAUAUGCAGAUCGUAGUGUACCAACCACCUCAACAUGCUGACUACAUGAAUAUGGCAGCGAACAUCCAUGUAUAGUUUCAUUCGCUUAAUUAACCAUAUAUAUAUGUAUAUAUGUAAUGGGUUUUAGGUUUUCUAGCGAAGUGUUAUAUGAUUUUCAUUCUCACCUAAUUUGUUUUGCAUAUCCAGCCAGAGGUCGCACAAGUUCAAGAAAAGCCAGCAAGAUCGCCGACAACUGUAUUGAUCGGAGAUGACAUAGUGUCAUUUGAAUUACCGGAAGAUUUUUCUGAGGAUUUAAAGACGGUAUAUACAUAGCUUUACUACUUUAUGUACUAGUUAUAUGUAGUGUGAAAGGUCUCAUAUUAAUAUCAUGUGUUUGUGAAUGACUACAGCUGAUACCGGAAGGGCCUCCUCGCCGAUUUUCCUUCUCUGAGAGACUAGAUGGCUGGAGGAUUAGUCGAAGACAACGAUCCGAUGGAGGGAAGGACAUGGUAAUUAUUCGCUAGUCUGUUGGCACCCGCUAAUGCGCGAGCUAGUUUUUUUUUUAAUUAAUUACGUGGAAAUUAUUUGAUUUUUAUAAUUUUGUACUUUUUAAUAUUAACUUUUCAUUAUUUAUUUUAUUGUUUUAACUAGUAAAGAAAGAAAAUAAAAGCAAAAAAUUGGAAAUAAAUGUGUGUGGGUAGUGGGUUUGAUGCAAACAAACAUCAAUUUCUAACCCUCGUUAGUUCAGUUGUUAUAUUUUAAAAUCGUCAUUGAAUCGAGAUUUGAGUCGUCUUGGAGUAAAGCCACAUACUCAACAACGUCUCUGUCGGCGAGAACAUCUUGAUCGAAAGCUCCAUACGCUGGUUCGAUAAGCCAAGGAAAAACAACCAAAUGAAUCUACCGGUGUUAAGCAUCUAACUGGCAUCUUUUUCUAAAGGCCUUAGUAAGGAUAGGUGGUGCAGGUUAUAGGGUCCUUGCCAAACUCAGUCAUUUAUAUACAAAUAUAUAUAAUAGAGAUUUUUGGUGGAGAAAUUGAUUAAGCAAUUUUGAAAACCUAGUUUUCGUUUCUUUUUGCCCUCAAAAUUCUAGAUUUAUAAACUUUUCGUUAAAAUCUUUAAAAUGCAUUGGAGUAAAGUAAUUUCAUCACAUAUAUAUAUUUUCUAAAGUUGAAAUGUUUCAUGAAGUACUAUAGACAUGAGAAAUCAAACUCCUGUUUGAUGAGAUCGAUUAUCGAAGCAAUUAGAUUCAUGAUGUAUGAGACAUACCCAAGCUUAAAUGAUGAGGUGAGUUACAUCAAUCAAUUUCAUAUACGCAAUUGAUUUUGUUCACUAUACUGUACAUAUAUCUUUGGCAUGUAAAACUUUGAAAUAUAUAAAUACGCAUUUGAUUUUGUUCACCAUACAACAUUUUUUGGUUUAUGUUUAGGAUGAAAGAAAGACAAGAUCAGCACCAAGAAAGAGAAAAGCUUCGGAUGUUGGCUGUAGCAGCAAUGAUAUCUCGGAGGAAAAUAUGCAAGGUUUUGAUGGGGAACCCUAUACGGAAGAAAGGGUGACAGAAUUCUUUAAGUCGGCCUACGAAAGAUUGGUGAACCUGAAAUUUGUUGAUAAAACGGAGACCGAAAGUACUCUUCCUAUUCCCUGCUCCUUGUACCUAUAUAUAUAUAUAUAUGUAUACGUAUGUGUGUGUGUGUAUCUACAUUACUCUUUCCUUCUAGUGCACAUCAAAUCUCUUGAUAUUUCUAAUGGGCUGAUUUACUCUCCUUUAAUCCGUUGAAUUUUCUCAGGACCAAAACCAGAACUUCAAAAUAUUCCGAAGGAAAACCAAUCUCCUCUGCGCACUUUUUGUUCUUCUCGAGAAGGAGAUGCUGACAGUCACUCCGCUCCUUCUUUGUAUGUCGGCGGUAGUGUAAAAGCAGGAGCAAUAGCUACAACUGAGAUAUUUCAGGACUUAACAGGCGAUAUUGAGUUAUCCGAGCUGAUUAAUCAAAGGGAGUGCCCUAAGUUGGAGGAAGUCGGGAUAACCCCCAUCCGGCCUCUGUCAUAGCCCGAUGAUCUCGACAACGCAUGAUAUUGAGCUAUAUUUUAAGGGUAGAGUGGGUUGAGUUGGGAAGAAUCUUUCUUGGGCAAAUUUUUUUUCUUGAUCCUUGUAGUGAGAUACUACUUUUAAAUCGACCUCUACAGUGAAAAAAGUGUUAAUCUUAACCCUGUGGUGAAGUUCGUUAUCAAUUGUAGUCCAAAUUGAAAUUUCUGUUAAAAUCUCAUCCACAUGAAGGGGUAAAAGUCAUUCCAUUCUUUUUUCUUUUCUUUUUGGUAAUUCCACUUUUUUUUAUAAUCAACAAAAAUAAAAGGAAAACAAAAAUUCCUCCCCAAUCCCUACUCUUGUCAGCCAUAGCCACGACGACCACCCACCACCUUCCCCCCUCUCUCUCACAUAACCCUAGCCAUCCCAUCCACUAUUGUUAUUAAAAUAAAACUAAAUUCAAUGUUUGCAUAAUAACUUAUAUUCUAACAUAAACGCAGUGAGGUACUUUGUGAUUUUUUAAAUCUUGAAUUUGGACUCUUGGCUCUCUUGAAAUGAGAAAAUCUAAUAAUAUGAACCUUGUCAUUUUAUUGUUUAUUUAUUCUUUUAUUGUAGUUCUAAAAGUUUUUUAAAAAAAAAAUUGUGUUCAUAUGAUGCUUUAUGAUUGGUUCAUAGAAUCAAUAAAAACGAAAAUAACAAUUUUACCCCUACAAAUGAUGGAAGAAUGAGGAAAAAUCCAAUUUGGACUAUGAUUGAUAACGAAUUUCAUCACAGGAUUACAAUUAAUAACUUUUUCACCACAAGGGUCUAUUUAAAAGUAGGAUAUCACCACAAGGAUCACGAAAAAAAUUUGGCCUCUUUCUUGAGCUUAGCAAGCAGGUGGUGUUUCAUGGAGAGCAAACUCCCGAGAUAUUAGUGUUUUUCUUUUUAUUUCAGUUUCUUUUUGCUCUUUUGCAUACUAUUCUAUUAUUUAAUGAACUGAAUUUACAUGUGUUUAAGAGAAUAAAAUAAAGGUAUUUAUUGUCAGUAACUACUUCCUCUUCCUCUUGUACUUGAGGUAAUUUUAUUUUGUAUUUUUAGAGUUUUUUUUCUUUUUUUAAUUAUUGCAUUAAUUCCUUAAAAAAUUAUUAAAAAGUAGAGAAGUAUUAUAGUGAUACUGAAAGCUUAUUGCAUAUGAAACUUAAGGAUAGUGAUACUGAAAGCUUACUGCAUAUGAAACUUAGGCCAUCUCCAAAUGAAAAAGCUAUGUUUAGUCGCCGUUCAGAUUAUAGUCCUGCGAGAAAUGAUUUUUUAAUUAACAAUGCUAGACCAUAUUUAUAUACCAUCUCCAACUGAAGGAAACUGUUUUUAAGCCCCUCAAUAUUUAUUAUUUUAAGUUUGUUCUUUAAUUUUAUUGGUUAAUUAAAUUAAACUAUCAUAUUAAAAUAAGGUUAUUGCUUAACCGGACAAACGGAAUUGGGAUCUCUUUUGCCUCUGGACAUAUUUUAAGUGUCACUUGUCACUAAAUGAAUAAGUCUCCGAACAUAUUUUGAGUGCCACUUGAAGAUGUGGCCAUUUGAAAUUUAUCAAAAAAAAUAAAGGAAAAAUUAUUGGAAGAGGUAAAAGAGGGGUUUGUAUGAAAAGAGCGUUUAAGGUAAAUAGAAUGUGAAGAAUUCAAAUAAAAUGAGGUAAGAUAGUAUAGAAGAGUGAAAAAGGAUGUGAGAAAUGGUGUAGAAAUGUUUUAGGUAUUUAUAGGAAAAAAAUAGAUUUUUUUUUUAAUUUCUCUUAAAAAAAUCCAGCUAGGCCCAACUAAAAAGGAUGGCUGACUAGUUAAAGAUGGCCAGCCCAUUGGCCAUAUCGCUGGAUUUGGGCCCGAUGGAUCCCAAGAUUUUUUGCCCCAGACCUUCAUUGAAGAUGGGUUUUGUAUCAAAAAGGCUAUCCUUUGGCCUAUGGCCCUAUGAUGGCCCAAUUGGAGAUGGCCUUAAGGAGAUUCAUUUGGUCCUUUUCAUUUUUUUAUGGGGUUUUUAGAUUUUAGGGCUUCAAUAAGAUUGUUUUUAGAUUUUAACAUGAAUGGUUUUCAAAAUCUAAUAUAAGUCCUUAUUUUUAAAACUUACCAUAUAAGUAAUUAUAGCACAUUUUUUAUUUAUGUUACCCUUCGAAAUUCUUUACCCAUCCAUAAUAAAUGAAUAUUUUUUGUUCUCCAAUCAUAUUAAUAGAUAAAAAUUUAAUAAAUUCAUAUUCUUAUUAUUAAAAAAAAACAACAACAAAACAAAAACAAUUUAUACAUUUUCGGUACCUUAUUUUAUUCAUAGGUACGGAAGUAUUGGUACAUAAGUUUCGGUACGAAUGUAUCAAUACAUAACUUUAGGUACCUUAUUUUACUCAUAGAUGUAGAAGUAUUAGUACGUAAGUUUCGGUACAAAUGUAUCACUACAUAACUUUCGGUACGAAUGUAUAUAUCGAUAUAAAUGUGUCGGUACAAAUGUAUUGAUAUGUAACUAUGGUAUCUAAACAUACAUAUAUACGUAAUAUGCAUAUACAUAAAUAUGGAGAAAUUUACGCACAAUGAAAAAUAUAUGAUAAAUAACAUUUUUAAUUUUUAUGAGAAAUCAAUGUAUAAACUACAAACAAAAAACUCAAUAAUUAUUACAACCUAUUUAAUAUUCAAAAAUUAAAAUUAAAUGUCAAUGAUUAGAAUUAGUUUUUAAUCUUAGACAAGGUUUUAUUCAAAAAGUAAUCUUAGACAAGGUUUUAUUCAAAAAGUAAUCUUAGACAAGGAUUAAAAUAUAACUUUUCGGUUUUUUUUAUCUUAUUUGUUCACCACACUCACUUUUUAGGUGAUUGCAUGCAAAACGCUAACAUUCUUCAAUAUCAUUGAUGCAAUUGUAUGUCCAUUCAAGCUUAAGAUAUAUCAAAACCGUCCUCUAAUUAGACAUUCAAAUGAAGAUUUAAGACUCCAGGCCAGGCCAGACUCUGUGGAGUUUUAGAGGAUCUGCUUUGUACAUUAAAAUUCUAUGAAUUAAACAAGAAUUUGAACCUGCAUGCGAGGUGGCUUGUCCACUUAAUUGAUCUUUUUAUCAGUUGACACAUUGUGCGCACAUAUACAUACAUACACAUAUAUAUACAUAUAGGAUUCGUAUAGAAAUGUUCUCGUGACUAUCACAUAACUUUCAUUGCCUUUCAUGUUAAAGGAAGGAAAGAAAGCCAACACAAUUUGGAUGGGAUAAAUAUUGUCGACUCGUUCAAGCUUCCGGGAGAUCUCCCUCGGGCUGGUCUUGACAUUGAGAAUGUAAAGUACCAUUCCUAUAAACAGUGAUCUGUACCAUGACAUGCAUAUUUUUCCCCCAACUAAUUGUACUUGUCAACUGCAAAAACCUUUAUAUAUGCUAUUUCCUGUAGGACGUUAUGUGAUGAGGGACUCAUUGUGUAUUUUGUUCAUUGCUGCAGUUAGUGCCCACGGACAAUGGGAUCCGUGAAAGUAUAGCUGGAAGAGUUUGCAGAUUUUCUUUUGCAGAAAGACUCAAGGGUUGGAAGAUCAAGUGCACAAAAAGAAAAUCAGGAAGUCGUACAGACACGGUAAUUUGAUUUUGAAUUUGUUUCUUGUUUGGAUCUCACUGAACUCUUUUAGAAAGUGUUGAAGAUCCUAAUAACCCUAAUUACCCAAAGUCCCUUUAUGUGAUUAUGGAACCAUAACUCCGUGAUCUUUUCUUAGAGAACUCCAUAUAUAUAAAUUGUUUAACAACAACAACAACAACAACAACAACAAAGCCUUUUCCCACUAAGUGGGGUCGGCUAUAUGAAUCCUAGAACGCCAUUGCGCUCGGUUUUGUGUCAUGUCUUCCGUUAGAUCCAAGUACUCUAAGUCUUUUCUUAGGGUCUCUUCCAAAGUUUUCCUAGGUCUUCCUCUACCCCUUCGGCCCCGAACCUCUGUUCCGUAGUCACAUCUUCGAACCGGAGCGUCAGUAGGCCUUCUUUGCACAUGUCCAAACCACCGUAACCGAUUUUCUCUCAUAUUUCCUUCAACUUCGGCUACUCCUACUUUACCUCGGAUAUCCUCAUUCACAAUCUUCUCCUUUCUCGUGUGCCCACACAUCCCACAAAGCAUCCCACAAAGCAUCCUUAUCUCCGCUACACCCAUUUUGUGUACGUGUUGAUGCUUCACCGCCCAACAUUCUGUGCCAUACAACAUCGCUGGCCUUAUUGCCGUCCUAUAAAAUUUUCCCUUGAGCUUCAGUGACCUACGACGAUCACACAACACGCCGGAUGCACUCUUACACUUCAUCCAUCCAGCUUGUAUUCUAUGGUUGAGAUCUCCAUCUAAUUCUCCGUUCUCUUGCAAGAUAGAUCCUAGGUAGCGAAAACGGUCGCUUUUUGUGAUCGUCGUUAGAUUGCUCCGGUCAUUAGUGUGGAUAAGUAUAUAAAUGGAUAGAGAUAGGAAAGCAAACACCAGAUGUACGUGGUGUUUGCAAGAUAUAAAUUGUUUGUAUCUGUAAAAUCUUGCAAGUUGAAAAGAAAGAAUUCUAUGAGUAGUUUUUUCUGAAAAUGAAUGUUUAUUUUGCAGUUACGUACACACAAGAACUCUGUCAACUUUAGAUCGGCAGUUGAAGUGGUUACCUUCAUACUGUAUGAAGCAUACCCAUCUGAUAGACCAUCAAAAAGGGAGGCGCAAGUAAAUGCCGAGGAACUAAUGGUCGAUGAGGAGGAACUAAUGGUUGAUGAGGGUUUGUUCGAAGGACUCGAGCCGCUAAAUGGUAGAGUUUUCGAUCUACCGGAAGUUGAUGAAAGUUUUUUGUUGCAUGUCACGAUGUGAUGACUAAAAGAGCAAUAGUGAUUGCAUGAAUGGUUAUCCGUCGUUAAUGUAUGUGAACUUUUUAGGUGAUUGCAUGCAAAACGUUAACAUUCCUCAAUAUCAUUGAUGCAAUUGUAUGUCCAUUCAAGCUUCAGAUAUAUCAAAACCCUCCUCUAAUUAGACAUUCAAAAGAAGAGUAGGACUCCAGGCUAGGCUAGACUCUGUGGAGUCCAAACAUUUGCAACUGUCACUUGUGGAAACCUACUCAGUUUCGAGCCCAAAAAAGGAUACUCAAUGCCGGAUUGGACUAGCACUUGUAAUACAAAGAGUUCGAAUCCCCUUCCUCGUAGUCAGAUUAGUUUAAAACAAAGAGUUGGAUCAUUUUUCAGUAGGUUCAAAUACGGAAGCAUAAGUUUUCCAGAAACAGGUAAAAAUAUAAUUGUAAGAACUGCGAAAAGAUAAUACAGUCAUUCGGUCCAGGCCAAUAGCCAGACGGUAUACGUAAUAAAACACCUAUGACAGCAUUUCAGAUCAGAAUGCACACGAGAUCAAAAGCAAGGAAAGAAACAAAGCAGAAAACAGAAAUAGAAAUAGAAAUUCGGACCUCAUGCGUCUACAAUGACCAUGUAAAACACAUAUUUCUCACCGGCCGUUAGGCUCAACAAUCCUUGGUCUGCCUCCCAUCUGCUCGAGAAACUGGGAGAGACGCAAAUGCUUCGCGGCCCAUUGCUCAGCCAACUUCUGCUCCUUUGCUUCUGCAUCCCUCCUUAGCCCUGCUAACUGUUCCCUGUAUUCUGCUUCGAUCCUGUCUAGAGCAGCCUUCUGCUCUUCCCUUAGAGCCUUCACCUUGGCUUCAAUCUCUUCCAUCUUCUCCCUCCUCCGACAAGCCUUCUCCGAAUCCAGUUGCAACUCCACCCUUCUUAACCUCCACGAAGCUUCCUUCUUAUGCACUGCCCAAGCACGGUGCAUUUCCUCCAACUCUCUGGAGCACUCCACCAACUCAGAUAUCACUAGGUUCUCCCCACAAGCGGGAACUACACCAUGAUGUGGCAAAUUUCCCACAACAAAACUACCAUCUGAUCCUCGAUCCUGCUGCAGCCAAGGGAUUGGCGGAGAGGGUGCCACUGUCGGGGACAGACUCAGGGUAACAGAAGGAGAUGGUGGCCUCACAUUGGGGGACACACUGGAAUUAGAAAGCCAAGGAGGAAGAAUCGUUGGCGCUGGAGAAGAUGUUUCCGUAUGAAGAUAGGCCCCGUUUGAAGUAGCCAUGAGAUAGGUUGGCGCACGCUCCUUCACCAACUUCUCGGCAAAAGUUUCAAGUAUUGUAUCGUAUUUACCCUCCACAAUAGGGUCAGUUAUCUUCUUGUUCUUCUGUUCUCUUUGCUGCUUCUCUUUGAACACUUCCCACCACUUUCCCAAUCUCUUAGCCGUACGACCAGGGACUUCAGCAGCAAUUUUCUUCCACUUAUUACCGUGUUUGGCUUGAAGACAAAUGACAAGGCGCUGCUCCUCUUCAGUUAGGGAUCCUUUCUUAAUGCCGGGUUUGAGAUAAUUCUUCCACCUUUCUAAGCAAGAUUUAGCAUCCCUGUCUAGGGGUGUGUUCAUGCGCUGCGAUACAAGGUUCCACUCCCUUGGUCCAUAUUGCUUCACAUAUGCACGUAACAAAGCGUCCUCUUCAGCACUCCAACGCUGUCUCUCCUUCAUCUCCAGGAGCACGCACAAUUGUCCAUUGCCUCAAACCGAAACUCUUCAUAAUGUAUCUGGGAUCCAGACGCCAUUAUAUUAGUCGAUCUCCUACUGUGAUUUUAUGAUAUGUUAAUGUCAAAAAGGAAAUAAACAACUGGAUAGGAAGGAACUAACUAGCUAAGACUAUGAAAACCAAAAGAAGCAGAUACAGCUACCAGAUGAUAGAAACAAUGAGGCUAAUAUGUGCAUCAAACGGUAAAUUUCCUCUAAUGGAAUGAAAUUGCGGCCACCAGUUGCAUGCUUGUUUUGAAACCAGGAUAACAAUUUCAUCGCCCAUGCAUGCAUUUAAGACAAGAAAAUAAAGGAACCUCCAUAAAUUCCUGGUGCCUUCACCAGCCAUUCAACCACUAAUAGUCAAAUACAGAAACGGAAAAAAUUUAAGAAGAUGAGCAUUCUCAUUGUAGUUCAACAGUCGAGACAUCAGCAAAAUAACAAACUGACAAGUAAUGCUGGAUUUAACUAGGAUUAUGUUAGAGUUUUGAUGAACAAAAGGAGAAAUGCUUAAUCCUGAAAACUGGUCAAAUAUAUUCCAAUUGGCAUACAACGAACACAAUGGCUAUUUCUUCAGCCAAAUCAUUAAACUUAGAGAGCAUAUCGGGUCUGGCAUGCGUAUAAAAAAGUUGAGAACAGGGCAGCUCUUUGUAAGAAAUCCUUUCCAUACAAACUUAUUAACUUUAGACAGGAAAAGGGACGAUGACAAACUAUAACAUGAUACAUUUCGAGAUGAAUAAUUCAAUUAUUUCCAUAAUUUAAUAUACAUUGUACUUAUUAACUGGUGUACUUAUAUACAGUAAAUGGAAGAUAACAAACAAGCACAUAAUAUAUUUCACAAAGUUUGAAUAAUUCAAUUAUUUACAUAUGUAUUAUUUAUUUUUAAUUUGGUAAUUAACUAAUAGGUAUUUAUUAAAAUAUAAACUUAAAUACUCCCUACUUCAGGGUAUAUGUAAUGAUUCAGAAUAGCCAGCAUAAUAUGAUGAUUUAAUUUUAUAUAGGGUGUGAUUUCCACUCUCCAUUGCACCUCUUGCACUCACCCCUUAAUUUUGUUCCUUGAUUUUUUUUGUUCCGUUUCAUUAAAUGACCAAAAAGAAAGAACCAUAACGAAAGAAGGGAGUGCGUAAGGUCAAAACGGAGUGCAGAAGUCACUCCCCUAUAUAAACUAAAGUUAUCUUUCUCACAACAAAGGUAAAAAUAUUACAUUAAACACAAAAACAUCAGAUACCGAAAUUAAUCGAAGCAACUGAUUGAUUUUAGGUACGGUAAUUCAAUCGAGGAUCACAAAACAAGGUGAAAAAUGAAAACUGAUCUCACCAACAAACGCUCAAAAGUUCAUCUUAGGAUACAGAAAUUAAUUCGAGACACCCGAUUGGUCACAAAACAAGGUGGAAAAUAAAACUGAUAUUCACGUUUGGGCUGCGGAUAGACCUUCUUAGCUAUCCAAUUUUGAUCUUAUGGUACAUUAUUUUUUUCUUUCCAAAAUGCCAACAACAAAAAACACUCAAAAGUGACAGAACACUGCCAGAUUACCAAUAUGUUUACAAAUAUGCUCCAAUGCUUAAUUAACGGCCCACUAAUAAACCAAAAAUUGUCAAUGAUCAACCAAUUAAGAACCAAAUAAAAAGGCCAACCAACCGCCAUGAUUUAACAAUGAGUAAUGCUAGAGAGACACCAAGCCUUGGAAUAUAUCACAUUUUCGAGAAAAACACUUCAAAAACGAUUGACGUUACUGUGGAAGAAUGACACCAAAUUAACUUGACAACUAAUUAUCACUUAGUGCAGCAAAACUUAUAAUUGUCCGAGUGUAAUUUUGUUUUCUAAUUUACUAUCAUAGUUAAGAAAAAAGUAAAAAAAUCCGUACUUUAUAGCUUUAAAUGUUUUGAUCAUCUCUUACUCUGCAAUUUGGUUUGUGGGGCUAUGGGGUCUAUUUUCUAAUUUACUCACAUGAAAAUUUCAUCUCUAAAGAUUAUAAGAUCUUACCACACAUUUACUUUCACCGACACCAUUAAACUAAUUAACAAAACAAAGUACAACAAUCGAUAUCAGAAUUGAGACAACACGCAUAGAAAUUAGUAAAUUAUAAUCAACAACCAACCAUGCAAACCAAUCGUCACUAAAUCACUCUAAUACAGCAGAUUCUUAUCCGCAGAAAACAGAGACUGGAAUUGCAGACAAAACUAAGAACAACCCAAAAUCUUGUUUUGAAAAAAGAUUAUGUUUUUCCCCAUAAACCCACAACCUAAAUUGUAGAAUUGGUGAAAAUCAGAACUUUUAAGCUAUAAAGUACGAAACUUUUUGCUUUUUUUUUCUUAAAUAUUUGCACAGUUAUACGAAAUGUGGAAAUUAGGAGGAUGAGAGAGAGGGACUUACAUAUCUGCUUAAGUGUACGACGGAACCAACCUUCGUCCACGACGCAUCUCCGCCCAAAACUGAUAACGGAGAGAAUUGGGAGGAUGAUAAAACAGAGAAAGAUGUGAUCUUUCUGUGUUUAUGAAGCAGACAGAGAAAAGGGAGAGAGAGAGCGCUCAAACUCCAAAAACAACCUAGAGAGAGAAAAAAAUCCCUGGCUAGAGAGAGAAGUGAAGAAAAAAGGACAGAAGCGACUAGACUUAUAUGUGUAGAGAGAGAGAGAGAUGGGAUGUGACGGAACAAGAGGAGGGGAGAAAUCUGACAGAGAGCGUAAAAGAAGGGCACGCGAAUGGAGAGCCAAGGAGGCAAAAGCAGCCCCAUGACGUCCUUUUUAUUUUAUCAUAUUUAGGAAAUUUAAUUUCCCUAAAAUAACACAAUUAAAUUUGAAGAAAUAGAAAAAAGAAAAGAAAAGAAAAGCAAGGUUUUUACUGCUGAGCUCCACCACAACCGUCGCCAGCCUCAAGGACAAUUUAAAAUUUAUAACACAUAAAAGCUGCCGCGUUACUGCUGCUGCUGCCGGUUGUGGAAAGGCAGAGGGAGAGGCGGAGGCGCUCGAUUUCAGCGCUUAUAUUGCGCCCCCCAUGUAUCAGUGUUUUGCGGGAGUAAUGGCGAAAACAUGAUGGUGAUGAUGAUGAUGAUGAUUAGGUUUAGGGUUAGGGUUAGAACUUAACAUAUCAUCCUCUCUUUUAACUAUAUAUAUCAUACUAGUAUCUGCAUUUACACAUCACAUCAUCCAUGUUAGCAAUCUUAGGGUUGGUUUGUGCGUUAAUAAACAUUCAUUCAUUGCAUGCGAUAGGAUAAUUUACGUGAUGGGGUGAUAAGAGAAUGUUCGGUUUUCUUAACAUUUUAUGGUGGGUGUAUCAGCGCUCAAAUUGAGUGCUACUUACGUACUCUAUAGUAUUAUUUUUUAUGAGAAAUUAGCUUCUCAUCAUUUCUUUUACUACUCUAUUGAUUAAAAUCUUUUUUUUUUAAUUUUUUAUCAAGGUUUUUGGGUAUUAAUAACAUCAUUAAUUAUUUCAAUAAUAAAGUAUUUUUACCUAAAAAUAUUCAUUUAGUGUUAAAAAUGUUACAAUUAGUAUAUUUAUAUUUAUGGCUAAAUUUUUUAUCAUAUAUUUUUAUUUUUAGGUGUACCCAUUUUUAAUUUGUACCAUUAAGGUUUUAGUCAAAGAGUGUUCGAGACUAGGAACCACAUCCAAAGUAUCCCUAUUUUUUUAUAUUUGCAUUACCGUUCAUCGUAAGAUUGGUAAGGGUGAAGAGAAGAUAACACACUAUUUAAAACGUAGGGUUUUCUGAAAAUAGGUGUUGCAAAUCAAUAUAGUCAUUCCGUCACAAUUAUGUUAAGUGCUGAUGUGGUACAUAAAUGAGCCCCACAAGAUUUACGAGUUUUUAUCACAAAUAGUCCCUGAAAUUGACUCACACCAUUAAGACGGUCCCUGAAAUUGACCCACAUCAUCAAGAUGAUCCCUGAAAUUGAAAAUCGAUGAAUGUAGUCAUUGAAAAUAGGUGUCACAAAUCAAUAUGAUCAUUUCGCUACAAUUCUGUAAAAAAAAAUAUUGUUAUGUGCUGAUGUGGGUUUAAUAAUUAAUUUAAAAAGUUGUCUAAAUAGAGCUUAACCAAGCCUAAGAGGGGUUUGGAAAUAGUUUUCAACCAACAAUAGACGCAUCUCGAUUAUAACCUCAUUAACCAAGGCCUAACGAUGAUGUCACAAAAAUCGUUGCCAAUCAGCCAAACCGUCAACAAAGGUGAUCUCAAUCUAGGUUCAAUUCGAUGAAGGUGUCAAUGUGUGUAAAGAUGAGUGUAUUGAGAUUUUUUUUUAGAGAAUAGACAACAAAGGAGGUACAGGAAUGUGGACUGAGAUUGGAAGUGAUUGCAAGACUAGGUUUUUGGGAUUCACAACAUUUUAUACUAUUAAAUUAUUAAACCUAUUUGUAAUUUUUUUUAAAUUUAAUUAGACUUGUGUGAUCCAUUUAUGUGUCACAUCAACACAUAACAAAUUUUUUUACAGAAUUGUGAUUGAUGGACUACAUUGAUUUGGGACACUUAUGGAACUAGAUUGAUCGAUUUUCAAUUUCAAAGACCAUUUUGAUGUCGUAGGUCAAUUUUAAGGAUCAUUUGUGAGAAAAAAUGACUUAUGUUUAUACCAUAUUUAAGGCCUCGUAUUUAGAUCUCGUACAAAUACUCGGGGGACUUAAAUGUAAUUAUGUGAUAAAGAAAAAGGCAAAUAUGUAAUAAGUGAGGAGUCCUUAUUCUAUAAAAGGACCCCUCACCCUCACCCUCACAAUUAGAGGAGGCCAAUUCCUAGCCCUUUCACCCCCUCUCAAAGCUCUCACUCUCAAAGCUCUCUCUCCCUCAGAUAAAUAAAUAAUCAGUGUGGACGUAGCCCAAACCUUGGGGUGAAUCACGAUACAUCUUGUGUUAUUUACAUUUCAUGCAGAUUCACAGUCGGAUUUACGUUGUUCCAAGACCUCCGGUUUUGUGUAUCAACAUUUGGCGCCGUCUGUGGGAAUCGACACGAAAAACUAUGUCGGUUCUCUUUCGUUUUUUCACCUCCGCCGUGGAUCUGCAAAACCCACAUAGAGACACAUACACAGGGAUUCCAACUGAAAAAAUGAGGAAGCAUGGAUGGCCUGGUGGCGGCUCUUCUUCAAGAUUGGAUCAAUCUCUUUCUGCUCAUUUCCAAUGGCAGCCAUAACUCGCGUCUCCAGGAGAGCCUUAACCUCUUUCUCCAGCUCAGCCCAGUCAUCCGCCUUCCACCGCACCUUCUCCACCGAAGCAGCAAAAGCCACGGCAACAACACCCUCAGAGAGAGGAACAAAUGUGCGGAAGCAAAGGUGUUUGUAACCAAAGUUAUGGGUACUGAAAACCCUAGUCGUCCAAAUUUUAUUGCAAGACCUGCCACUGCACCUUUUGCGGCUCCUCCUCAAAACAUAAUGCCUUUUUCAUCUUCAGGUCCCAUGGGUGGACAGGAGGCAUACGGUUUUAAACCUCCACCUGUCACGCAACAGACACAUUUUUUCAUCAUCUGAGCUUGUGGUUGGACCAAAUGCCUCUAACUUCAGGCCUACUUCAUCGGUUCCUCCACAAACUAAUGUGCUGUUCUCAUGGGCUCAAUAAUUGGAUUCAUUCAUUUAAUCAAAUUAUUGAUUGAUUGAUUGAUUCGCGCGAAAUCGAAAUUCAUAAUCUAUACGACGUCAUGCUGACUGAUCAACGACUUUCACGACGACGACGAGACAUGGUGGGGGCAGCGGUAUAGGUAUGGAUUUUCUGACCGAAGAGACGGCGUCGUCCUUCUCUUCGCCUCCGAGACUUCCCACGAGGCUCAGACGGAGGCUCAACCUUGUCUACUCAAACAAGACUCCAACCAGCUGCCGCGAACCACUCCAUACCUGUCGUAACUCCAAACUAUUCGCAGGGUUCCAAUGCCCAUACACCCGUGGAGGUAGAUGAGGAGUUCGAGCCUCAAAUCACGGACCGAAUCCAGAUCCUGAGUCCCAACCCGGCCGACCACUCAAGCGGCUCAAGAGAGGGGUGGCUGAGAAGCGGGAACCUACGCCAGCGACUUCGUGUCGUAAUGUUGACGACGAUACUGAAGAUUUCCCGUCUGAGGAAGAUUUUGUUCAAGGUUUAUCGUUGCAAAACUAGGCAGGAAUUAAGUGGUUCAGCAGUUUGGUGCCGGAGACAGGUCACGAAGCUUGCUCUUCAAUGCGAUCGCAAAUCAAUCAGCCUGGACGACGACGUUGUGGUCUUCUGGGUUUUCAAAAUCAGGAAAUUGAUUCGACUUUGUUAGUGGUUUUGGAAAUCAGGAAGGACCUCCGGUUUUGUUAGUGGUUUUCUGGGUUUUUCGAAAUCUGCCGCAGAUAAGAAUUGAAAUUGAUGGGUUUUGGAAGAGUCUGGUGGGUCCUAUAAUUGUAUGACUUAUCUCUCUGGAGUAGAGGGAGAAUCAUGGGGGAGCACAUGGCGGACAAUGCAAAAGAAAAAGAGAAAGUAAAGCAGAAAAGGAAAAGAGAAAAGAAGAAAAAGGGCAAAAUUAUAAUGUUCUUAUUAUUACGAUUCCUUUUGUCUGCCAAAUGAAGAGACAAAGAGAGUGUAGUAGAAAAACACAAGCAAUAAACACCCGCACUGCAAAAACAAGGAAUAAACACCCCACCAGAGUGAUGUGGUUUGCUUUUCUUGUUUUUGUAUGAUGUAAUUUAUUUUUCUUAUCUUUUGGAGAUAUCUGUAUAAACCCCAUCAGAGGGUAAAAAAAAGAAAAAGGCAAAGCCCAAAAUAAAUAGGCUGGAAUGUUGUGUAAAGAGCGAAUGCUUAUAAGCCCAAAAUAGCACCAACCAAGUGAACCAAAGUACGUCCAGUAACACAAAAAAUUAUUCGGCACCCCGCCGCUAUUAUUGCCAACCAGGUGAUGAAAUGUACAACCCGUACUCUAAUAUCAUUUGGCAACUUGCCACUCAUGCCACCAACCAGGUAAAGAAGGAACUCAUCUUCAUGUCACCAACCAGGUGAUCAAAAGUACGCCCAGUACUCCACAAUUAUUCGGCAACCCGUCGCUAUUACCACCAACCAGGUGAUGAAAUGUACAACCCAUACUCUAAAUAUCAUGUGGCAACUAGCCAUUCAUGCCACCAACCAGGUGAUGAAAUGUACAACCCGUACUCUCCUUCAUGCCACCAACCAGGUGAUCAAAAGUACGCCCAAUACUCCAAAUUAUACAUGAGCAUGACUCAUGUCAUUCAUACAUAAACAUUUAUGAGCAUCACUCAUAUCAAUCAUACAUAAACAUUCAUGAGCAUCACUCAUGUCAACAUUCAUAAGCAUCACUCAUGUCAACAUCCAUGAACAUUACUCAUGUCAAUCAAACAUUCAUGAGCAUCACUCAUGUCAAUCAACUUCAAAAGCUUCAUUUACAAAAGCUCUAGCUUCGAAAGCUUCAUUCACAGAACUACAGCUUCAAAAGCUUCAAAAGCUUCAUUUACAAAGCUCCAGCUUCAAAGCUUCACUUGCAAAGCUUCACCUACAAAGCUUCAAUACAAGGUAUACAAAUACCACCUCCGAACAACCGCCACUUCGGCCCAUACACGGAUUUAAUUUGAAGUCUCCAGCCAACAGACUCUAUUGACCGAAGACUUGGGGGACUACACUAUACACCAUCUAUUGGGCCUCAACUGGGCCUCAUGAAAAAUACUUGGGGGACUUAGCCCAUUAUUUAUGUAUUGAGGAGCGAGCCCUUAUUCUAUAAAAGGGACUUCCUCACCACCAUUAGAGAGCAUCGCCGCCUACUGAGCAACCGCCUCGCUGCGAGCAUCAACUCUAGCCCAUCACUUAUGUACUGAGGAGCGAGCCCUUAUUCUAUAAAAAGGGACUCCCUCACCUUCAAUGCCACAAGCCGAGCCAACCAAGGUAACAUAAGCCACGAGCUAAGCAGCCUUGCAGCAUGUGCUACUUCUAAUUAAGCAUCAUUUUAGAUUGAGCACUGCCUCAUAUCGAGCAUCAGUUCAAGACAACAUCUAGUUACUUCGGCCCACACAUGGACUGAAUUUCAAGUCUCCAGCCAAAAGACUCUUUUGACUAAAGACUUGGGGGACUACUGUUUAUAUCAUAUUUAGGGCCUCGUAUUUAGAUCUCGUACAAAUACUUGGGGACUUAAAUGUAAUUAUGUGAUAAAGAAAUGGGCAAAUAUGUAAUAAGUGAAUAGUCCUUAUUCUAUAAAAGGACCCCUCACCCUCACAAUUAGAUGAGGCCAAUUCCUAGCCCUCUCACCCCCUCUCAAAGCUCUCACUCUUAGAGCUCUCUCUCCCUUAGAUAAAUACAUAAUCAAUGUAGAUGUAGCCCAAACCUUAGGGUGAACCAUGAUAAAUCUUGUGUUAUUUACAUUUCAUGCAGAUUCACAGUCGGAUUUACAUUGUUCCAAGACCUUCGGUUUUGUGCAUCAACAACUUAUAAGACCCAUUUAUGUGCCACAUCAACACUUAACGAAAUUUUUUAACAUAAUUGUUACGGAAUGACCCUAUUGAUUUGCCACACCUAUUUUCAAAUACUACAUUAAUUGAUUUUCAAUUUCAGGGAUCAUCUUGAUGGUAAGAGUCAGUUUCAGGAACCAUUUGUGAUAAAAACCCUAAAACUUAUUACAUGUGAUGUUCUCUAUCCCUGAAUUUCACAUUUGUGUUACAAAUAAAUUGCUUUCACACAUUUGUUUUGAUCUUAUAUAUUUUUCUUAGAAAUUUUUUGGAUAAUCCAAAACACCAUAAAAAAUUUACUCCUUUUAAAUUGAAUAAUGUAAUGUUUGCCAAAGAAUUAUAAUGACAUAAUAUAUGUCACAUGGAUGGAUGUAGAAUUACGAAAAGAGACAUAUAACAAGGGCAGCAUUAGGUGAGUGAAUCAAUGUCAUCGAGCGCCUGGGUCCUUUUUGGUCCCAUAGGUGGGUUGCCCGAGUGGUAUUAUUUUGGAAAGUUCAGAGCUGAUGAUUGCGUAGGAAGAUUCCUUCCUCUCCUAAUCUCUUUCUGUUUUUUAUUUAAAUGGUUACGAUUAAGCCACGUUAACAUUUUAUAUCGAUUUUUUUUAUAGAAACAAUAAAACGAAAAACAAUAAGAAAAGAGGAGGAAAAAAUAUGAAAAUAGAACGAAAGAGAAUCUUACUAUGAUGAUUGCCCCUGAGUCAGUAGUCGAUGGCGUACUACAAUGACCAAUAAGACCGCAUUUGGCAUUAUUCGAUUGCGGGCCAUAUCAUUGCACGUGUCAACUAGUUGGGUCCGGAACCCUCCUCCCUAAACUAAGAAUUUGGGAUCUUCUUAUAUUUGAUUGGAAGUUUGUCAGACUAGCAUCAGAGAUCGGUUGUUCUUGAUAAAACAAGAAAAGUCUAAGAAAAGUAUCAAAACAUAGAACUUCAGCUGCGAGGUUCUUACUUUACUUGAGUUACGAAUUUCUUGAGGAUUAAAGUCGGGAAAAACUCCAUAAGCUGUUGAAAAUCAACCUUGUUAGUUAGAUUAUAACAAGACAUUUGUUAGACCACAAUAUAAGAAGAAAUUGAUGCAUGUUCUUAUAGCACAUAAAAGUGUGAUUUCGUCGAUAAAUGUCUCGAAAAGCUGAUUAGUCUUGGAAUGGAACCUUAUAUCUUUUUUUUACAGUAGAGUAUGACUAAUUAGUGAGAAUUAAACUUCAACUUUAAUCAUAGUAUCAAAGUGAGUUGGUAUACGUAGGAGUGUACAAUGAUUAUACUAUUCCACGUAACUCAUGGUCACUUUUACGAAUUAAAAAGAAAUAUUCUUUUAAUAUCAAGUGACCAAAAAAUGUAUGAUCACUUAUAAAUUGAAUAUGUUUUUAAUGUUUUAACCCAUAAUAUCAAACCGACAGUAAAGAGAACGAAACUCGAAGAAUAAAAUUUCAACUUCCUUUUAAUUGAGCCCUAAUUAUAUAAUUGAACCCUUUAACAAGAGCAAUGUAACCUAUUUACUUCUUUUGGCAAACAUUGUAUAUUUCGAAGAAGUUUUGUUUCAUAAAAUUUGUUUUAUCCCAGUUUUGUAUGAUUGUAGUAGGGAUGCAAAUUAAGAGCGCCCCCGUGCAUGCUGCAAAUCUGACCAUCGAUUAAAGACAUCAAGAACGAAUUGAGAGAAAAAAAACUAGGAUUCCAAAUCCAUUGACAUUAGGAUCUUCCCAGAAGAGACAGGGCUAGUGCUAGGAUUGUUUGUUUUGAUGAUUCUACAUAUGUACCUCGCACCUUUGUAAUUACCACCCUACCCUAAGGAACCCAUCUCGAGCUACCCUAUUAAUUGGCACCCUACCCUACGAACCCAUCUCUUUCCCAAAAAGACUUAUGGUACGAUACGUUGAAAUCCACAAAAAAAGAUAAAAACAAUUUAAAUAGAAUUAUCUCAUUUUAAUUAAUAUCGAGUUUUUUUUAUAAAAUUCUAUACCUAACGGAUUGUGCAAAUGGUAAUUACCAAGUUGAGACAAUAUUGAUGUUGUUAGAAGUGGGUACUCGGCCCUUCUAUUUGAUAAUUCUACAUGAUAUCAAAGCUAGGGAGCGGACCCGUACUACCACGUCCCUUUGGCCACGCUCGAUGAUGGUGGGUCUGUUGGCCCUGCAUGUAGGGUGAGUCUCAUUGGCUUCGCAUGGUUGCCGAUGUGUUGAUAUCCACGUGUGAUCCACAAAAAUAGAGUCUCACAUGCGGGAGCAUGUUGAAUCCCACAACGGCUAAAGGCAAAGGAUAAAUGCAAUUUAAAUAGAAUUACCCCACUCUAAUUAACACUGAAGUCUUUUGUGGUGCAACCCCACACCUGACGGAUUGUAAGCCAUUUAAGCACAAUCAAUCAGUUAAUUAUUAGAAUUCAACCGUGAAGGGACCAAAGAAUUGACUACGUUACAAAAUUCUCUCAUCUAUGAGAGCACUUCUCUAUGAGAGUUCCUCCACCGUGCGGGUUUGCUAGCUGCCUUAUGAUAAACAACCAUUGAAUACCCAUCCACUGAUCAAAUUUAUUGCUCACUCAACCAUCAGAUCCCUUUGAAAAAAUUUCAAGUAGAACCCCUUUGUAGAAUUUAAUUCCUACCAACCAAACCCAUUUCCACCAUAAAUUCAAAUCCCCUUUUCCAUUUCUAUUCUAUUUAAUCAUUUCAACACAAUUUGUAUUGUAUCCCUUUCCGUUGUCAGAUCAUUCCCACUGAGGGUUAGAUCUGGGUUUGAGGUGCCGUUUACAGGGAUGGCAAGAAGUAGACGGAACAGGACUCCACCCACCAAACAUAAAUGCAUCAGGAAACCUAAGGAAGAUGGCAGAUAAAAAACGCAAAGCAGUGGGUACAACCAUAAAUUCAACCAACGAAACCUAGGUAAUAAAAUAAGGCAAAAAUACCUCCAACUGCUCUCUAUAUCAGCAGUGAAAGCCAACUACUCAGCAAAAAUUAAUUUGGGCAUUAAUGUCAAGGUAUAUGUUUCAAUAGAUGGAUACAAACCCAUAUUAUUAUGCUUGUGGUACUAGGGUACCUACAACUAGAAUCAAAAAGUUGUGAAGGCCAAAAGAGAGUAGAAAAAAAAAAAAAAAACAAAGUGAGAAAUUGGGUAUUGGGUAGAGACUCAAUUGUCUAUCUUUCGUACACUUCGAUCAAACAGUCUGUGAAUCCAAUCAGACUCAGAGACAAAUGGCAUGAGCAGAAGUAGAGAAGUUAGUGGUCCAUCUGGAGAGAAAUAUGGAUCUAUCCACCAUGGAACAAAGAAUCAAACUAGUGGGCACUGCAUUGGUUAACAAAACCUUAACAAAUGGGGCAUUCGUAAUAUACUUAGAUCCUCUUAGAAAGAGUUAAGGGAGGUAGAAGUCAAGUGGGUUAAAGACAACACUUUCAUUAUCACUGUCCAAGAUGAAAGCACCGCAACUAUGAUCCUAAACUAGGUACCGUGGGCAGUCAUGAAGCAGAAUUUUUCAAUCAAAAGAUGGCCACAGAAGUUAGCAUUGGAGGAAGUCAAUAUGGAAGUUGUCUUGUUUUGGAUACAAAUCAAGGGUGUGCCGCCUUAUCUUAACUUAGAAGAAAAUGUGAGACGUCUGGCUUCAAAACUUGGAGAGUUUAAGGAAUUUGAAGAUCCAGCGAGGGCAAAGGGAUUCUUGAGAGUGAAGGUAGCUAUUAAUACCUCGAAACCCCUAAACAUUAGGUGCUGACUUCCAAAUGACAAUGACAACGAGACAUGGAUUAAGUUUUGGUAUGAAAGUGUAAGAUCCCAUAUCGUCCAGGGGAGAGGAUGUGAUGUGCCUUAUAUGUACAUGCCCACCUCCUAAUAGUAAGACGCGUUUUGGGUGGGAAACCAAAAACAAAACCAUAAGGGCGUGGCCCAAAGUGGACAAUAUCUUACUAUGCAGACUGGGAUAUGACAAUUUAGUAUCAGAGUCACUCCCUAGCAGAAAGUGUGCUGACGAGGGUGUUGGGCCCUUAAGGGGGGUGGAUUGUGAGAUCCUACAUCGCUCGGGGGAAAUGAAGUGAUGUGCCUUAUAUGUACAUGCCCACCUCCCUAUAGUAAGACGCAUUUUGGGUGGAAACCUAGGAACAAAACUGUGAGGGUGUGGCCCAAAGCAGACAAUAUCUUACUAUGCGGACUGAGAUGUGACAAUUUGGUAUCAAAGCUACUCCCCAGCCGGAUGUGUGCCAACGAGGGCGUCGGGCCCCUAAGAGGAUGGAUUGUGAGAUCCCACAUCACCUGGGAGAGAGAAGGUGAUGUGCCUUAUAUGUACAUACCUACCUCCCUAUAGUAAGAUGCAUUUUGGGUGAAAACCCAAGAACAAAACCGUGAGGGCAUGGCCUAAAGCGAACAAUAUCUUACUAUGAGAACUGGGAUGUGACAGAAAGACUACAGGACACCUAUUACCGAUGUGGGAGAAUUGGACACUCAAACACUGAGUGUUCGUUUGAAGCUAUGAAAUGUGGUAUGGCUGGGUAUGGAGAAUGGACAAAAGCAGCAUCAGUUCGGGACUUCAUUGAAUCUCCAAGACCUCUGGCUAUUACUUCGGGGAAACCUAGGUACGCUAGGGCAACAAGAGUAGGAUCCAGGAUCUCGAAUCAACGACGGAUAGGGAUUGUACCGAGGAAACAAGUGUGAAAAGUGUAAAUGAUGUUGUGGACCCCAAUCCAAUAGGACUGUAAUAGGAAAAAGGUAAAAGAAUGAAAAGAUGGCAUAGAUUACAAAGAAGAAGUGAAUGACAGAACCUCAACCUGGCCUAGUGGAUAAUGGAAGGCAGUAGGCCUCUGGGCAUCAUCAAUUCGUUAUGGGCUUCAAGCUUGUGAAGUUACGAAGUGAGUAUAGAAGAAACCCAUCGGUCAUGAUUGAGGAAAUUCAGGAAGAUAACUUUACAUAAUCCGAAAGAGUAGUUGUGGUGCCACACACCUAACCUCAAAACAAAGUCCAACAUGGAAAAGUCUGAAAGUGGGAGUGAUUAUACUCCAUAGGUGGAGGGUUACAGAAGCCCUACAUGGGUAAAUCAAGAAACAUAGACCCUCUAUGAUCUUUCUUUCAGAAACAAAAAUGAAAGAUCAUAGAAUAGUAGGGGUGAGGCGGGGUAUGAGAUACUCUAAUGGGUUUAAUGUUGCACCGAUAGGAAGAGCGAGAUGUCUUAGCCUCUGGUGGGAUGAUUCGGUACAAGUGGAAAUGAUAGAUUCAUCAAAGCAUUUCAUUGAUGCUAAAUGUGAUUUUGUUUACUCGCAAUGUGUGUUCCGAUUCACGAGAGUAUAUAGAACGUCUUAUCGAGCUGAGAAGGCAGAAUUUUGGAGGGGAAUGAUUCAAAAAUUCGACCUAGACAACAUCCCAUGGAUAUGUGGUGGUGAUUUCAAUGAAUUAUUGUGGGGUCACAAAAAAUCGGGCGGUGCCGAAGUGGGAUACAACCGACCAAGAUACUUGGAGGAGUUCAUGUGCAAGUUGGAGAUCAUGGAUUUGGGUUUCAAUGACCCCAAGUUCACAUGGAGAGGGACAAGAAAUGGGCAAUUGGCUCGGCUCGGCUCGAUAAGGGGCUUAUGAAUGAAAGUUGGCAGUCACUUUGGCCCAACACUACAAUCACCAAUGGUACAUGUCCAGUAUUAGUGCAAUGUGGUCUGUAUGUUAGAAAAAAGAAAAAGCUGUUUCAUUCUGAGGCCUUCUGGGCAAAAGAUGCCGAGUGCAAAUAGAUUGUGAGAAGAACAUAGGAUAACACCUGAAAUGGGAACUCUUUAGAAUGAUGGAACUUUAAGAUCAAUGCUUGCCGAGCCAAUUUAAUCAAAUGGAAUAUAGAGAAAUUCAAAUAGCGAGGGUGGUAAAUACAGGAGAUGAUGAGCCAACUGGGUAGUUUUCAACAUGAUUGGAGUAGUAACUCUCAAAAAAUUAAAGCUCUAUUAAAAAAAAGUGGACCAUCUGUGGAGUUAGAAUGAGAGUUUUUUGCAACAAAGAUCAAUGGUUCAAUGGCUAAAAGAAGGAAAUGCCAAUACGAAGUUCUUCCAUGAAUCUACCCUACAUAGAAAACGAAAGAACAAAGUGGUGUCUUUAAAAAACAGUAAUGGGGAUUGGGUUGGCAAUCCAAGUCAAGUUCGACGGUUGAUUGAUGAGCAUUUCGUGGACCUGUUCACUUCAUCGAGGCAGCGGGAUUAAGGGCCAUCUUAGAUUUUGUCACCCCAAAGGUUAUUGAGGAAAUGAAUGCAACACUCACAGGCUUGGUCUCAGUGGAUGAGAAUAAAAUAGCAGCUAUGCAAAUGAGAGGUCUUAAAGCUCCGAGCCCAGACGGCUUUCAAGGGAUUUUUUUACCAAUCUUAUUGCGAUAUUAUUGCAGCGGAUGUGAAUGAAAUAAUUGGAGAGAUGAUGAACGGGACUCAGAAUCCAAUACGGAUCAAUGCUACUCAUCUAGUGUUGAUUCCGAAAGUUCAACACCCGGAGUCUGUAUCUUAGUUCCACCCUAUUAGUUUAUGCAACUACUCAUAUAAAGUUCUUUCGAAGGUCUUAGCUAACCGUCUCAAGCAGCCUCUGUUAGAUUUGAUUUCACCAACCCAAAAUGCAUUUGUGGGAGGAAGACAAAUUCAAGAUAAUAUAGGCAUUGCGCAUGAGCUUUUCCACCUCCUCAAAACGAGAAAAACGAAAUGCAAAUUUGAGUUGGGAAUCAAACUGGAUAUGUAUUAGGCUUAUGAUAGGGUGGAGUGGGAUUUCUUAUUGGCAGUGAUGGAGAAGAUGGGUUUUGAUAAUCGAUGGAGAAGUCUGAUAUUGGGUUGCAUUUCAUCGGUGAACUUUGCCAUCCUUCUGAAUGGACAACCUGGCUUCAAAUUUGCUCCAUCGCGAGGCCUUCGGCAGGGAAACCCUUUAUCUCCAUAUCUAUUCCUCUUGGUUAAUGAAGUACUAUCACUUCUUAUUCAACAGGUCAGUGAUCGGAAAUAGAUUGAGGACGUACAUAUGAACCUAACAAGUCCGACAAUAUCCCAUAUCUUUUUUGCAUAUGACACACUUGUCUUCUUAAAGGCAAAAAAGGAAAAAUGUCAACACCUAAUUCAGUUGAUUGAUAAGUAUUGUUCGGCUUCGGGAUAACAAGUCAAUAAGUCAAAGGCAAGUGUUUUUUUGGGCAACGUGCCUAAUGCAUUAUUACAACAACUAGUUGGCAUUCUUGGCAUGGAGAGGGUCGGGGACCUGGGAUUGUACCUGGGAGUACCUACCAUAUAAGGCCGAUCGAAGAAAUACGGGCUAGCCUAUAUUAAAUGAAGGUUAAUGGGAAAGAUUCAAGGGUGGAAGCAAUCAACUCUUUUACAAGCAGGGCGCGAAGUUCUCACAAAGGUGGUAGCACAAGCAAUUUCGGCGUACCCAAUGAAUAUUUAAAUUUCCCACGUCGCUCUACAAUGAAUUAGAUGCAAUGAUUUCAAAAUUUUGGUGAGGGCAAAAGAGGAAGAGAAUCAGAUUCAUUGGGUAUCCAGGGAGAAGUUGGGACGUUUGAAAGAGGAUAGUGGCUUAGGCUUGAGGAGCUUUUUGAAGUUCAACGACGCCCUUUUGGCGAAGCAAUGUUGGAGAUUGAUAAUGGAGCCAAGCUCCUUGUGAGCGUCAGUGCUUAAAGCUCAAUACUUCCCUAAUUGUUCUUUCCUCGAUGCAAAGUGGGGCGGGAAAGCUUCAUAGGCUUGGUCAAACCUUUUAGUUGGAAGAGAGUGGUGGCGCGAGAUAAAGAAUGAAGGUUCUUGGCUACUUAUAGGUAUAGACUGAAGGCUAUAAGUGUAGCAAUGGCGGAAGUAAUAGCUAUCAUGCACGGAUGUAAGCUAGGGAUCCAUAUGGGUUGGAAUUCUGUAAUCGUUGAGUCAGACUCCCCGGAAUCAAUCUCUUGCCUCCGGGACACGACAACGAUGGGCAGUUAGGAAUCAUUUCCCAUUCGAGUGAAGAGCAAUAGAUUGGGGGAGGCUUUUCAAGAUUGCCACUGGUCUUGGGUUCCAAGACUGGCCAACAUGGAAUCGGACCUUUUGGCGUCGUAGCAAUGUAGGGAAGUAUGUGAUUAUAUUUGGGACAAUAGACCCCCAUCUUCCCUUCUUCAUAUUCUGUGUAAUGAUGGUCUUCCCUGCCCCCCCUAAGUAUUUAAAUGGUACUGUGAGGGGUGAUGCUUUUAGCAUUAGAUGCGGCGUCGUGGAAUUAUGUACCUCAUUGCACUACUCGAUUUAAUAGAUGUUGUUGGCUAUUUGUCUUAGGGUAGGCCUCUCUAUAAAUCUUUGACAUCUUUGCCCAGAUAAUAAAAUGUCUUGUUCAACGAAAAAAAAAAUCAAUUAAUCAUUAGAAAAAUUUUCAUGUACCAGUAUGAACAUUUAUACCUGAGUACCGACUCGUGUGCUAGCUGCAAGUGUACCCGAAACACAAGUUUAUAGUAUAGGUAAUGCUAAAGAGAUCAAAUUUUUUUAACUAAAUUGCAACUGUUGGCCAAUCAAGGAAAAAAAAACUUUUUUUCCACUUUUAUAAUAACAUAUGAUCUACUGGUCUAUGUUUUUGACACACCUCUUGUUAAUUUAUGUCUUUUGAUCUUUUCUAAUUUAUUCAAUCCGACGAUCGAAAUUAAAAAAGUGUGUAAAAAAUAAAAAUGAACAAGUGAAUAGCAUCUCCGAUAAUGUGUAAACCCCAAUACGAUAGAAGAGAGUAGAGUAGGAGUAGAGCGUAGGCAGGCUGGGCAGGGAUCAAAUUUGAAAAGGGAGAAAUGUCAUCAUGAGGAGGCAGGAUGGGACCUAGCGGUGAUUGGAGGGGACUGUAGUCCGUGUUUCGCGGCACAAGGAGACGAAUUUGAUGGAGACUCGACCUUCUGCUCCGCUCAGAACCCCCGCUCAGAUGUCAGUGAUACGUCUUACGUCCAUUUUCCUUAAUUUGAAUCAAAAUUUUAAAAUUAAAAUGCUCUCUCAUUCUUUAUUUAUAUUUUGGUCUUGUCUAAAUUGGCACUAAUACAAUGAGUUUAUCUUUGGUCCUUGCAGUUUGUUUUCUGAUUGCAAUUUUACCCUUCCAGUUGAACAAAUCUUGUGUUCAUACGGAGUAUAACGUUACUUGCAUGCUCAUAAACAAAAUCAAAGGGGACUCCUCCGUAGUGAGAACCAUCGUUAGUUUGCUUUCGCCAAUUCCGGUAUAAGCGAUGUAUAGGCGAACGAUGAUGUAGUCCUCGAGUGAACAAAAGAAUGAAUUGGCAAAUCAAGACAGUGCUAGGUUUAGGAUUAAUGAGGUGAGACUAGCGAUCCUAUCCCAUGUCAGCUGAUGCGUGUGAGUGUCGCUUCUUACAUCGCCCCCCGCCACUUUAUUCUGUCAAAUUAGGUAAAAUUUCUUCAAAUUUACUAAGAAACGUUUCAUAUUUCAAAAAACUGAAAAGAAUUAGGUAAAGGUCGUACCCAGUGCACAAGGCUCCCACUUUACGCAGGGUCUGGGAGAGGUGAAUGUCGGCUAGCCUUACCCCAUUUAUAAAUAAAAAAUGCUCUCUCAUUCUUUAUUUAUAUGAAAAGAAUUAAAAUGCUCUCUCAUUCUUUAUUUAUAUUUUAAAAUUAAACUGAAAAGAAUUACCAAAAAAAAUUUAAUAUUCCAAAAUAUAAAAACGAAAUACUGAAAUGGUAGAGAUACGGCAUGCCAACGCAUAUAUAUUUCAUCUCUACUUUAAAAAUGGUAUACAAAUAGAUAGUUAAAAUAAUAUUUUAGCGUUUGUUAGCAUAUUGAGCCAUAUGAAAGAAUAACGAAACUACAAGAAUGAAAUGGAAACAAAAAAGUUACAAGAACAAAAGUGAAAACUCAAACAAACUAGGGGGACUUGCUAGGGCAACAUGUCCUUUGGUUACUAACCGCAUCUGCCUUAGCUGCAGUGCUGUGGGUGGUGGUAAGGAUCUUUUAUAUAGGGAGUGACAGCGCCAGUGAGGAAAAACCCUUCAGGCCACCACUUGCCACUUCCUCCUAAUAAUAUUACCACUGCCAAUCUGCCAUGCCAGCUGAGCUGCUGCUGCUACCAUCUCAAUUCUCACAUUCUUUCUUUUCUUAAUCUGCUUACUCAACUUAUUACCAUUCUCAUAUCUCAGAUUCCCUGCCUUUAGUUUGUAGCUGACUAUUUACUGAUUGGGUCCUAUAUAAAUCUUUUUCCUGUCUUUUAUUAUAAAGGACCCUAAACCCUAAUAUGCUGCAACAGUCUCUUUUAUUUUAUUUUAUUUUCCCGCUUGUUGACUUCGAAUUUUGUUCAGGUGCUUGGUAAAACUUAUGGUCAAUGGGUAAAUAAUGCACAAACAGUCCCGUAUAAUGGUUUUUAACUCCGCACGUAAGAUUUUAAGUUUGUUUCGCACAUCAUGUUGUAUACGAAGUGAACGAACGAUUGAAUGUUUGACAAAGACUUCAUGAUCAUCGUUGUUAUCAUGGCACGAAACCAUUUUUCAUAGUUUUGAAUUCGAUUCAUUUAUCAUGACAAUUGGUAAUUAAUCUGGUAGGGGUAUAAUUUCAACUUUCAUGCAAAUUAUUAUUCAUAAUUUAAUGAGAACAUCCAAUGGUUUUGUUCUUCCUUUAUUCUUUCUUUUCAAAAUUUAAUUUCGAAAUUAAUAAACAAUAUAAAAGUAAAAUGUCGACAUGUAACAUUUUCAAAUUAAUUCUACUCUUUUAUUUUGGUACAUUUUAAUCCUUUAGAGAUUUGGGAUGAUUAAAGAUUUAGUAUACAGAUACAUAUGACUUGGAAGAGAAUCACUGUUACGGAAAGUUGCUGCUUUUUCUUUAUCGUUUUGCUUGGUGCAUGGGAGUGCACUGAACGAGUAGCAGUGCAGAGCACAAGGGUUGGGUUUGCUGGGUUUUGAUGAGAGACAAGUACAUGUACAUGCAGCUGCUACAGAAAGAAAAACACUCUCAUAAACACAAAUAAACUGCUACCGUAUCGUCUUACACUAAUAAUACAACAUAAUGUAUAGGUUUCUAAGUUAGAUCUUGAUUUUUAUGUUUUUAACCAUACACCAAACAACAAAAAUAUCUUAAGCAUUUGACAUGGAAUUUUUUUUUUUUUUACGCAGCACUGUAUUAUCAGCAUAAAAGAUCACAUUACUAGUGUAUCUGUAACAUGUAAAUUAUUUUUGAGAUAACCUUGAAAUUAGAAAAAAUAAAAAAUGAUUGAAAACUUUGAGUUUAAACGAUAAGGACAACAUAAAGAGUAAAAUAAAUAGUACCAGAAUUAAUUUUUUAAUGUAAAAAUAUAAUUUUUUAUUAAAAUGAAUCGUACCGAAAAUUUUUCAUUAAAAUUUUUAAAAAUAAAAGGUAAAAAUAUUGAAGUGACACAUCAAGGCAUUAACAAACAGACAAAACUCAUACGUGUAUAAAAUUGAGGGAGAUCGUCCCCUACAAAUCUCAUCCCUCUGAGCCUCUGAUCCCACAUCUGAAUUUCCCUGAAAAGCUUAGAGAUUUUUCUGUGGUGGAAAUCAAUGAGUGAAUUGCAACUGUCUCUCGGUCCACCAAUCACUGUGAUAGACUUUGGAAAUAUAAUAUUUACUAUUUACUUGUUUAUUUAUUACAGUAAAUAGUAAAUUGUAUUAGUAUAGGGAUCGGUGAGAUGGAGAAAAGAAGAAGAAAGAAGUUAAAAAAUGGGAGUCCAUUUAACCUCAGCUGGGUAUAUGUCUGACCUCUCUCUUUCGGUUCAGGCUUUCACCAACUUUGGUUCGGUGAAAAGGAAACAUCUUCAGAUCCCUUUCUACAAAUUCCCCCCUCUUUCUUUAUUUAAAAACUCUACCAUGAUUUUUACUUGUACAAAAAUACACAUCAAUUGGUGGGUCUGUCCCUCUAAUAUUGUUUUCAACUUAUUGCAUUGCGGAUUCAAAAUCUCCUCUUUUUCUUUCAUUUAGCUUGUAGUAGUAAUAUUGAUUUGUAAUAAAAUUAGAAAAUUGCACAAAAAUGUACACAAAAAAAAAAAAAAAAAAAAAAAAAAUUGACGAUUUUACGGUGACGUUGGCAUCAAAUCAUGAAAGAUGAGGGGUUAUGUUUGUGUUUUUCUUUAACACUAAAGCCCACGAUUGAUGGGCCUAACAGAAUUUGUCAUUUUAUGUUAGAAAACCCAAAUCCAUAUUGGCAGCAAAUUGUUCAACACCAAAUGGGCUAAUUUCUCAGGGCCAAAUUUUGAUGCUCCUUUUGUAAAGAAACUUUGGUAUUACUGAGUUAAAUUAAAUUGUUAACUGUUAGAGAGGGAGAUCGGUAGAGAUUGAGCCCCCAUUAAAGUGCAUAGCAUGAUUGAUUUCCGUUACUGCGGUAAAGAGCCAUUGUGUUGAUGGAGUUGUAUACACUACUGUAUUUAGCUGACAAGAUUCUAUGCACAACCGUCAACUUUCCCAUUAACUAAAAUUCAAAAAAGAAAUAGUAGUUACACAAAAAUCCAUUGCGACUCGAACUAAGGAGCUAGGAACUUGGACAAGGGAUUCCGGCCUUUGAAGAAAUUACACUAUAUUUGGAUGAAGAAAAUAAACUUGGAAUUUGGAUAAAAGUUAGAAUUUUUAAAUUGACAUGCAUCAAUUUCCUUAUUUGGAUUUAUAAAUAUAGAAAUUUAGAAUUUCCGCGUGAAAAAACUUGGAAUUUGGGGCCUCCAAUUCCCAAGUUUAAAUUUCAUGUAAAUAUGUGUCAUUUCCCAAUUACUAUGAUUGAGAGUUUAAAAUUAACAAAUUUCAUUCUCAAUUUCAUUGUUCUUUUAGGUUAAUCAAACAAGAAAGUUCACAAAUUCUAGAAAAUAAAAUCCCGUCAUUUCAAUUUCUGUCAUUUUAAAAUUCCUUAAUAAUCUUAAAUUUCUUCAUCUAAAUGUAGUAUUACAAAUUCCGAAAGACUCAAGUAUCUAGUUUUACAACUUGAAUGCAGGAAUUUUAUAAAUGACAUGGAUUUUUUUAUAGGAAACUUAAGGAGGCCCCAAUCCACUAUGUAAGUUCCACCUAGAGAGAUGGACCUAAAACAAUUAUCUCGCCUCUCCUUCGCUUUCUUUUAUGGCGUAUCCACAGCUUCUCUUUUCGUGUCUCCUCUACUUUUCUUCAUCAAAUUUCAAGCUUUGAUCUUUUGCAAAUCUCACAUCUUUUCCGUUUAACCUCAUAUAUCACAAUUAGACCUGGCAUUUUGGAUCCGAUCUGACCCGACCCGUUAAUAUUAGUAUUUGGAUAAAUGCUUAAAGGGUCGGGUCGCUAACGGGUGAACUCAUUAAAUAAUUGGUCACUUUGGGUCAACCCAUUAGACCCGUUAGCAUCUGUUAGCACCCGUUAGUUGAUGAUGUUUUAGUAAUUUCAGUAAAGUCUUAACAACAAAAAAUAAACUCUAUGUAAAAAAAAUAAUAAUAAUAAUUGUUAAUGGGUGAAACGAGUGAUCAGUUAGUUUAACGGGUCGGGUUCAGAUGACCCGUUAACUUAACGGGUCAGAUUAAAUCCGACCCAAAUCCAAUAAAUCCGACUCGUUUACAGGUCUAAUCUCAAUCCCUUCUUCAACUUCAUAUCUCAUGAGUCAUGCCAUUCCUCAACCUAAGAUGUCAAAUCUCAUAUCGCACUUGCUUGAUUUGCACACCGCGUUCUCGAUGGCAUGCCCCGAUCAGAGGUAGAUUUGUUGUUGAAAAUCGUCAAAUUUGGCACAUAAUCCGUACGCCUUGGUGGAACGGUAGGUAGGAAAUUUAGUCUUGAACUUUCGCCAUGUGUUCGGACGUUGUUCUAAAGUCCAAAACAUUGAUAGAACAUAAAUCUAAGGUGGGCCAAAUGAAAUAAAAAUAAAAUAAAAUAAAAUAAAAUGUAAGGUGAUUACAUUUUUUUUGUUUUGACAAAAGCGAUGGAGUGUUUGAUACCAUGAAUAACCACGAACAAGAGGUACCAAAUUGGUAUAUUUUUUUUUAGUGAUCAAUCUCUUGAUCCGGAGACUAUUUGCAUAAAACACUAAUAAUUUUGACCUCUAUAUGGCCACAACAAAAACCACUAAAACUAAGUGUUCUGGAGUAGAUAUGUUACAAAGACUAUAGAUGCGACAGACCUAGAGCCAGUGUCUCACAUUAAUCCAUCGCAAACAACGAGGCCACACAAAUUAUUGUAGCCACACACAAAUUCUACAUAUCUAGCGGUACAACCAAUAAACCAAAAUACAUAAAACUAAACUAAAACUGAUACUUGUCAACAAAGAAGAAGGAUAUGGGUACGAAACUGGCACGAGGUGUUGGAGCAUGACACGUGGGUCGUAAGCCAAGCAAUUUCUUGCACAACCAAUUAACUCAACAAAAAAAGAACAAGUUUUGAGUCAAUCAGUUAACAAGCUGGGUUGUUAUCGGAUCAUCCGUUAAGAACCGAUAAGAUAUUUUAGCAUUUCUCUUAAGUAAAUUGUGCACGCUUGGUUGGAGUUAAUUAGUACACAAUGCUGUGGGGAGAUUACUUUUUCAUGAAUAGAAGGGGAAAUGGAGUGAUUGCUUCUAUUAUUUAGGUGAAGAAUGAGAAAUAAAUUUAAAAUAUGUUGUUCAAUUUUUUAUUUUUUUUUAACAAACGAAAUUUUUCACACUAAAAAGGGAAGAUGGAUGGCCUUAGUUUCAUAAUGAGCUAGUAAUAAUGUAGUUCAAAUCCGCAUUUGGAAAGAAUUGAACCAUAAGUGAAGAGAAAUACUAUUAAACUGUAAUACUAAGUAUCAAAAUAUGUUGUUCAAUUAAAGUGGAGACAAUGUUCAAAAGUGAAUUGAUAGCUAAAAUAGAAGCAAGGAGGACGCUGUACCAUGCAGAUGUGUAACCGACACAGCUUGUUAUCAUCACAAUUACGAACAACUAUUAUGUCCUCUGAUAAUUAAGAAAAAUUGUAUUUUUGUUCAUUUGAUAAUACUCACCACUCUGUUUAUUAUCGUUUGAUUAGCUUAAAAUUUGAUAUUUGUGUUUAUCCAUAAUACAGAUGUCGAAAUUUAGAUUCAUCAACGAUGAUAAAUAAAGUAAUGAACAUCAACAUUAGUUAGCGAUAGUGAGCAAAAAUAUUCCUAUUACAAAAAGCUUUAUCUCAUUUGCUAUAUUAGGGUGAAAUAGUCCAAUGCAAAAUAAGUUACUGUUAUUACAAGUAAAUUAAGAAAUAAGAUUGAAAUCCCAUCAACUUAUGAUUUUUUUAAGUGUACUUAUCUUCUAUAAACUCCAAAUUUCGAGAAGGUCCGUGCGCAUACGUUACCAACUGAUAGUAUUCCUCAAAAGUCAUGUUAUGGAAAAUGGAAUUUAUGGAUGAGAGGCCUAAAAUUCUGAGAAUCCAAUUGAAACCAUAUUAAUUAAUUUUUUUUGUCGAAAAACCAUAUUAAUUAAUUAAUUACAUCAUGUUUGUGGAUGAUUCAUAAAAAAACGUGUUAUAAUCCAGGAAAAACUCAAUCAGUCUACUCAUUCUACAAUUUCUAGGAACAAAAAACUCGACAACAAAUUGAAAAAUGAGACCCUUAUUCCAUGACAUGGUCAGAAAUUUGAUUAAUAUAACGUUUAAGAUAAUCAACUUGAUUUGACCAAAUAAGUAAAUAAAUAUAGGAUAUUGAUCUAAAUUCGAAUACAUACAUAAAUAAAUGGGUAAAUUACAUUUUACCCCCUCAGAUUUGAGGUCAAUUUCAAUUUCUUAAAAUAUUUUUAAAACAUUUCAAUUUCAUACAUUUACUUAUCAUUUAAUUUCAAUUUCAUAUAUCCGUUAGAAAAUACGUUAAGUUAACCGUUAAGUGAUAAUGUGGCAAAUAUGGGCUCCCCAUUUGUCCUGACGUGGCUACCACAUUUGUGCCACGUGGCUAAACACUUAAUAAUAAAUUUAAAAUAUUAAAUAAUAAUAAU